rnacentral:lncRNA from 1 species
GCUUUUUAUCUCAAUGCUGAUUUUGUUUAACGUGUUUGUUCUAAUUUUUAAGAGUUUAUAGUGUCAUUUGUCCAUCACUAUACAAAUAUUUUAUGAGAAAUUGUUCAAUGUGAUAUUCUUUUCUAUGGGUUAAAAAAGGAGUUUAUUCUAGAGAUAGUUGGAGUAGGCUAGUCAAUAAUCAAACAAAUCAAAAAACCGAACCAAACCAAUGGUUAUUUUCUUUUUUGUGGUUUGGUUUGGCUUUAGAAAUUUAAAAACCAACUAAAUUGGUUUUGGUUGUGGUUUUAACCACUAACCGAUCCAAAUCGACCCAUGAACACCCCUACUUAAAAUUUGUUAAUAAGGAAGUAGAAAACAAGUUUGGUGUUGGGAGAAUUUUGAGGAGGAAAAGGGAAUCACGGGAGUGCAAGGAAUGGGUUUGGUGGAUUGGUAAGGUCGGGGUCAGAGAUGAAAAGGGAGCAAAGGUGUAGCUUCAGUACAAUUGGCUGUACUUCUUGAUGUCAGGUUCCACCUCUGUGUUGGCUAUACUUCAUUCAGUGUGUAUUACAACCUGGUUGAUAUUUCAAACAGAAAUUUGUGCUCACUUGGUUGUCUUAUGUACUGCAACCUGACAACUUCUUUUGAAUUUCCUUUUGUUUUCAAUUGUUGACUCAAUAUUGUUAGAUUUGCAAUAUGUUUCCUUUCCUUCUUCAGCUAAAGCCCUGGAUGAGCAUGCUAGCCAUAAGAUUAAGAAAACAUAGUCAAAUGAUGAAGCCACAGAGGUGGAUCCUAGGCUGGCGGCUAUUUUGGAGAGAAUGCUUGAUAAGUAAGUAUAUUUUCAUCUUCUGCUGUGGAAGAAUAUGAAUCUAAACCUAAAAGUCUCACAUUAUAUUCUGGAAGCUCCUUCUGCUUUAUAAUUGCCUUUCUUUUGACUUAGGUGUAUAAAGGAUGGAAAAUAUCAACAAGCCAUUGGCAUGCCAUUAAAUACCGAAGGCUGGAUAAGGUUGCCAAAGCAAUUGUAAGAAGUGAUAGUGUUGAUGCUACUCUAGCAUACUACACUUCACAUUUCUUAAAAAAUGCUUUCUUUUCUCCUAAAUUUUGUAGCAAUGUCGGAAGGGACAAUCAAUUUACUUGAAACUCAGAAUUUAAGAAGAUGAUAUUGUGGACUUAAUGCUCUAAAUUUAACAGCUUGGAGAAGAAAUGAAGCUUAUUUCAGCCCAAGAAGCUGCCAAAGUUAUCAUUUUGGAGAAUAAAAUCAAGAAGUUCAAAAGUUGUCAUUUUUCGUGUCAUGUGUUUUAUUCUUUGUGUAUGUUUUAGGAAUCAUAAAGUGAAUGUAUGUUCCUCUCUAUGAUAGGAGAACAUAUGUUGAAGUAAAUCUAUUUUGUUGGGUGUAAUGAGGUAGAAUUGUUUGUAUUAUGUUGUUAAUGAAGUUGAAGUGUUUCUAAUGAAGUGAAUUACUUGUCUCAUGCAGGCAAUUGACUAAUGAUGCCACAUUGCCCAUGCAUUCUAAAGCAAAGCAAUGGCGAAAAACAAUAAAUGUAAUUGGUAAAAAGAUAGCCUUCGAAAGCUCUCUUUAUGUUGAAAGUGCCUAUGGUAGGAUGCUUGCACGAAGGUAGAGAUUUUGUUUUUGAAAAUUCCAGACAGUACAAUUAUUGCCAUAAGUGUAUCCUAUAAAAAAGAGAGAUCUACUAAAAUGCACUCUAAAUACUUGAAUAACUUCUAGGCAGAAACCUUGCAAUUUCAGCCCACUUGUUCCCGUAUAUUUGUGCCUCAAAUUAUAGAUCAUGGAUUUUUCAUAUAUCUAACCCUUACUACUUUUUAUAACACGAGAAAAUGAGAUAAAAUGAGUUCUCCAGGAAAGGAAAAACUUUGUAAACAGAUUAAUUACAAGUUUGUUGUCCUUAAAGGUCAUUAAAAGAUGUCUAGUCAAAUAAUACCACAUAAAAUGGGAUUAAGGGAGUAGUGUUUUAGGAAGAGCUUACAACUCUUGUAAUUCAGAAUAUGCUACAUGGUACAUAUGGAACUCCUUAUAUACUAUAUAUUUAGCCAUAUUUCUAAAUUUUUUGUCUGCUAAUUCUUGUUUAAUGUACACUUAAACGGUAUAAGGUUAUGCUCGAAUGGGCAUGUAAGAGACAUAAGCAACAAGUCGAUGAUAGCACCUCAAGCAAGGAAUGCCACUAACAAAAAGCAACAACACCGUUAAGAAUACUGGUCCAAGAAUAAUAAGCCAUUCAGCACCCUCCAACACUGGUGUCGAAGCCACAAAUAUUCCCCCACCUACCAUCUCAUCUUCUCCUUUUCCCCUUCCCUAAUCUCCCAGCAUAAUAGGAAAAAGUCAUCUCACUAAACGUUAAAGAUUGAAGCGCAAAGUUCUCAUAUACAUAGAAAAAAGGCAAUACUUGGAGUUGUUGCUCUUUGGUCAAUACUUGCUCGACAUCUUUCAGUUCAUUCACCAUAUUUUUCAUAUGGCGCAGAUGCUUAUGCAUAGUAGGAUCCGAGUGUUUCGUAUAAAUAUCAAACUUAAUAGUAAGAGCCCUUAACUUAGCAAUUGAAGUAUGAUCAAUUUUUUCUUUUAACAUAGAUCACAUGUCCUUAACAUUGUCAUAAUGUCGAAAUUCUCUCAUAAUAUCAUCAUUCACGCUGCUAAAAACAUUAUGCGAGCAAGAGAAUUCUUCUUUUUCCAAACUUGAUAUGCCUCAAGAUCUUUCACAUGUUGGGGGGUAUUUCCAUUUUCAGGAAGUGUCAUAGACAUAUUAAGAACUUCAAGAGCCUCUUGAUCUUUCAGGACAUAUGAUUUUUAUACUCCUAUUUCAUAGUUAUUAUUAUCAUGCUUUAAUUUUACUAAGCUCGGCGAUAAUUUUCGUUGUAGUAGUUAACAUACUGAUUUAAACAAAUAUAAAGUAUCACGAGACAACUAUGUACAUUAUUUUAGCCUAAAUCAUAUACAUAAUAAUUUUAAAAAUAAUCAACUAUGUCAAUAUUCAUCAUCGGGGUUAGAUUUUAAAGUUCACAAAGUUCUCAAUCAUUAUCCGGACAUCAAUAUGUCAUAAGUUUAACAUAAUCGAUCCUAAGAAGUACUUAUCUUAAAUCACAUAAAUUCAAGAUUAAACAAGCAUAAAUUCUAUAACAAUUAUAUAAUUACUCAUAAUAUAACAUAUAUAAUAUAAAUUCAUACAAGUACAAACAUAUGUGGGCUUAUGCAAAUAAAAUGUCACAUCAACAAUUACACAAAGUAAAUAGGACUUCAAUUAUACAUAUAAAUAUACAUAUGUUCUAUUCAACUGCAGAAUCCCAAGGCUUCCAUGAAGUACACUUCAAAUUGUUCUUUCAAAAACCUUCACUUGGAAAUGAAAAGCCAAAAACAAAAAAAAAUCCCUUCUAACAUUCGCUAGUAUAGCUUGGAGGGGGAGUACGAUGAUUUCGUUGUAUAAUAACAAGGGUAAAAAUCAAAAUUACAAUAAGUAUAGGGGUAUCAAGUUGUUGAGUCACAUUAUGAAGGUUUGAGAGAGGGUGGUAGAGUUAAGGUUGCAGAGGAUUAUUACUAUUUUUGAGAAUUUGCUUGGAUUUAUGCCACACCUUGACUACUGAAGCCAUCCAUAUCGUUAGGAGACUAUUGGAGUAGUAAGGGAGAGGAAAAAGGACUUGCACAUGGUGUUUAUCGACUUAGAGAACGCAUAUGAUAGUGUCACGACCCAAAAUAGAGCCUGGCCGUGAUGGGUAUCUCAAGUCCACUAGGGACCCGAGAUCACCCCUUUGUACCUAAUCAAACCACCCAACACCACCCUUGUCAGAUGAAUUAUGAACAUAUAACAAGAUAACAUAAGGGUAAGCUUAAAGAUAUUUAAUUCAUGUCCAUAAUUCAUCAAUUGAAAAUCGGCCAAAACAUCCGACCAACAUAACCCAAGUCUACAGUAAUCCAACAAAGCCUUCUAACAAAGAACCAAAAUUGAAUACCAAUAAAAUGUCGGUACAUGCCCCCGACUAUAGCCAAAAAAAAGUCUAAACAAGUCUAGGACAUAAAAAACCAAAACAUUAAAUAUAUACUUCCGAUGUAUGGAAGCUCACCACUUCAAUGUUAAUUCAUGAGUCGAUCUCGAAUACUAAUCACUAAGCAGGAGAAAUAGAAGUUUGUCCAAAUCCUACAUCGUAUGGGAAUACAACAUCCGAAAGACCGUUAGCAGGAUGAACUCUAGCAUAUAACUCAGGUAUAAGGGUAAUAUAAUGUUAUGAUCAAUAGUUUGAAAUCAUCCAAUUCAAUGCACAUAAUCAAAUGCAUACACACACACACAUACAUAUAUAUAUAUAUCAUAUGUCGAGAUAGGGAACAAGGCUUAACAUAUACUUUAAAAACUUAAACUGGUUUAUGUAUCUCAACCAUCAUAUAGUAGUGCACACGGGCUAUAUAGGACCAAGCUCUCACCCUCUGGUCAGGCCCUAAUGCAUGUAGCUGUAUGAACCAGAGAAAGAUCAUAUAUAUAUUCACGGUGGACUUGAACCCUCCAAUCAUAUACUAAGGUGACUUAAGCACCUGAUCAUGAAAUAUGAUAUGGGGGACUAGAACCCUCCAAUCAUAAUAAUAACAUUAAGGUGGACUCGAACCAUCUGGUCACAAGCAAGGAGACUAAAACCCUCAAGCCAUAACGACCCCCGCACCGGCUAGCGUAAUUUUUAGUGUCGGUCACUCAGACCUCCACUUUUAUAACUCAUCUAUACAACCAUCUUUUAAAACCCAAUUAAAAUAUUUAUCACACAUUCCCAUUCAUUGAACCAUAUUUCACAUUAAGCCAUACAUUAUUGGUAUCAUCAUACCAACUAUACUAGCAAGGUAACAACAAAAUGCCCAAACAAUUACAUCUCUUGGGGGAAUUCACAACCCCCUUGGUUUAAUUAUGCAGUAGCUUGUGAAAACACAAAUCGAUAAGGUUUAAUUCAACAUCAUAAUGCUAUUGAAUAGUUCAAUUCCCACAUUGCUCAUAACUAAAAACUAGUUUUAUAAUAUGGGGUUGAGGUCAGAACCACUUCAAAAGCCACAAGUAUGGGAAAAUCACAAUUCCUUAGUUCAUUCACCAUAUCCAUGCACCCACAAGUUCAAAAUCAUAUUUAAAGCAUGAUUAAUUAUAUAUAAACCAUAGAAAAACAUUGUUCGACAACAAGCAUUCAAACGCCUAGCCCUUGUUUCAAAACUAUCAUAAAUAUCUCAUGAACAAUACUUUAAAUCACAUGUCUUUACAAAAUUAACAAUGAGGGAAGAGUAACAUGCCUGAAAUACCAAGUUCUACUAAAGGAAUCCAACCUUUAAGCCCUUGGAUGACCAAAUUGAUGAAAUCCUGGCUUGACUUUCUUGAGAGAAUUUGAAAGAGAUUUUGAAGUGUUUUAAGUAUGUGAAGGAUGAAUUUUAACCCCCAUGAGUGCUUUAUUGAUAUGGAAUUUUAAUUGUGUUAAAGGGGAAUUAUCCAAAAUGCCCUUAAAUUAAAUGCUACAUUUUGGUCGUCAAUGGCUAUGAGUCAUUAUACGACUUGUACAGUCUCACUAUGGCUCAUAACAAGGAGUCGUAGCUAAGGAAGAACCAUAAAGGCCCCAUACUAGUCUGGCUACGAUUCAUACCACCAACUCGUAACCAUACUUAAUGACUCAUAACCAUUUCUCGUACUCAAAACAACAACAAUUUGACAUAACACACUGGACACCCUAUGAUAGGGACAUAACGACUCCCAAUGAGUCUUUACGACUCAUGGACUCAAGUCGUAAUAAAGACAGUGUCUUGGGCCAAACUUACUGGACACCUUAUGACUUGGUCCUUAUGAUCCGUAAGAACUCUUGACGACUAAUUGAGAGACACUCAUACUUAGAGAAGAAUACUAAGUCACUUGUUUUGAUUACGUUAUGACCAAGUCCCUACGAAAUGUCAAAGCUCCGUACAACUCUUCAGAGGAGUCAUAGUCAGAAAAGUAAGGAUAAAAUUUUAGAAAUUUUUAAGGACCAAAAACUCAGAGUGUUACAAACUCUCCCGAUAAGUUUAUUUCUCCUCGGAUGAUAGGGAAAGGUAUUUAUUAGCACGAUUAGACACCAAACACAACCACUCUUACCUUUAAGAAAGAAAACCAAGAUACCAAGGAAUUUACAAUUUCCUUAUACAAAGACAAAAACUAAAAUGUUAAGUAUUACACAUACCUCAAGCACGAUUAUCAGGAACGGGGAACAAGAAUGAAUACUUGGACUUCAUGUCCUCCUCGGCCUCCCAAGUAGUUUCCUCAACCUUUUGGUUGCGCCAAAGGACCUUUACCCAAGCCACGUCAUUUGUCUGCAACCGAUGAAUUUGCCAAUCCAAAAUCUCAACUGGAGCUUCUUCGUAGGACAAGGAAUCUAAAAUACCCACCUUCUCCAAAGGAACAACCGUCAAAGGAUCACCUAUACACUUUUUUCAACAUCUAAAUAUGAAAAACCAGGUGAAUGGAAUUCAAAAUAGAGGGAAAAUCCAAUUUAUACGCAAGAUUACAAACCCUCUUCACAACCAAGUACAAGCCCACAUAACUGGGACGGAGCUUUCCCUUCUUACUAAACUGAAUUACUCCCUUCAUGGGAGAUAGUUUUAAGAACGCACAAUAACCAACACUGAAUUCCCAAUCCCUUCGCCUCAGAAUUUUGGUGAAUUCGGGCGACCCUAAGUCUAUCCCGAAUCACCUUCACCUUCUCCAUAGCUUGGUAAACCAAAUCAGAGCCAAACAACUUAUUUUUGCCAACUUUAAACCACCCAUUACGAGAUCUACACCUCUUACCAUAUAAGGCCUCAAAUAGAGUAAUACCAAAUAUAGAGUGAUUACUAUCAUUGUAGGCUAAUUCUGCGAGAAGCAAGUGGUCAACCCAACUACCACCAAAAUCAAACACACAAGCCCGAAGCAUAUCUUCCAAGACCUGAAUUAUCCUUUUUACUUACCCAUUCAUCUGCGGGUAGAAAGCAAUACUAAGGGUCACCUUAGUCCCCAAACCUCAUUGAAAAGACUUCCAAAAAUGAGAUGAAAAUUGAUUACUUUGAUCUGAAAUGAUUGAUACUGGAGAUCAUGCAACUUCACGAUCUCUCUAAUGAACAACUUCGCAUAGUCCUAAGAAGAGAAAUUAGUCGUCACUAGCAAGAAGUGUGCGGACUUAGUCAUCCUAUCCACGAUGAACCAAAUCAAAUCAAACUGCUGGCGAGACCGAGAAAGACAAGUAACAAAAUCCAUAUUAAUCACUUCCUAUUUCCACACUAGCAUCUCAAUUUCUUGAGAUAAUCCACUGGGUCUCAAGUGUUCAACCUUUACUUGUUAACACACCAUGCACUUAGCCACAAAAUUGGCCACAUCUCGCUUCAUAUUAUUCUACUAAUAAAUCUCCUUAAGAUCAUGAUACAUUUUUAUUAAACUAGGAUGAAUAGUAUAAUAUGACUCAUAAGCUUCGUCCAAAAUUCUUCCCCGCAACCCAUCAAUAAUGGGAACACAGUCUAAAUUAGUACCUCAAGAUACCAUCACCACCGAUCUUAAAAAUCAUUACCUUCUAUCUACCCACAUCAUUCUUGAUUUGCAUCAAGAAAGGAUCCAGUAUCUAUUUUUCCUUCACUUUAGCACCAAGAGAUGACUUUGCCACCUCUUGAACAAUCACACCACCAUCCCCGAAAUCCAAAACACGAACUCUAAGAUUAGCUAAACGAUUAAUAUUCUUUACUAAAUCCUACUUCUCCUCAUCCACAUGAGAUAAGAUUUCCAUGGAUAACCUACUAUGGGCAUCAGCAACCACGUUAGCUUUACCUAUAUGAUAGAGGAGAGUCAUGUCAUAGUCCUUGAGCAACUCAAGCCAUCUUCUUUGACUGAGAUAUACAUCCUUCUAAGUGAACACAUACUUUAAGCUCUUAUGAUUAGAGUAAAUAUCAACAUGGACCCCAUACAAAUAAUGAUGCCAGAUUUUUUCAUGCAAACACCACAGCUUACAAUUCCAAAAUAUAAGUCAGAUAAUUCUUCUAUGAACCUUUAACUGUAUAGAAGCAUACGUAAUUACCUUGAAAUGUUGCAUCAUCACAAAGACCAAUCCCACCUGGGAUGCAUCACAAUAGACAACCAAACCGUCCAUUCCCUUGGGUAGUGUCAAACUAGAGCUAAAGUUAACUUAUCAUUCAACUUCUCAAAGCUACCCUCACAAGCAUCAGACCACAAAAACUUUACCUUUUUUUGAGUUAACUUGGUCAACGGCACAACUAUCGAAGAAAACCUUUCCACAACUUUCUAUUAUAAUUGGCUAAACUCAAGAAGCUCAAAAUAUCUGUUGGAAUCAUGUGCCUAGGCCACUUCUUAACCACCACAACCUUCUGCAGAUCCACCAUAAUCCCCUCAAUAGAAACAACAUAGCCUAGAUAUGACACAACAUUCAACCAGAACUCAUACUUAUAGAAUUAGCAUACAAAUGUUGAUCCUUUAGGGUCUGCAACACAGGGCGGAGGUGAUCGGCAUGAUCUGCCUUACUCUUGGAAUACACCAACAUAUCAUCAAUAAAUAUAAUCAUGAAAAAUCUAAUAACUAAUGGAAAAAUCUACUCAUAAGGUCCAUAAAUGUUGUUGGAGCAUUAGUCAAGCCAAAAGACAUAACCAAAAACUCAAAAUGACCGUAUCAAGUUUGGAAAGUAGUUUUUGGGAUAUCCACCACCCUAAUCCUCAACUGAUAUACCUCAAUCGAAGAUCAAUCUUAUAAAAAACUUAGCACCCUAAGGGAGAUCAAAGUGAUCAUUAAUCCUCGAAAGUGGAUACUUAUUCUUCAAAGUCACCUUAUUCAAUUGGCAAUAAUCAAUACACAUUCAAAGCAAACCAUCCAUCUUAUGCACAAAGUGCACGGGAGCAUCCCACAUAAACAUACUAGGAUAGGUAAAACCCUUCUCUAGAAGGUCUUCCAACUACUCCUUGAGUUCUUUAAACUCAGAUGGAUUCAUGCUAUAAGAAGGAAUAAAAAUAGGAUGAGUGUUCGAAAGAAGAUCAAUACCAAAAUUAAUUUCCCUAUCGACAGGAAUAUUAGGAAGAUCAUCAGGGAACACCUCGAGAAAUUCACAGAUUAUAGAGACGAUCUUUAAGGAGUGACCUUUGGAUCCAGAAUCCUUAACAUGCACUAAGUAAUAGAGACAUCCUUUAGAAACUAAUUUCAGGGAUCUAAGAUAUGGAAUGAAUCUUUCCUUAGGCACUAGGGAACUACCUUCCUAUUCAAUCACCAUCUCAUUUGGGAAAUGAAAAUUGACCCUACAGGUCCGACAAUCUACAGGCGCAUAAUAUGAAUGCAACUAUUCCAUCCCCUAAAUAAUGUUAAAGUCUACUAUGUCCAACUCUGUUAGAUCCAUCAAGAUCUCCCUACCAUGGACCAAUAUCGCACAACCCCUAUAGACCCUUUUAGACAUAAUGGAGUCACAUACCGAGGUGAAUAUAGAAAAAAGAUCUGAAAUGCACUUAGGAUCUAAACCAAAUUAAAUAACCACAUAAGGGGUCACAUAAUAGAGUGUAGACCCAGGAUCAAGUAGACAAUAUACAUUUUGAGAGAAGAGUUUAAGCAUACCAGUAACAACAUCAUGGGAUGCUUUAGAAUCCUGGCGGGUGGCAAGAGCAUAUAGACGGUUCCAACCCGCGCCAGAGCCAAAAGCAAAACUAGCACUCUUUAGUGUAGGAGCAGAUAAAGUAACAACAGGAAUUUUACUCUCCCUAGAAGAAACCUUAGAAGUACAAUCCCUAUGAAGAUGUCCAAUAUAACAAUAUUUAAAGCACUUAUUCCUCUUUUCUUCAUAAAAACCAUGAUGCACCUGAUCACAAAAUCUACAAAGAGGAUAUAACGAGGCAGACUGUGCCCCACUAGCUUGCAACUAGGUUCCAGGUGCUCAUAACUCACUAUCAUACUGGGUACGAUGAUCACCUAAUGUCUUACGAUAAGAAGAACUAGCCGUAGAGUAGGAACCUAAAUUUUUCCUCUUCUUCUUAGACCACUUUCCACUAUCUCUACCACUUUGUUUCUGACCUACCCCCUGAUUAGAGUAGCUAAACUUCUUACUCUUCCUUUCACUGAUCUCUUCUUGCUUCAUCUUUUUUUCUUCCACUUGCUGCAUAUACACCACAAGCCUAGACAUGUCCAUAUCCUUGUUCAACAAGACAGCCUUGCUGUCAAAGAUCAACUCAUAGGAUAACCCAAAAGUGAACUUCCUCAUUCUAGCCCUUAUGCUAGACACCAACUCAGGAGCAUAUGAGGAUAAUUGUUGGAACUUCAAGGCAUACUCCUUGACUGACAUCAUGCCUUGAUUAAAAUUUACAUACUCCUUCACCUUCACCUCCCUCAACUCCUUAGGAAAGAACCAGUCCAGAAAAGCACUAGAGAAAUUAUCCCACAGGGUUGACUCAGCAUCAUCAUCCCUAGACUAGUCCCAAUCCUCAUACCACUAAUAUGCUACAUCCUUAAACUAGUAAGUAGAAAACUAUAUACCCUCUAUAUUAGUAGCAUGCAUCAAACAAAAGAUCUUUUCCAUCUUAUCAACAAAAUUUUAAGGAUCUUCCUCAACUUUAGAGCCAGUAAAAGUAGGAGUACUCAAUCUCAUAUAUUGGCCAACUUUAGUGACCAUGGAAAAUGGAGAAAUAAAAGUAACCUGCUCAGUCUGAGAAGCUAUAAACUGUGUAAGGAAAUAAAUCAACUGGGGAAACUCUGUGUUAGACACAUCAGCUCGAUGUGAUUGAGGAGGAAUAAGGGGAACUGGUGUAGCUCUAUCUAGGUAAUCAAAAGUAGCAACCCUAGAUUGGAUUUGAACUCCUGGAGUAGGACGACUUCGUCUACCUUCACAUUGUCCUCAAAUGAGACAUAAGAGUUCACAAGGAUAUCAGAUCUUCUUGGAGGAAUAAUAUGAAAUGAGAACAAACCGGAAUUAGAGUUAUUCAAGACCUUAGACUCUACAGCUCGAAAUAGAACAACAAGAAAGAGAAAUAAUUCUAAAUGCCUUAUACCUCUCCUUUAUAAGUGUGCCAUGCUACACAUCCAUAAAAGAGAUAAUACAUGACAAGGCUUUGUUGGACACUCAAUUACACCAAACCUAGAUCUGAUACAAUCUCUGUCAUGGCGUAAACUAGAGCUUCACUAUGACGGGUAUCUCAAAUCUACUGAGGAUCAAAGAGCACCCCCUUAUACCUAGCGAAACAACCCAAUAUCACCCCUGUCGGAUUAAUUCCAAAUAUAUAACAAGAUAACAUAAGGGUAAGCUUACUGAUAUUUAAUUCAUGUCCAUAAUUCAUCAACCAAAAAUCAGAUAAAAAAUCCGACCAACAUAACCCAAAUACACAGUAAACCAACAAAGCCUUCUAAACAAAGAACCAAAACUAAAUACCAAUAAAAUAUUGAGAUAUGACCCCGACUAUAGCCAAAAAUAAGUCUAAACAAGUUUGGGACAUAAGAAACCAAAACAUGAAAUAUAGACAUCCGAUGUAUAGAACCUUACUAAUUUAAUGUCAACUCACGAGUCGAUCCCGAAUCCUAAUCACUGAGCAAGAGAAGUGGAAGUAUGGAUAGAUCACGCAUCGAGCAGGGAUACAGCAUCUAAAGACAUUUAUCGGGGUGAACACUAGCAUGUAACCCAAGGAUAAGGGUAACAUAAUGCCAUGAUCAACAGUUUGAAAUCAUUCAAUUCAAUGCACUUAAUCAAAUGCAUAUACAUAUAUAUAUAUAUAAAUAUAUAUAUAUUUUUCAUGACCUAAUCUAGGCCCUAGCCUCGAUGGGCAUCCCUAACUAUGAAGGUUCGAGAGACCUCUUAGCAUACUAUUAUAAGCAUAAUUCAUACACGAAUCAAUGUGUGGAAGAUAUAAAAAUAUUUAAUAGAAACAUAUAAUCCAAAAUAUGUCAACGAAAUUAUGACAAUGCAAUAUUUAUUUUCGUCUACGAAGCCUCUAAUGAAAACUAACUACCUAGCCGGGACAAAGCCCCUAGCUAGACCAUAAAAUUGACUAAGAUUACAUAUAGAUAGAAUGCCUUUCGAGGCAAGGGUGGCUCACCAAAUUCAAGAAGUCUAGGAACAAUAUAUUACUAUGCUUGACCCUAGGACUGAGCCUCUGAACCUAUAAAGAGGGGGUCAAUACUCAAAAAUACUAGUAUGUAAAAUAAUCCAAAAAAUAACACAUACAUUAAAUAAAAUAAGUAAGAGCAUUACGAAAACAAUUUAUCAUAAUAUAUAUCGAAACAUAUGGGCAUAAUCAAUGAGCUUCAAAACAUUAUUUUAAGUGAUGACUUAACUCUUUCCUUUACUUCUGAGUUAGAUGGUACACCCUACAAGUCUAUAAUCCCACAGGUUAAAUGGAAUCCGUCUUCAACUCAUCGUCCAAGCACUCAAAUCCAACUUUUCUGAAAGGAUCGGGGUUCUACAACUAGUCUAGUAUACCAAUUCCCAUAGGAAAGUAUAUAUUGGUCGUUCAUAUGACUGGAAUGCUAAUCAUACAUCCCGAGUUGGCAAAACUCAGUUUUUAACAAUGAGCCAUUUCACUAAUAUUCUUUAUUUGAGUAACCAUCUAACUCUCUUUAAGCUCAAUUAUUUUCUUUUAAAGCCAUUCUUCAUGCUCAAAUUAUUCAUUUCUUUCAUAUUAAGGACAGUGCAUAAUAGGUAUCAUCAUAACUAGACUUGCAAUCCAAAUCAUAUCAUCUCAAAUCCAUAGCCCUUCUUUUUCAAAAACAUGCAAAUUACCACCAAAAGAUUUAUCAAAUCACAUGAGAGUUCUUAUUUUCAAAAGCAAAUGAAACUUAUGCAAACACACUCUCUUUUUAAAACUCUAACACAUAGUGGUCAAUUCUUUCAUUAAUCACAUGUAGUUUCUUUAUAAGGAAAUCAUAGCAUUUUAAAUAGAAAUCACCUCUUUGAUAAAUACGUGAAAAAACAUCCAUAAUAAGUAAAGGGGUAUUUAAACUCAAUAAUCAUCCUCAUUCGUAAAACAACCUCAACAUUAGUUAUACAUAAAUCUUAUGAACAAAAAAGGGCUUAUAAUUCAUGUCUAAAACCUAAUUCAAAAUUCAUAACAUGCUAAGACCAUAAAUUUCAGCAUGGGAAAGGGAAUUUCCCAGUUCAUGUUCAUAAAUCAAUUUUCAUACUCAGAAACCCAUGACAAAUACACACUUUCAUCAAAUCAGGUUCAUCAUGUAUGUUCUUUAAAAGAUUUUCAAAAACUAAUUUAAUAUACAUAAUUAUAUAUCUUUAAAACUUGUUAAAAGAGUAAACUUAUGCCCAUGAGAUUUAGGAUAGUCCCACAUACCUUUUGGCAUAGAAAAAUCAAAGAGAAGGUAGAGAGAUUUUCCCUUGGAGAUCAAAAUCCUCAAACCCUAGGUGGUUUUCUGCUCUCUUGCUUUAGAGAAGAUAAUUUUGGGAUUUGAGAAGUGAAAUAACAUGUGUUAAGACCUUAAUUUCGUCCGUAUAUGAUUAGGAACAGUUGCAGGAUAUGUAAAGACCCUAACACCCUUAAAUAGAAUAAAAUGGAGCACUUUUUGAUGUUUGGCUUUUGCUUGGCGGAGCAUGGCCAAGGCUAACCUCAGGGUAGGUAGCGCACAACGAAAGACAACUUCAGGGUUGGAGGCACACAUCAAAAGCCAACCCAAUCUAGUGGUGUUUCGUGAUUCCUUCAUGGUGCGGGCCUAAUGCAGACCCUAGACAAUGUCUUACUAAAACACUCAUAACUUUUGACUCCAGACUCGGAUUGAUGAAUGGAUAGUUGCAUUGGAAAAGGGACUCAAAGUUCUUUAAUUUGAUAUAUUAUAGGUCUCGCAAAUCCUUAUAUUUUAGGAUUAAUGUUUGUUGGAAGUUUACCUAAGAAAAUCAUCAACUAAAACUCAACUGGUAAGAACGUGCUCAACUUAACUUCGAGCUUAGAGACUUUUAUGAUGUAUACUCAUAUCCAAACAUGUUCUCAUACUAAAGCAUUUUUUAUUCACAAUUAUUUAUAACUAGAAACCAUUGUAUUUAGGUAUAUAUACAUCAAAAAUAUGUUUUAACUUUAGCCCAAAAAAGCAGGGUGUUACAUUAUCUCCCCCUUGGAACCAUUCAACCUUGAAUGAUGGGUAGGAACUUUUUGAAGCUAUAAAAGUAUGGAAUAAAUACCGUAACCUCACAUUGGAUAUUUUUCCUCAACAAAAUAUUCAUAGGCAUCAAAAGAGAUUCAAGAUAACCCCUAGUGAAUCGUGUAAGCACAAAGCAUGAGCUAAUAAGAAUUGACAUAGAGAUGACCUUGCACAUGAGUUCUGGGGAUCAUGAUCAUCACAACAUAAGGAAUGCAAAUAUUUGGUGACCAUAGGUCUUGAUUUACCUUGAUACUCAACAUGAAAUAAGGUUUUGCGGAAGAUAGGAAUAGAAGCAUCCUCCAUCUUAUAUGAUAUGACCGAUAGACCGUACACUUAGAGACACUAUUCAACUAUUCCCCAACCAAUAAAUAACAUACUUUAUCAUUUCCAACUUACAAUUCCCCUAUAACACACCUAACUACAAAAGUUUGAGUCCCACUACAUAGUACUUCCACAUUGAAGCGUAACCUGGAUUAAAAAGGUGUUAGCUUAAGCUAUGGGACCCCAUACUCUACAUCCCUUUAAUAAUAUUACUUCACCUUAUCACUGUAAUCAAACAGCCUUGGGCAUUAAUUCAAGGGUACUAACCACAUAGCACAUUGUUUUGCAUUUGCCUAAAUCACAACAUUCAAGCCUAUCUUUACUAUACCCACUUUAUGGAUCUCCACAUUAAAACCAACAACUUCACUCACUCUCACAAAGAUUUCACCACAUAUCCCCCUACCUAACUAUUUUACAUAAUAAUUGUUCAUUUUCUUCUUCCCUCUCUAACUCUAACCUUAGCUCAAGUAGUCACACAAAAUUUUAACACCAUAAGAAACAUCUACUCUCUCAUCUAAAAUGUUAUAUGCUUGCAUAACCACUAUUAUUCUAAUAAUCGAAGGGUCAUUGAGGGACCCUAGCAUAAGUAUCAUGAAUGGGAGUAACACAAUUAGAUUUUGACUUAUACUUAUUGUAAUACUCAAGGUGGGGCAUGAGUUGUAAGAUAUGAUACAAUAGGCACGAAGUGCAUUGUAUAUCAAAUUCCUAGAUCAUAAAUGGAGAGUUGUUUAGACAUAAACAUACACAACAUGAGUUCUUAGAGUUGGACACAGUGAGAAAUAUGUGAGCAUAUAUCAUGAGUUAUAUAGCAUAAAGGUGAAAUGAAGUCAACGAUUGAGACAAGGAUUGAUACUUGAAGAUAUUGCUUUUCAUUUUCAUAGAUGGGAUAGUCAUGAGUUUGCAUGAACCUUACCACUUUGGCUAAUACCGACGUAAACUGAAUCAAUAACAUUCAGAAAGCAUAGUUUCUUAGAACCAAGCAUGAUGUGAGACAUGAAUUUAUGGAUCAUGAGAAACACAAUAUAGAAUUUGAAUACUUGGAAUAUUGGAUUAUUGAUGGACAUUAUUGCUUCUAGUUUGUAGGUUGGAACAUGGACAUAAGUGCACAGAGAACUCGAACCUUAGGCAUAUGUAAGAUUUGAAUAGAUAAGACAUUGGUAGAGUGCCUUUUAAAUUGAAAUUAGAGGACUUUACUAGAAUAGGAAUAGAUUUAUCACGACUCUUCCCUAAAACUUGCCACUAUGAGAAAAUUUGGAAACUAGUUUAAUUCAUCAUCUCCCCCCCUCCCCACCCUUAGAUCAAGUCACAAACCUCAACUUUAGGACAAAUCCUCUCACUAAAUCUAUAGACACAACUCUCAACAUAAAAAGAGGUAUCACCAUACACAUAAACGCGAAACCCCCUGAUAAACUAUACUCUGAAGUCUUUGCUUUUCUAGAAUGCUACUCUUAACUUUUACUAGCCUCUAUAGCCAUCGCCCUACGACUCACACUCUCAUGAGCAUAUACAUCCAUACUCCUUAUCACAUAACAAUACAUUCUCCACUACUUAACAUACUGGCAUUAAAUCUCAAAUAUCAUAACCUCAUAACUUAACAAACCUUUUAAAACUACACCAAGGGUUCACAUAGCCUAUCUAUUUCUCCCUCAAUUCAGCUCUACAUAACACCAUAUAACGACUUCCUAUACUUCUCCAUACUAAGAACUUCAAAAACAUGAACUAGGUACACAUGAAACAUAUACCCAUAAAUACUUAUCUGACAACAUGCUAUCUGAGGUUCAACUUAUUCUUAUGCACCUAACACUUUUUUCCACUUAAUGACUCCACCACAAUUCAUCAUUUUAACACUGGUCCUCAUGUGUGUAUAUAUAUUUCAUGAUUAUCCAUCAUUUUUUCCACAAGUCGCCAACUUAGACUAUUGCACACGUCAAACUAAGCCUACUAUUUACUCCCAUAAAACGUGCAUCAUUAAUCUCAAGCUACUAUUCUUACCCCACAAUCCAGGUCUAAAGUUCAAGCCUAUUGUCUAACACCAAUCAUGUACCACUGAUGAUGCAUGCCAUAUAUUUUACUAGUCCGUCAAAUGGGGAAAAUCAACCCAAAUUCCCUAUUUCACCUAACUACAGUCCACAAGUUCAUUCUCUUCAUAAUAUUACUACCAUACCUUAGAAUCUACCACACACCUUCUCAUUUCAGUACUAGUUUACAACUACUAAAGAAAAGACAAUCAAAGGGGUAAAUUCACAUAAUAAGGAUAGUCGAUCUUAAUCGUAUAAUAUAACCCAUUACGAUAUAUUAGUAUAUUCAACCUUCCCACAUCAAAUCUACUUAACCAUGCAUAUAUUUAGACUAGUUUUAAAAUUCCAAAAACGUCUCUAUGUUUUCCCCAAGUUAGUCUAUAUUAUUGACUAAUCUACCCCUUUCCAUUCACGACAUAUAAAUGAUUUCUAUGACUACCAUAACUAUCCAUUCUGAAAUCCUUCCCUAUUUUAAAUAAAUGAUGAUCAUAGUCAAUCACUUCCUCCAAAGACUACCAUACAUUCUACAAGUCUUGCUACAACAUCAGCCAAUCACUAUAAAAGGGCAAACCAUCAUUCAGUCAAGGAUUACACAACUAAAACUAAAUUUGUUUUGCAAAAGUUACCCUUUCUCUGACUUCUAAACUUGUAACUUCAUAUCACUAACUUCUUGACCAUAUUAAUACCAAUAGAUCAUGAUACCUUAACAUAUACUAUUACUCAAGGGGAAAUACUGUUCUAACAUUCUAUGACAUAUCAUUACCCUUAAGUAUGCUAUCUGCAACAAGGAUUUUGAAAGGGACUGAAUACACUUCAUACCUUAGGCUCAAAUGCAUGAUUGAUAUAGAUAGAGGUAUAUUCUUAAAUCAACAUACUUUGAAGAACUAAUAGACUCCUCUCAAGUCCUUAUGCAAUUUUAUAACCUUCGAUGAAUCAACUAGAAAGGACCACAUCAUUUAGACUUUAGUUUUUGCACUUGAAUCGCCUCGACAAUAAGACAGAGCUAAUACAAUUAGAGUAAAUAAGGAAUUUGGAUAAAUUCAUUGUGGAAAUCACAAUGGCACAAUCUAGAGUAUGAAAGAAUGGGAAAAUCUCCUAAAUGCCUCGUAGCUUCCUUCUUAUAAGUAUGGCACACUACACAUCCAUAAAAAAAACUCUACUGAACAUGACUUUGUAGAUACCCUAGGACCAUGAAUCGUGCUUUGAUACCAAGCUUGUCACGACCCGAGUCGAGUCCUUGUCCAGGACAGGCAUCACUAACAACGAAGGCCCAAGAGACCCCUUAGAAUACUAUUAUAAGCAUAAUCCAUACAUGAAUAAAAGUACAGAAGAUAUAAUAAUAUUAAAUUAAAACUUAUAAUCCAAAAUGUGUCAACAAAAUUAUAAUAAUGCAAUACUCAUUUCCAUUUAUGAAGCCUCUAAUGAAAACUGAUUGUCUAGGCCAGAAAAAGACCCCGGCUAGACCAUAAAACUAAUUGAGAUUACAUGUAGAUGGAAUUCCUUUCGGGGUAAGGGAGGCUCAACAAAUUUUGGAAGUCUAGAAAUAAUAUACUACUGAGCUGACCUCGGGACUUAGCCUCUGAAGCUAUAGAGAAGGGGUCAAUACUCAGAAGUACUGGCAUAUAGAACAAUUCCAAAAUAACACAUACUUCAUGUAAAAUAAGUGAGAGCAUUAUGAAAAAAAUUUACCAUAAUAUAUAUAGAAACACAUGGGCAUAAUCAAUGAGCUUUAAAACAUUCUUUUAAGUCAUGACUCAACUCUUUGUUUUACUUCUGAGCUAGAUAACACACCCUAUAAGUCUACAAUCCCAUGGGCUAUAUGGAAUACGUCGUUAACUCAUCGGCCAAGCCCUUAAAUCUAAGUUUGCCACAAGGAUUGAGGUCCUAUAUACUAGUCUCAAAUACCAGUACCCAGAGGCAAGUAUACAUUGGCCAUUCAUAUGAUCGGAAUGCUAAUCAUAUCUCCCGAGUCAAAAAACCUCGAUUUCGCUCAAAUAAUUUCUUCAGGAAACCAUCUAACUCUCUUUAAGCCCAAUUUUAGACUCUUAAAACCACGCUUCAUGCUUAAAUUAUUCAUUUAUUUCAUAUUAAGGACAUUCCAUAAUAGGUACUGUAUACCUAGACUUGCAAUCUAAAUCAUAUCAUAUCAAAUCCAUAGCUCUCUCUUUCAAAAGCAUACAAUGACCACCAAAAAAUUUAUCAAAUCACAUAAGAGUUCUCAUUUCCAAAAGCAUAUGAAACUUAUACAAACACAAUCUAUUUUCAAGACUUUAACACAUGGUGGUCAAUUAUUUUAUUAAUCGCAUGUAGUUUUUUCAUUAAGAAACCAUAGCAUUUUGAAUAGAAAUCACCUCUUUGAAAAAUACAUGAAACAACCAUUCAUAAUAAGUAAAGUGGAAUUUAAACUCAAGAAUCAUCCUUAUUCAUAAAACAACCCCAACAUUCGUUAUACAUAAAUCUCAGGAUAAAAAAAGGAGCUUAUAAUUCAUUCUCUCAAACCUAAUUCACAAUUCAUAACAUGGUAAGACCAUACAUUUCAUCAUGGGGAAGGGAAUUUCGCAAGUCAUGUUCAUAAAUCACUUUUCCAACUUAAAUCAUGUAGGCACAAGAUUAUAAAUCAAGCUCAUGGAAAACCCCCAUGACAAUUAUACACUUUCAUCAAAUCAGGUUCAUGAUGCAUGCUCUUUAAAUAGUUUCCCAAAACUCAUUAGAUAUAUAUAAUUAUAUAUAUUUAAAAUUUGUUAAAACAUUAAAAUUAUGCCCAUGAGAUUUAGGAUAGUACCACAUACCUUUUGAUGAAAAAAACUAAAGAAAACAUAGAGAGAUUUUUCCUUAUAGAUCAAAAUCCUCAAACCCUAGGUGGUUUUCUCCUCUCUUACUUAAGAAAAGAUGAUUUGUGCUAUAAGAAGUGAAAUAACAUGUGUUAAGACCUUAAUUUCAUCCAUAUAUGAUUAGGAAAGGUUAUAGGAGGUGAAAAGACUAUAACACCCUUAAAAAGAAUAAAAUCGAACACUUUUUUAUGCUUGGCUUUUGCUUAGUGGCGCAUGACCAAAGACAAUCUCAAGGUUAGAGGUGUACAGCCAAAGCCAACCAUAGGGUUGGUGGCUCACAUACAAAUCUAACCUAUUCCUAUGGCGUUUAAUGAUUCCAUCGUAGUGCUGGCCUAACGCGGACCCUGGACAGUGUCAUACCAAAACACUUAUAACUUUUGAUUACAAACUCAAAUUGAUGGACCGUCAGUUGCAUUGGAAAGAGGACUCAAAGAUAUUUAAUUUAAUAUAUAAUAGGCCACAUAAAUCCUUAUAUUCUAGGAUUUUUCGUUGGAAGUUGACCCAAGAAAAAUCAUUAACUAAAACUCAAUCGUAAGAGCGUGCUCAACUUAACUUUGAGCUAGAAAACUUUUAUGAUGUAUACUCAUCUCCAAAUAUGUUCUAACAAUAAAUCAUUGUUAUUCACACUUAUUUCUAACUAUACACCAUUUGAUUCGGGUUUAUAUACAUUGAGAAAAUGACCCAACUUUUGCCCGAAAAAGCAGGGUGUUAUAAUAUAUCACAUGUCGGGAUAGGAAACUAGGCUUAAUAUGUUUUUCAUAACUAUAACCUGGAUCGUGUAGCUUAACCAUCAUAUAAUAGUACCAACAGGCUAUAUGGACCCAGCUCACCCCCAGUCGGGCCCCAAUACAUAUAUAGCCACAUAAACUAGAGAAAGAUCAUAUAUAUAUAUGUAUAUAUGUACAAGAGACUCAAAUCCUCCAAUCAUUUACUAAAGUGACUUAAUCACCCGGCCAUAAAAUAUGAUAUGGGAAACUCAAACCCUACAAUCAUAAUAAUAACAAUAAGUUGGAUUCGAACCACCUGUUCACAAGUAAGGGGACUCUAACCCUCAAUCCAUAACGACCCCCAAAUCGGCUAACGUAGUUUCUAGUGUCAGUCACUCGGACGUUAACUUUCAUGACUCAGCUACACAACCCUCUUUUGAAGCCCAAUUAAAAUAUUUAUCACACAUUCCAUUUAUUGAACCAUAUUUCAUAGUAAGGCAUAUAUUGUUGGUAUCCUCAUACCAACCACACUUGUAAGGUAAUAACAAUAUGCCAAAAUAAUUACAUCACUUGAGGGAAAUAAUCCCCUUGGUUCAAUUAUGUAAUAGAUUGUGAAAACACAAAUCCAUAAGGUUCAAUUCAACAUCAUAAUAUAAUAGUUCAAGAAUAGUUCAAUUCCCACAUUUCUUAUAACUAAAAACUAGUUUCACAAUAUAGAUUUAGGGUCAUAACCACUUCAAAAGUCACAAGUUUGGGGAAAAUCACAAUUCCUUAGUUCAUUCACCAUACCAAUGCACCCACAAGUUCAAACCAUAUUUAAAGCAUGAUUAAUCAUAUAUAAAUCAUGGGAAAACAUUGUUCAACAAAAAGCAUUCAAUAACCUCAACCCCUAUUUUAAAACCAUCAUAAAUAUCUCAUGAACAAUACUUUAAAUCACAUGCCUUUACAAAAUUAACAAUGAGGGAAGAAUAACAUGCCUGAAAUACCAAGUUCUAUAGAAGAAAUUGAAUCCUUGAGCGAUUGGAUGACCAAAUUAUUAAAACCUGGAAUGACUUGCUUGAGAGUAUUUAAAAGAGCCUUUGAAUUGUUUUGAGCAUGUGAAAGGUGAAUUUUAACCCCCUUAAGUGUUUUAUGGAAAUGGGGUUUUAAUUGGGUGAAAGGAAAAUUAUCCAAAAUACCCUUAAAUUAAAAGCUAAAUUUUGGUCAUCAAUGGCUACGAGUCACUAUACGACUCAUAUAGUCUCACUACGACUCUUCACAAGGAGUCGUAGCCAAGGCAGAACCACAAAGGUGCCAUAUUGUUCUGGUUACGAUUCAUAUCACCAACUCAUAAGCAUACUUAACGAAUUAUUCUCAAGACAACAACAAUUUAGGAUGACACACUAAAUACCUUAUGAUUGGAAAAUAACGACUCUUCAUGAGUCUUUAUGACUCGUGGCCUCAAGUUAUAAUAAAGAUAGUUUCUUGAGCCAAACUUACUGGACACCUUACAACUCGAUCCUCACAGUCCGUAAGAAGCCUUGACGACUAAUUGAGAGCCACUCGUACUUAGAGCAGAAUACUAAGCCACUUAUUCUAAUUAAGUUGUGAUCGAUUCCUUAAGACCUGUCAAAGAUUCCUAUGACUCAUCAGGAGAGUCGUAGUCAAGACAGUGAGCAUAAAAUUUUAAAAAAUUUCAAGUACCAAAAACCUGAGGCGUUAUUGAUAGAGUCCCCGAGGAGGUCUAUGGAGGUACUUGGAGGCUAGAGGUGUACCUAUGGUGUAUGUUAGGGCUAUUAAGGAUAUGUACGAUGGAUCCAAGACACAAGUUAGGAUUAAGGAAGGGGACUUAGAGCACAUUCCCAUCUUGAUGGGGUACAGUAGGGUACAUCAAGGAUCGAUUCUUAGUCCAUUUCUAUUUUCCUUGGUGAUGUAUAUUAUGAUAUGGAAAAUUCAAGGUGAGGUGCAGUACUAUUUUCUUUGUACAGAUGAUAUAGUCUUGAUCCAUGAGACACAUGGUGGAGUUAAUGCUAAGUUGGAGGUUUGGGGCAAACCCUUUAAUCUAAAGGGUUUAGAUUGAGUAGGUCCAUAACGGAAUAUCUGGAGUGUAUGUUCAGUGAGGUAUCACAUAAGUCCUACGUGGUUGUAAAUCUUAAUAUUCAUUUCAUCCCAAAAGAGAGACAGUUUCAAGUAUCUGGGUCUAUGAUUCAGGAAAAUGGAUAGAUUGAUGAGGAUGUCACUCAUUGGAUUGGGAUAAGGUGGAUAAAUGGAGGAUCACCUCUGAAAUCUUGUGUGACAAAAUAGUACCUCCUAAAGUCAAAGAAAAGUUCUGCAGAAUGGUGAUUAGACCAACUUUGUUGAUAGGGUAGAGUUUUGGACUGUAGAAAAAUCUCACAUCCAAAGGAUGAAGAUGGCGAAGAUAAGAAUGUUUCAGUGGAUAUAUGAAUAUAGUAGGUAAUAUAGGAUUAAAAAUGAGGUUCUUUGAGAUAAGAUGAGAGUGACUUCAGUGGAAGCCAAGAUGAGUGAAGCGAGCUUCAGAUGAUUCAGACAUAUGAUGAGGAGGAGAAUGGAUGCCUCAUUGCGGAAGUGUGGGAGGUUGUCUACGAAUGAAUUCAAGUGAGAUAGAGGUAAACCAAACAAAUAUUGGAGGAAGGUGAUUAGACAUGAUAUAGAGCAACUUCAGCUUACCGGGUACAUGACCCAAGAUAGAAAGUUGUGGAGGAGGCGGAUUAGGUAGAAGGUAAUUAGUAUUAUUUCCGAAUGUUGUAUCAUUUGUUGUAUCACUUGGUGAAUCUUGUCUAUGUUGUUAUUGGUGUGGGAAUUUCUAUUGUAUCUUGUCCUUUUACUAUUCCUUUUCUUGAUUAUUUUAUCUUGAGCUGGGGAUCUAUUGGAAACAACCUCUCUAUCUCACCUCUGAGGUAGUAAUAUGGACGGCGUACACUUACCCACCCCAGAUCCCACUUGGGGGGAUCGAUAUACUGGGUAUGUUGUUGUUGGUAUCCGCAUGUAGUGUACCAUACAAAAUUUACCCUAAAAUCUAAAAACAACAAAGAAUUGAUUAUCGACUCGUUAAUGAAUAAUUAUACAGUUUGUAACCCUAAUUAUAAAUUUGAUACAUACAUAGAGCUAUCUAGAGUGGGAUGAUACACAAUAACCAUGGAUCUGUUAAACUGCCAUUUUGGAGUUGAGUAAAAACACUCGUAUAUCUAAUUAUCUAAUCACAAAAAAAUAGGUUUAUAUGCCUCCGUAUUUUGUCAUUGUUUGCUGUGUGUUUUCUGUGUGAGUGAAGGGGAAAAUUACAUAAGAACAAUAGAGGCUUAUAUGUCAACAAAACUUAGAGUAACUUGGAAUUACUGUUCUAGUAAGCUAUGAAUCAGUUGCCUCCUCAAAUAACUGCAAAAAAAAUGGAUUCUUGUAACUGAGAUGACACAGAAAAUGCGUGCAAUAAUACUUGAAGAUUCAAAGUUAGUUUCAUGUAACUGUAGACAUCGAAUUUUUGUGAAACUCUACUAGACGAGCCCAUUCUCUGUUAGACUUUUUGGAGGCAACUCUACCCUAAUCCUAGCUCACGCUUAUUUAAAAAGUAACAUAUUUCAUUGUAAAGAUAUCUCGAAUAUCCCAUAAACUCUUGAAAUAUUCACAAAGAGAUCAAGACAUCAAAUAACGCCAUCUCAAAAUUGGUCCCGUGUUCCUUGUCAUGAAAUAUAUCGUAAGGUGGUCCAAAAUUAUGUUUAUCAAUAAAAUUACGUUUCUUUUCAAAUAUAUUUUCUAUCACUUUAAAAUUUACAUGCAGUUCAUACUAAUUUUUCCCAUGAUUAAAAGCUAAUCUUCUAAAGAGGUUUCACAUUUACCGCCAUAUGAAUGGCGAUCACAAUUCUCUUUGUUACGAUGUUACAUUCUGCUUUUGUUAUGGUUGUUAAGCCUUUUAAACUUUUCUAAAUAUAAAUAUAUUUACAUUUUUUCACCUACAUUUUCUUUGAAAUAAUGCUUGCUUGAAGGGCAAAACAAUAUGUGGAAAAAAAUAAAAUUGAAGGGCAAAACAAUCAUUUAGCUUUUAAUGGUUAUUUUGGGGCUUCCGCUUAUAAUAUGGUAUAUUGGUACAUGAUGAUAUGAUAGUGACGACAACUAGUUGUACCAAAAAUAUAAUGCUUAAGAAUGCAAAAAUGUUCCGCCAGAGUUCUAUACGAUUUAAAUAGCCAUAAUAUACAAAUAUAUCUUUUAACUUGGCUUCAAAUUAUAUUUAUAUAUUUCACAUAUAGGUAUACAUAAGUAGACACUUAAAUUUGUAUAAAAUUGAACAAAUAGACACCUGCAUUCUAUGUGGCCAAUUCAUGUUCCACAUGGCCUCCUACGUGUACUGUGUCGCAUAGAAUAUGUGUGUCUAUUUAUUCAAUUUUAUACAAUUUUAAAUAUCUAUUUGUGCACAUUCAAAAUUAAAAAUCAUAAAUAUAAAUUGAGGUUAAGUUAAAGAAGAAUGUUUUAUGUAUUAUGCCUUUUAAAAUAUUAACGUAGCUUCCUAUGUCUAUCAUGUUAACUUUAUAUACUUAAAACAAUCAUGCUUCUGUUUAACAACCACCCUUUUUUAAUUAAUUUCAACAACAUUGGGACCCAACAAAACUUUUGAUUAGAAUUCACUAACAAUUUCCCCCGUCGACUAUUACCAAAAAGAACUCCAACGAAUUUUAUAUCAUUAAAUAGAUCUUCUAAGAUCAUUGCUUUGCAUCAUCAAUUCUUCUUUUAGAGAAUAAAUAAAAUCCUGCUUGUCAUAUAAAUUAUGGACAAAACUUGCCAUCUCCUCUUUGCUCUUGCAGUAUUCAUUCUGGUCUAUCAUCAAACUUCACAUGCUACUAUCCUCAAUAUUAACACUUAACACUGAUGAAGCUGCUCUUCUUGCACUGAAAUCAUACACUUGGUCUCAUCCUAACGACAUCUUAGCAAGCAAUUGGUCUUCUUCCAACCCGGUUUGCAGCUGGAUCGGAAUCGCUUAUAGCUUCCGCCACCAUCGAGUCACUGCUUUAAACAUUUCUAGCAUGCAACUUCAUGGUACCAUUCCUCCACACCUUGGAAACCUCUCAUUUCUUGUUUCCCUCGACAUCAGUGUAGACACGUAAAAUUUAUUGGGUCAAAUUCAUAUAAAAAUUAGAUUUGACCCAUAUUUUAUUGAACCUAAAAUUAUUUUGGGUUAUAAAAAUAAUAAGCUCAUUUUAUUCCUCAUCAAAGACUUCAAGGUCCAUCUCACCUUGAGGCCCAAACUUAUGCCACGUGUCAAGUGAUGUGGCAUCCCAGUCAAAUUAAAGAUCAAUUAAGCAAGACCACACAUAUCCAAUGAUGUGGCAAUCCAAGUCAAGUUCAAGAGCCAAUAAAACAUCACCAAGUGUCCCAAAUGACAUGUUUUUGGCCAAUCACAAGCAACCUUGUCACAUAACAUUUGUGAUAAGCUUGAAAAUUAAAUGGAACAAUCAAAAUAAGGCAAAAGAGGUUAUUUACACUUGGAUUGCCUACCCCUAUAACUAUACAUAGAGGGUUACACAAUUUUCUAGGGAGAUUCUGCAAGCAUUGGAGAAAGCUUCUGCAUUGACUAUACAGCUCUUCAACGAAUCGACUAACGGAGUUCUGCCCGAAGGUCAACUCGACAAGACGAAGUGCUGUCAAACAAUUCCUAGAAAUCCAAACAAAUUCCUGGGAGGCUCAAAUCAUCCGAAAGUUCGAGAAUUACGCUACAAAGGUCCUCGAAUUACGUAAAAGCUUAGGGGAGAAGAAUCGAGAGAAUAACAGAAAUGUACCCACAGAAUUACUUUAAGUAAAAUUAUUCUUUUUAUUUAUUUUUAUUUUUACUUGCAGUUAAUUUUCCGUACAACGAAAAUUUGUUGCGAACAAUCAGUAACAACACUUUCCAUGGAGAUUUUCCGAAAGAGUUGGCUCAUCUGCAGAGGUUGAAAGUGAUUAAUGCCACAAGAAAAGACUUCACCGGAGCUGUUCCAUCAUUUUUAAGUUUGUUAUCAAACCUACGCUCAGUAUCUCUCGAGCAACCAAUUUUCGGGGAAAAUUCCUUCUUGCCUUUCGAAUCUUACAAAGCUGGAAGUGUUGAACUUGGAGAGAAAUUUUCUUGAAGGAGAAAUACCUUGGGAACUCGGUGAUCUUCCCUGCCUGAAUUUUUUAAACCUGCAACUAAACCACCUUAGCGGCUCUAUACCUCCAUCGAUAUUUAACAUUAAAACAAUGCAACACAUUGGUUUUACGUAUAACAAUCUUACUGGUAAGCUUCCAUGUGUGACCAUCUUCCGAACUUGGAAGGUUUUUACCUCUCAAGAAACUAUAUAGGUGGCGUUAUUCCACCAAACCUGGAGAAAUGCAUAAAGCUUCAUGAAGUCUUGUCACUGACUCACAAUGAGUUUGCUGGAACUUUUCCAAGAAACCUAUCCAACUUAACAGUUCUUAAAAGAUUAUAUAUUGGAUCUCUGCAUUUGGAAGGUAGUAUGACAUUUUUUAAUCUUUCUUUUGAUAUCUAUCAUUAUCUAUUGUGUUUUGAUUAUUAUAUUAUUAAGUUGCUGUUGUUAUUUAUUUUGUUGGGCUCUAGUGAUGAAAUGUGAAUGGAAAAUGAAGAAAAGAAAAAUGGAGGAAAAGUGAAAUGUUCCUUUACUUUACGGAAGAAUUGUACUGCCACAUAACUGGGAGAAAGAAACUUUUUUAUGCUUGAUAAUAGAAGCAUUCCUCUAAUAAAAUGGCUAACUCCACCACACGUAUUAGGAACCUUGUUCAAAGAAACUACAGUAUGCAUUAAAAUUAAACUAAACUAAACACAAAUGAUAUACUAGGAGGAUUUCAACACCAAUCUCCACUAUCUUCACACCAUAAACACUAGGAGGAUUUCAACACCAAUAUCCUCUAUCUUCACAACAUCAACAUUUCAGAUUAAAACUCAGCAAUCUAAGGGAUUAACUCGAGUACCUCACCUCAACAGUUAACUAUAACAGUUCUAUGCACUAGUUCACCGCUCCAAUAAGUCAAACUCGUUUCUUGUUAUAACGCCUCACAAACACUUCACUUCUAACACUAAACAGAAGUUAUUCUUGAUAUAACGCCUCACAAACACUUCACUUCUAAUCUUGUUAUAACGCCUCACAAACACUUCACUUCUAACACUAAACAGAAGCUAUUACAACUCAGUUAAAACUUCUAAUGCAAAACUAAAAUCGACACCAAAACUGCCACCUAGUAAUAACUUGAUAUUUCCAGUUGCUAGUUUUCAUCGUCUUGCUCUUUCUUUCUUUUAUAGUUUUCCAGAUCUGUGGAUGCGUAAAAAUGUGCUACUCAAUUGCUUACAAUGCUGUGUAUAUAUUGCUUGUUUGCCUCCCUUAGGUUACAACUACCUUUUCCUUGCGCAAACCAAUUCCUGUAAGGAGACCUGCAUGCUAGAAUACACCUCAUUAACAUAAAUAAAAAAAUAAAAAGAUCUCCGUUUAAAUUAGGACUCCUGAUUCUUUUCAAUACAUUAUGAUAAAUAAAUACACUUUUGGCCUAACUCAACCUCAAAAGCUAACUUAUGAGGGGAGGAUUAUCCAAGGCUAAGGAGACCAAGGACCCUUUAAUCCAUUGAUGUGGGACUCCAAAACCCCCCGCACGCCCAGGGCUGGACAUCUGGAGCGUGGACAAUUAUAACGACCCGAAAUCUCCUCCCGGGACGUCACACGGUGCUUAAGGCUAUAAGUAGCCCCAAGCUAACCCUUUGAGCCUGUCACUAUAUAAAAUAACUCAUUUCAAAAAGAAAUAAACAAAAUACUAGCACUGUCAUAUCAAAUGAUAGAAAAUACGAAGAAAAUACCUGAUCCAAAUGCCCACAAUACUGAAAAUCUCAACAUACUAACAAUCUGAUACUAGUCUGACAAAGUCUCUACUACUACAUGAACUAGAGAGCCAUUGGGACAGGUCCUAACUGACUCAAAUUGAACUGAAAGCAAUAAUAUGUUUACUAAAAUACUGGAAUAUCUGAAGAUAGGUCCUCGAACCAUGAGGACUCACCACUGUAGAGAUGUAGACAAAGGUACUUGGAAAUCACUGGCGAGGCUGGGACUGAGCACCUGAACCUACAUUAUAAAAUAAUGUAGCACAUAGACGUAUAUGUGGAUCAGUACUUGGGAAUGUACUGAGUAUAUUGGGGUGUAUGCAUUUACAUAAAACAAUAUCAAUACUCUUUAAUCAAAUCAUGCAUGCAAAUAUGAAUGACUCACAUAGAAUGAAUAAGUCUAAUAUAAUAAGCUCAUAAAUCAUGUAGAAUGAAGCAUGUAACACAAAUCUCGUGAGUCAUUAUACUUUAGAUUUAAAAUCUAUACUCUCCUCUUAUUCUCAUUACUCGAAGGCUAAAGGAAGCUUUAAACAAUACUUUCAACUCAUGCAUAUAUCUCAUAGAGAGUAAAACUUCUUUAAUGCUCAAGAACUUAGAAUUCCUUUACACUCAGGACACUUGGAACUCGAAAUUAUAUAAGUUUGGUUUAAAAGCUGAUUAUUUACUCUUACUGGUAAAGAAAACUACUUCCUUCUUGGGAAAAUUUUACUUCAAGAAACUAUUCUGAAAAUCUUACUAUUAGGGAAAAAUACUCAAAAGUUGUUUACUCACUGUUUACUAGCAGAGAGGUUCUCUUAAUCGACAUACACCAUGCGAGCUACAUGGAGUCCAACGUCUUAUCCUCCUAAGGAAGAAACCUCACAUUGGAGAUAGGCAUCAUACUCUUGCCAGUAAGUAUAACCUCAACUCAGUGAUCACUUAUCUCGGCCUUGAGCCCAUAAAUCUCAAUUCUUCGAUGGCACGUAGUUCUGGGGUAUGAAACCAUAGUAACUUACCCAACUCAGUGCUAAAUACUACUCCCUUUAGUUAGCUAUGCUCAUCUCAUGGAAAUCCACUUUAAAAUAAUCUCAUGGUUCAUAAGAACCCAACUAUAAAAUUCGUAAUCUCAUUUGGUAACAUGGAUUUCAAAGCUACUAUGACCAUUGAGGUCAAAACUUUCUCAAUGAUCUCAAAAUACUCAAAUCAUGGGUGCUUAUAGCACAAAAGUUCAUAAAAAACUGAAAUCUCAAGUAGGGUUUAGUGACCCAUAAUCAAAUCUCAAGUUAAGACUCAUCAAAAUGCAUACUAGAUGUUAUAAGGAUACACAAAUCAUAUGGAAAUCUGGAAUGUUCAACAAUUUGUCUUAAUAUCUUAACAUACUCAUGUACUUCAAUUUCUAGAACAUUGGCAAAUCUCAAAAUCCCAUGCAUAGUAAUAUUGGGUAUGAACCCACACUUUAAAUUCAUAGGAGAACUCAUAAAGCCAUAUAUCUUUGUAAUUUAAAACAAGUUUUGGGCACAAAAACGAAACACUUGUCCUUGUUCAAACCCCACAUACCUUUAGAUUGUAACUUAGAUAAACAAACUUGCUUGAGACUCUUCUUCUUACUCUUGAGAGAGGUUCUUGAAGCCUUGGACUUGGGGAACUAGAAUCUCAACGUAAUUUGUAGAAUCUAUGGUGAGUUCUUGAAUUUCUUGGAGAAGGGUUUUGGGUUUGUUCUUGAGGAAGAAACCCUAGCCUUUGAAUGUUUUGGGAGAUAAUGAAGUCAUAUGCUUCAUUUUGCAUAUAUCUAAGUAUUAAAAAGGGAAAAGACCAAAAUUUCUUUUAAAAAUGACUUAAAAAUAAUGAAUGGGAUUUGCGAUGGUCGGUGUGAUGAUUCGUCGCUAGUCUGACGGCCCGUCAGAUCAUCCGGUGCAUGUUGGUAAGAAAAAGGCCACACUAUCUCAGUUGCGACGGUCUUAGAGAUGGUCCGUCGCUAGCUUGAUGGUCCGUUGUCUUGUCCAUCGCACUUCGGCCAGAAGAGGGAGUUACUGCCUAGGUUGCAACAGUUUAGGCGACGAUCCAUCACAAGCUCGACGGUCCGUCAACCUACCCGUCGCACCUAAGCAAGUCCGAUAACUCUUAGUAAAACAGACAUAACUUCUCACCCCAAUAUCGGAUUUGGAUGAAAUUGGUAUCGUUGGAAAGAUAAUUCAAGUUUCCACAUGACAGAAAGUCAUUUUUGGAAAAUUCAAUCAAGGUUAAAAUAUUAAUUAGUUGGGAAGUCACUUUUCAAUCUUUUAGGGUAGGAAUUACACUUCACUUGACAUGCUCUAAGGCUCAGACUACGAGGAAAAUUUUGCGGGGUCUUGCAAUAUCUCUAAUAACGCUCAAAUUGCACAUUAAUUUAGUACAAGGCAGUCGUCAUCAAUAUAUUUACCCAACUUUAGAGUCAGGGACGAAUCCACAAGGAGCAAUAUGAGUAACGAUUAAACUAAUUUGAAACUACAGCUAUAAGUUGAUUUUAAACAAAUGAUACUAAAAGAUAAAAUAAGGGUUUUUGAUGAUCAAACAAAUGUUAAAGUUUUAACUUGCUUUAGAGCUUAAAACUAAAAUUUCAAUAGUUAAAAUCAGUGAUAGAGAAACUAGGGUUGUGAUCACUAUGAUUAUUAAUCCCCAUUAAAUAGUAGUUGUAGUGUUAGGUUCUCAUGACUUGUGGGAAACACUAAACUAUCAAUUUCGACAAUCCAUCUAAGGGUUUCUCAACCUACUUAGAUGGUGAACUCCCUAAUUCUCUCGAACUUAGGAAAUCAUUCUAUUUGUACUGAUUUUAUCUCAAGUUAAUCAAUCUUGUUACAGCAUUAAUCAUUAGAUGGGAGCUUAACCUUCCCAAAUCCUUGUUGAUAAUUCGCUACCUUUAGUUUAUUUCUCAUUUUGAGAAAAUCAACAUGAGGCGGGAUUUAUUAUUUGCAACCAAUAAAUAACAAUCAUAACAAAGGAAUUAUCAAGAUGUCCCCACAAUCACUCAAACCCUAGCCAACUAUUAAAUCCAUGGGGAAUAAUCAUAGAUCCCACAACCCUAGUUGUAGGUUUUAGUUCCACAUGAGAAAGAAAGAGAUAGCAAUAAUUAUAAUCAUCAUUCAAAGUAAUUAAACUUACAAAAGAUGAAGUCUGAAGUUGAUUCUCUUCCAAGUUCAAGAGAAAAUUCCCACAACCAAAUCAAAGAGUUGAAAAAAUUGAAUUCCAAGUUAAGAGAGCCAAAAAGAAAAGUAAACUCCCUUCGAAUAAGUUCAAGAUGUUCCACCCCUUUUAUUAGAAAACCCUAACAUAUGCUUUGAAUACUUCAUCCUAAUUAUGGAAACAAAAUCACAUAUCACAGUAUUUUCUUGGACAGAAGACAAUGUGUGUGAAGGCUUAUCAGCAGUAUGAUGUCUUAUCAAGAAUGUCGUCAGCUCCUCUUCAUAUUUGAACAAGUUUUGUCUUCAGCUGAUGAUGAAGCCUAACGGCUUAUCAGACAUGUGACGACUUAUCAAAAUUGUCGUUGCUUCUUCACUUUAAGUCCUCAAGCACUGCCUAAGCCUGACGGCUUAACACAACUCUGAUGGCCUAUUACACGUUGUUGUUACUUCUUUUAGCUAAAUCUCAUACACUGCCUAAGGUUGACGAUGACUUUGAUGACUUAUUAGGAUUUUAAUGAAAUACCAGAUAAUGUCGUCACUUCUUAACUUUAAAUCUCAUAUACUGGCUUAGGUUGACGGCAUUCUUGAUGGCUUAUCAGAAUUAUGACAACUUAUCAGAGAUGUCAUCACAUUUCUGCUCCAACUUCCUCACACUGUCUACAGCUGACGAUAACUCUGAUAAAUUAUCACAAAUUUGAUGACUUAUCAGACAAGUCAUCAACUACACUUUCAUGGCCACUUGUUCUAAAUUCACCUCUUUUUCUCUUAUUUUCUUUGGUUUUCUUUCAUCUUGACUUUCCUGCAUAAUCAAAUAGAAAACAAUCAAAAAUGAAAAAAGUUGCUUAAGACCUUAUAAUUAUUUUUAGUUAAAAGCCUCAAAUGUGUUAGCAUCUGCUCAUACAUCAAUCUCCCCCUUGGGAAUAUUCGUCCUUCAAUGUCGCUAGUUAGACUACGAACACAGGAAAAGCUGAGUACACAUAGCUGAAGCAAUUUGCUAAACGAGCUUAAAAUUUUUCUAAACUAUUGAAUACUUCAGAAAUUGCAAGAACUCAUGUAAGAAUAGAUGUAUAGUUGAACUUUAGAUUAGAAGGGCUGAAUUAAGGAAGAAUAAUACCUUCGUAUUAAUUUGAACUCGUGGAGAAGAGGUGCGGGUACUUGGCUCAUGUGUCUUCUUCUGCCUCCCAAGUAGCACCCUCCAUAGACUGGUUCCGCCAUAAAACUUUGACCAAGGGAAUUUUUUUGUUUCUCAAUCUAUGGAUCUAAAAAUAUAGGAUCUCAACAGGAAUCUCAUCGAAUGACAGACUGUUCUGAAUAUCAGCAACCUCUGAAGGAUCUACUGCAAGAGAAUUACCUAUAUGCUUUUUAAGCAUGGAGACAUGAAAAAUAGGAUAAACGGCUGACAAAUCUACAGGCAACUCAACUUCAUAGGCUACUUUACCAACAUGACUCACGACUCUAUAGGGGCCCAUGUAAUGAGGACUAAGCUUUCCUUUUUUACUAAAACUCUUCACCCCUUUCAUGGGUGAAAUAUUUAAGUAUACUAAAUUACCCACCUCAAACUCAAGAUCCCUUCUUCUCACCUCAACAUAUGACUUUUGAUGACUCUGAGUUGUCUUCAACCUUUCUCUAAUCAACUUCACCAUUUCCAUAGCCUCAAAUACCGCAUCAGGUUUAAUCACUGCAGUUUCACCCACUUCAAACCAACCUAUAGGUGAUCUACAUCUUCUACCAUACAAAGCCUUAAAUCAUACCAUCUUGAUGCUAGCAUGGUAACUAUUGUUAUAAGCAAACUCUAUCAAUGGCAAAUGCUCAUCCCAACUACCUUUGAAGUCAAGAGCACAUGCCCUCAACAUAUAUUCUAGAGUUUGAAUGGUCCUCUCAGCCUGACCAUCUGUCUGCGGAUGAAAAGUAGAACUUAAAUGAACUUGGGUACUAAGACCCUGCUGAAAUGCUCUCCAAAACUGAGAAGUAAACUGAGUACCCCUAUUCAAAAUGAUAGAUAAGGGAACUCCAUGCAGCCUGACUAGCUCCUGGAUAUACAAUCUAGCAUAAUCCUCAACUGUAUAAUAUAUAUGCAUGGGCAAAAAAUGUACGAACUUAGUCAACCUGUCUAUAAUAACCCAAAGAGAAUCAUGUUGACGACGCGAAAGAGGUAAACUAGUCACGAAGUCCAUAUUCACCUCUUCCUACUUCCAAGUGGGUAUACCAAACUCUUGCAUCACACCACCAGCUCCUUGUUGUUCUACCUUAACCUAUUGUGACGUUGCACGCUUUGCUACAAACUCAGCUAUAUUCUUGUUUAUACCACUCCACCAAUAGAUUCUCCGCAAGUCGUGGUACAUCUUAGUAGCGCCGGGAUAAAUAGAAUACCACGUGCCAUGCGCUUCAAACAUAAUCCUCUGCCUCAAAUUAUCAACACAUGAAACACAUAAUCUACCCUACAAUCUCAACAUGCCAUCUCCCCCUUGGAAGAAAACCUUUACUUUUUGGUCCUUAAUUGACUCCUUCAGACCAAACUAGGAUCUCUGUCUUACUUCUCCUUAACUUUCGAAACUAAAGAGGAUUCAGAACUACUCUGCACCAAAGUACUUCCCUCAGUGGAUUUAAGCAACCUAACACCCAAUUUAGCCAGAUGGUGCACAUCACAAGAUAACUCUUUCUUAACUUCUUCCAUAUGAGUAACACUACCCAUGGACAACCUGUUAAGGGCAUCUUCCACUACAUUGGCCUUGUCCAGGUGAUAUAACACACUCAUAUCAUAGUCUUUUAAUAAUUCUAACCCCCUCCUCUGCCUAAGAUUCAACUCCCUCUGAGUAAUACAUAUUGUAGGAUCUUAUGAUCAGUAAACACAUCAACAUAAACACCAUACAAAUAGUGUCUCCAUAUUUUCAAAGCAAAAAACUACAGCAGCUAAUUCAAGAUCAUAGAUUGGGUAAUUCUUUUUAAGAGACUUUAACUAUCUAGAGGCAUAGGCUAUAACCUUACCUCUUUGCAUCAACACACAACCUAAACCAACUCCAGAGGCAUCGCAAUACACCACAAAACCAUCUGUAUUAUCAGGCAAAGUCAACACAGGGACUGAAGUAAGUUGAGUCUUCAUGUCACGCCCCAAAUCUUAUUAAGGCGGACUGGCACCCAUUGCCGGUAAGGCUCGGGAGAACCAACCUGUAGCAAUACAUUACCUAUGAACAUUAUAAGUUACUUUCAUACUAAACAUACCCUCAAAAGAUAAAUAGGACUAGCAAGCCAAAAGAUAUUAUAUGACUAGGCCGUUGGAGCCACAAUGUCUACGAUACGAUACAUGACCAUACUAUACUUUACGUAGUCUACAAAGCCUCUAGACAAGAAACGUUAUCUUAUAAGGGUCGGGACAGGCCCCGCCUCAUGAUAAGAUACUAUACAAUGCAAAAAGAUAUGAUAAGACUCAAAGCCCCGAAGCAACCUGGAGCUCAGUGCCUGUACUCUUACUGGGGAGGUUUAUUAGCUUCUGUACCUGCAGCAUGGAAUGCAGGUCCCCCAAGAGGGACGUCAGUACGAAAUAAUGUACUGAAUAUGUAAGGCAACAUGUACUAUAUAUAAGAUAAAAACUAUACUUACCACCACGCAAGCCAACAACCUCACCCACAACUUUCUUGUCAUUUGAACCAAGUAUUUUAUCACAAACGCCACUAUUCAAAUCAUUACCAGGACAAAAGGAAAAGGCAAUCCAUAAACAUGGGUAAAAUCAUACACCUAUUUGCCCCAUUGACACUCUACUCUCACAUAACAUACUCCACUCAAAGGAAAGAGUAUCAUCAUAUGCAAAAAAAGUGGUAUAGAAAGGUGUUACUUAAAUAAAGUUUAUUUAAGGUGUGCCCACAUAUAGAAUCACCCUUUGAUCUACAAGCAUUAAGCCCUUGAUCAAGCAUGGGUUCACACAAGAAUGAAUAGGUCAUUGGAGAACAUACACCCCCUUCUUUUGGACCACUAACCCCUCCAAUUGACAAACUAUCAUCUUUUAAGAAGAGAGUUUUGUCUUUAAAAAAUGUGUCAUCAUACCAUAGUGGAUUUUUGAUCACUUGUGUCACGCCCCAAAAUCCCAUCGGGCCGGACUGGCACCCGAAGCCGAGAAGGCCCGGGAGAACCCGUUCAAAUACCUGUACUUUCACUUACAUGUCACCAAAAAAAUUGGACAGCACUUCGUUGCAUAUAGAAAGGUCUAAUUACCUGUAUCAGCACAACACGCACAAAUAUAUAUAUAUAAUACUUGGCCGUCGGGGCCACCACAUAUACAAAUAUAACGUUACUAUAUAAACUUCCAUGACUUUACCCUUCCUUAUGUCUACAAAGCCUCUAGGAUAUACAUGACAUAACUAGGGUCGGGACAAACCCCCGCCCACACGUGACUCAUGUACAAUAACAAAACAUAAGGAACCGACUCGGAAAGCUCCGAAGCAAACUGGAGCUCACCAACAAUAGCUGUAUGACCUGGCUCCUACUUGUGCGGUGUAUGAGUUGAGGUACCUGUGCCUGCAGCAUGAAAUGCAGGUCCCCCGUGAGGGACGUCAGUACGAAAUAUGUACUGAGUAUGUAAAGCUGUAAAUAAUCACAUAUGAUAUAGGAGCUCAAUAGAAAUCAGAAACAAGUGAAUAAGUCGUAAUAGGAGUGGACCACACUUACUAGAACUUGUGACAACCUGUACAUUGUAUUUAUUCAAUCACUUUACCUUCGUUCUUAUCGUCUUUGUAAUCAUUACUGUACUGUACUGUGACCAUUAGGAUGCCUCCAGUACAUAUCAACUGGGAUCGACCCAUGCUAGGCUUAUGCCCCUGGGAUACCACCCAUAAACACAUGAAAUAGGGAUCGACCCAUGCUAGGCUUAUGCCCCUGGGAUACCACCCGAUAAGAGAGAACUUUCAUCACUUAGUUCAAUUAAUCUUUGAGAUUGUUAUUUCGGUCGUCACCACAUUUUUGAUACCUUGAAACAAUGAUACAUCAAUAGGAACCAAGUAAUAGACCUUCUAUACAAUAACGAUGUAAUAAGGACUCAUUGGUACAUCAACAAUAUGUUUCAGAAUCAUCAAUAUCACAACAAUGAAAUAAGAGCCUUUUGGUAUAUCAAUGAACAUUUUGACACUUUAUAGGAUGGAAACAACUUCGUUGGUAACGUAGAACAAUACAUGUUUUUGGACAACCUCGGAAUCUUACUUGAUGGAACAUUGGUGUUUUCAUGCCAAAGAACAUUGUUAGAGUAUGCUUUACAUACCUCGUUGUAGAUUCAGAUACCAAUUCAACACAACUUCCCGCCUUUACAAAUCACUUAUCUACAAUGAAAUGUUUGGCAUCUAGUAUUAGCAACCCAACACCACAAUUCUCUUCCAUAAUUCCAUACUACCAAUAUUUGCAAAACAUUCCAAAAACCAACUUGAACAAUAGGUUUAUGUGUGUAUAUGUAUAUAAUCAUCAUCUCAAUACCACAUCAUCAAUACCACAUCAUCACCCCAAAUUCCUUCACAAUUUAACAUAAUCCAACCAUGCACAAGAAUAAUCCAACAUCAUUUCCAAUCAUCUUUCAACAACAAUCAAAUAACAUACUUCUUAUGCUCACAUGCAUAUAUAUAUAUAUAUACAUAUCCAUAUAAAUAACACCAACAUAAUUUACAUCCUUACCAAAAAAAAUGGCCCUUUUGAUUUCGAAGUCCUGUUGGCACAAAUAAGGGGUGCUUCUCGAAGCCCUUGAGACGGUGAACACAACUACGGAAUCAAUUUGGAUUUUCUACGGUUGAAUCACAAGAUAAUUGGAGUUGAACUUAGGCUAGGGUUUCUUAUUCUUCAAUGAUUUGGAUGAUAAAUGGUGGAUAUAAGGCUAAGUAUAUGUAUAUAAUGACCAAUUUUCGUCCAUGAGGUGAUGGAAAAUGACCAUAUUGCCCUUAAAAAUUUAAGUAAAUCCGAAUCUGUCCAUGGUGGACUGUUUUGAUAGGCUAAAGUAAAUCGGCCAUAACUCUUUGCUCCGAUAUCGGAUUUGGGUGAAAUUGGUAUCGUUAGAAAGAUAAUUCAAAGGUCUUUCAUUUAAUAUAAAUUAAUCCACCCAGUUCGUCCUGUACAAGUAGUUAUGAUCGUUUGAAGUUGACCCUAAAAAUCUGUUUUGAGAGGCUGAAGUAAAACGAGUAUAACUCCUUACUCAGAUGUUGGAUUUGGAUGAAACCAAUUUCAUUGGAAAGAAGACUCAAAGAUCUUUCUUUUGAUAUAUGGUAGCUCAACCAGUUCAUUAUAUUGAGGGAGUUAUGAUCGUUCAAAGUUGACCCAAAAAACUGGCAGGCCUCAGUAGUUUCCUGCACAUUUUACUGUUCACAUCCCGGCCACCGUUUUAAAGUUUCGAACGAGCUCGCUUAUAUCCGAAACUUAUCCGUUUUUGGAAAUCUUUAUAUCGUUGGAAAGCUUAUUCAAUAACCUUCGUAUGGAACCAUCGACGGGAAAAUUCCGAUAUAAAUAAAGUCGAUUCCUAUACACCUAUAAUCAAACUAUACACUUGAAACCAUCUCAAAAUAAUCAAUACUCAUACUUAAACUCAUAUAUACCUAACUUAGGAUCAAUACAUAUACCCCAACACAUAUAACAAUGACUAAUGCACGUAAUUAAGUACGGGGUGUUACAUCCUUCCCCCCUUAAGGACAUUCGUCCUCGAAUGUGAAUGUAGUUAUUUAGCCGAAACAAGUUCAAGUCCACCAUUAACAUUCACAUCAUCACAUAAAUACUAUGCAUAUAUAAACAAAAACUUACUUGUUAAUGUUCUAACUCCGUUUCUUGAACUUCCUCUUCAUCUUUGAACAAAUGAGGGUACUUAGAUUUCAUUGCUUCCUCAGCUUCCCAUGUAAUCUCUUCCCUUUGUUGAUUUCUCCAAAGUACCUUUACUGAUGCCAUUUCUUUGUUCCUUAACUUUUUAACUUGGCGAUCUAGAAUAGCAACCGGUACCUCUUCAUAAGUAAGAUCCUCUGUGACCUGUACAUCUUCUAUAGGAGUGAUACGAGAGGGGUCACCUAUGCAUUUUCGAAGCAUUGACACAUGAAACACUGGAUGAACCAUUGAAAGUUCCUGGGGUAGCUCUAAUUCAUAUGCAACUUGUCCGACCCUCUUGGUAAUCUUAUAUGGCCCUAUGUAACGUGGGCUUAGUUUCCCCUUCUUACCAAAUCUCAUAACCCCUUUCAUUGGUGAUACCUUUAAAAAUACCCAAUCUCCAAUAGAGAAUUCCAGCCCUCUUCUCCGAAUAUCUGCAUAUGAUUUAUGACGACUUUGGGCUGUUUUUAGCCGUUGUUGUAUCACCUUAACUUUUUCCAUGGCUUGUUGGACUAAAUCUGGCCCGAGCAAGGUGGUUUCACCCACUUCGAACCAACCAAUUGGUGACCUACAUUUCCUCCCAUACAAAGCUUCGUAAGGUGCCAUCUUGAUGCUCGAAUGGUAGCUGUUAUUAUAGGCAAAUUCAAUAAGAGGCAAGUGUUCUACCCAGCUACCUUUAAAAUCUAAUGCACAGGUUCGCAACAUAUCCUCAAGUGUUUGAAUAGUACGCUCUGCUUGGCCGUCUGUUUGGGGAUGGAAGGCUGUACUCAAAUUCACUCGCGUCCCUAAACUCCUUUGAAAGGACUUCCAAAAUUUUGCCGUGAAUUGAGCUCCUCGAUCAGAUAUAAUAGAGAGUGGGACCCCAUGUAGCCUAACUAUCUCUUUGAGGUAUAAUUUGGCAUAUUCUUCAGCUGUAUAAUCACUUCUUACUGGCAGGAAGUGCGCUGAUUUCGUGAGUCUAUCAACUAUCACCCAUAUGGAGUCAAACUUAUUAACUGAACGAGGCAAACCAGUUACAAAAUCCAUAUUAGUCAUAUCCCACUUCCAAGUUGGAAUCUCUAUACAUUGCAUGUAACCACCUGGCUUUUGGUGCUCUACUUUGACUUGUUGACAAGUAGGACAUUGAGCCACAAACUCUGCAAGGUCCUUUUUCAUGCCUCCCCACCAAAACACUCCCUUUAGGUCAUGAUACAUCUUAGUAGAUCCUGGGUGGAUGGAAUAUCUUGAAUGAUGGGCUUCUUCCAUUAUUCUCCUUCUGAGUCUAUUAACAUCAGGCACACACAAUCUAUUUUGGCAAUAAAGUACUCCAUCUUGUGUAAGCCUAAACUCCUUCAUUAUACCCUGACUUACUUUCUCCUUAAGGCAUUGUAGAAUAGGAUCAUAACACUGUUUUUCUUUCACUUCCCUUAUCAAUGAAGAAUCGGUAGCAUUAUGUACAAUAAUAUCCUUCCUUGGAGUUUCGAGUAGACGAACACCCAGAUUGGCUAGUUGACGCAGAUCCUUAGCCAUGCCUUGCUUUACCCCUUUCUGAUCACUGGUACCCAUGAGUGUCUUACGACUUAGAGCAUCAGCCACCACAUUUGCUUUCCCUGGAUGGUAUAAUAUAUCAAUAUCAUAAUCUUUUAUUAACUCUAGCCACCUCCGCUGCCUCAAAUUUAGAUCUUUCUGCUUGAAAAUAUACUGUAAACUCUUAUGAUCUGUAUAUAUGUCCACGUGUAUCCCAUACAAAUAGUGGCGCCAUAUCUUUAAAGCAAAUACAACCGCUGCUAGCUCAAGAUCAUGUGUUGGGUAGUUUUUCUCGUGUGGUCUCAAUUGUCUCGAGGCAUAAGCAAUCACUUUACCAUGUUGUGUUAGUACACACCCUAAACCAACUCCUGAAGCAUCACAAUACACUGCAUAUCCCUCUGAGCCUUCUGGAAGCACUAGCACAGGUGCUGAGGUUAGCCUACUUUUCAACUCUUGAAAGCUCCUUUCACAUGCAUCAUUCCAUUGGAAUUUGGUUUCCUUGUGAGUUAGCUUAGUAAGAGGUGCAGAUAUAGAAGAAAAACCUUCAACAAACCUUCUGUAAUAACCUGCCAAUCCAAGGAAGCUUCGAACUUCUGUAGGUGUCGUUGGCCUUGGCCAAUCUUUCACAGCCUCUAUCUUUUGUGAAUCCACCCUUAUUCCUUCAUCCGAUACAAUAUGGCCCAAAAAUGCCACUGACUUUAACCAAAAUUCACAUUUGGAAAACUUAGCAUACAACCGACGAUCACGGAGAACUUGUAGCACUAGUCGUAAAUGAUUUGCAUGGUCCUCUUCUGACCUUGAAUACACCAGAAUAUCAUCUAUAAAUACUAUCACGAACACAUCCAGGAAAGGCUUGAACACUCUAUUCAUCAAAUCCAUAAAAACUGCUGGUGCAUUCGUUAGCCCAAACGACAUAACAAGAAAUUCAAAGUGACCAUAUCUGGUUCGGAAAGCUGUCUUAGGUAUAUCCUUUUCCUUCACUCUCACCUGAUGAUAACCUGAUCUCAAAUCGAUCUUUGAAAAGUAUUUGGCACCCUGUAACUGAUCAAACAAGUCAUCAAUUCUGGGGAGGGGAUAUUUAUUCUUAAUUGUCACCCUAUUCAGUUGUCGGUAGUCAAUACACAUCCUCAAUGUGCCAUCCUUUUUACGCACAAAUAAAACUGGUGCACCCCAAGGGGACACACUAGGCCUUAUAAAACCCUUUUCUAACAAGUCUUUCAGUUGCUCCUUUAAUUCACGUAAUUCUGCCGGGGCCAUUCUAUAUGGAGGGAUAGAGAUAGGCUCAGUGCCUGGUAAUAAGUCAAUACCAAAAUCUAUUUCUCGUUCUGGAGGCAAACCAGGGAGUUCCUCAGGAAAGACAUCAAUAAAUUCAUUCACUAUUGGAACAGACUGGAUAGUUGGUGAUUCUGCCUCCACAUCUCUCACUCUAACGAGAUGACAUAUAUAUCCCUUUGAUAUCAUUUUUCUGGCUUUAAAAUAAGAGAUAAACCUCCCUUUUGGUGCCCCAAUAUUGCCUUCCCAUUCAAGGACUGCUUCAUUUGGAAAGUGAAAGUACACUCUCUUGGUUCGGCAGUCAACGGUGGCAUAGCAAGAAGCCAACCAAUCCAUACCCAUUAUAACAUCAAAUUCUACCAUUUCUAACUCGAUAAGAUCAGCUAAUGUAUCUCGGUCGCAGAUAGUCACUAUGCAGUCACAAUAGACUCUUCUAGCUAUAAUUGACUCCCCAGUUGGUGUAGACACCGCAAGUGGUUGAUUCAAUAAUUUAGGUGUUCUACCAAGCUUCCCAGCAACUAAUGGAGUAAUAUAUGACAAUGUAGAACCAGGGUCAAUUAAUGCAUACGCUUUAUGUGAGAAGAUGGACAAUGUACCUAUAACCACAUCGGGUGAAGCUUCCAGGUUCUGUCGAGUCCCUAGAGCAUAUGUGCGAUUUUGGGCCACGCUGGAACUAGCUGCCCCUCUAAUACCUCUGCCGCGACCUAUAGGAAAUUGCUCACCUCUACCUGAUGGAGGCACUGAUGAUGAUGCAACAGCUGAUCCAGUAGGUUGUGCUAUAUCACCCCUGCGUCUUCUUGGGCAAUCUUUUAUUACAUACCCUGGCAUACCACACCAAUAACAAACAUCUGUUCCCAUGCGACACGCACCUACAUGAUACCUCCCUCACUGUCUGCAAGGCUGCCUAGGAGGCAUUCACUGGCUUUCCGAAUAUCCUGUUGUCCGUGUACCUUGGCCCUCACUUCUCUGCCCAAAUUGAUCAUUUCUAAACCCUCGAAGUUGUGGUGGAGCACUAGCUGUAGAGUAAGAGGACGAUGGCCUGGGCCUGUUACAGCAGAUGAGCAAUCCUUUGAAAAUAAUAAAAAUAGAUCACUCAUCGGUUGUACCAAGUAGGUUUUCUGUUGCAACUUAUAACCUACCUGUUACAGCAGAUGAGCAAUCCUUUGAAAAUAAUAAAAAUAGAUCACUCAUCGGUUGUACCAAGUAGGUUUUCUGUUGCAACUUAUAACCUACCUGUUACAGCAGAUGAGCAAUCCUUUGAAAAUAAUAAAAAUAGAUCACUCAUCGGUUGUACCAAGUAGGUUUUCUGUUGCAACUUAUAACCUACCUGUUACAGCAGAUGAGCAAUCCUUUGAAAAUAAUAAAAAUAGAUCACUCAUCGGUUGUACCAAGUAGGUUUUCUGUUGCAACUUAUAACCUACCUGUUACAGCAGAUGAGCAAUCCUUUGAAAAUAAUAAAAAUAGAUCACUCAUCGGUUGUACCAAGUAGGUUUUCUGUUGCAACUUAUAACCUACCUGUUACAGCAGAUGAGCAAUCCUUUGAAAAUAAUAAAAAUAGAUCACUCAUCGGUUGUACCAAGUAGGUUUUCUGUUGCAACUUAUAACCUACCUGUUACAGCAGAUGAGCAAUCCUUUGAAAAUAAUAAAAAUAGAUCACUCAUCGGUUGUACCAAGUAGGUUUUCUGUUGCAACUUAUAACCUACCUGUUACAGCAGAUGAGCAAUCCUUUGAAAAUAAUAAAAAUAGAUCACUCAUCGGUUGUACCAAGUAGGUUUUCUGUUGCAACUUAUAACCUACCUGUUACAGCAGAUGAGCAAUCCUUUGAAAAUAAUAAAAAUAGAUCACUCAUCGGUUGUACCAAGUAGGUUUUCUGUUGCAACUUAUAACCUACCUGUUACAGCAGAUGAGCAAUCCUUUGAAAAUAAUAAAAAUAGAUCACUCAUCGGUUGUACCAAGUAGGUUUUCUGUUGCAACUUAUAACCUACCUGUUACAGCAGAUGAGCAAUCCUUUGAAAAUAAUAAAAAUAGAUCACUCAUCUGUUGCACCAUGUAGUUUAUCUGUUGCAACCUAUAACCAACCUGUUGCAGAAAAUAAGUAAUCCAUUAGAAAUAAUAAAAACAUAUCACUUAUCUACUAAAAUAGAUCACUCAUCUUUUGCAAAAUGAGUUAUCUGUUGGAUCAGUAUUGUCACGCCCCAAAUCCUAUUAAGGCGGACUGGCACCCGUUGCCGGUAAGGCUCGGGAGAACCAACCUGUAGCGAUACAUUACCUAUGAACAUUAUAAGUUACUUUCAUACUAAACAUGCCCUCAAAAGAUAAAUAGGACUAGCAAGCCAAAAGAUAUUAUAUGACUAGGCCGUUGGAGCCACAAUGUCUACGGUACGAUACAUGACCAUACUAUACUUUACGUAGUCUACAAAGCCUCUAGACAAGAAACGUUAUCUUAUAAGGGUCGGGACAGGCCCCGCCUCAUGAUAAGAUACUAUACAAUGCAAAAAGAUAUGAUAAGACUCAAAGCCCCGAAGCAACCUGGAGCUCAGUGACUGCGGUUGAUAUCCUGUACUCUUACUAGGGAGGUUUAUUAGCUUCUGUACCUGCAGCAUGGAAUGCAGGUCCCCCAAGAGGGACGUCAGUACGAAAUAAUGUACUGAAUAUGUAAGGCAACAUGUACUAUAUAUGAGAUAAAAACUCAAAUGAAACCAUGUACUGCUGUAGGGUAAAAGACCACCUUUAUGAAUAUUGUGGAGUCAUGUAUCUUAUAACAAUUAUGUUACUUUACUCUUAUUACUUGAAUAAUCUGUGCACAGCAUGUAAUACAAAUGACCAGCUGAUCAGUGGUAAUUCUAUAUCAGGAUCGACCCAUGCUAGGCUUUCCUUUCACCCCUGGGAUACCCCCUGUAAUACUGGGAUUGACCCAUGCUAGGUGAUUCUUUCACCCCUGGGAUACCACCCAACAGAAGCAACUGUAUACAUAUAUCUUCUUAUUACUUUUGAGAUGAAUCUUUGGUGGUCGUAACAUUUGAGCUAUAAGACUAUAAGCAUGACAAAUGACAAGUAUGUGUCCAUGUAACAUCAUAUCAUAAUGAAAAGAGUGGGUUGUACAAUUAGUGAAACAUGUAGGACAUAAACAACGUAUGAACUUUAUUUAGCUAAAAAGAAGACUCAUAUGUCAUGGUACCCAAUGUAUGUAUGCAGCAGUGACAAUGCUCGAAUCUGGACACACAAGUACAUGUUAAAGAGUGGAGUGGUUAUGUCAAAGUUUGUAAAGAUCUCUAUGUGCCAAUGAAGACUUUGGAUUCCAUGCCAAAUAAUAAGAGAUCGAAUAGCCUUACAUACCUCGACAUAUCAACUUGUUUUUACGUCGAAAUGACUUCUUUUCUUCCAACUAUUUAUCUACAAUAUCAUGUUUUAAAGCUAGUAUUAGCAGCUAAUCAAUGCAUCUGGACAGCCCAAUCUCACAAGACACAACACUUUGGCAACAAACGUAUAACCAUCAACUCAAUGGUGUUAUUCCGACUUUCUCAAUUCUAACUGUAUUCAACCAGCAUAGAUUAUCAUAUACAUGAUGUAUACAGCCUAUAUUAGUUCUAUAACAUGCUGGCAACAGUCCAUAACUACAACACAUAACCAUUUUACAAAACGCUCAACUAAGAAGCACAACAUCUCGUCGUCUCCCUACAUUUCGUCGUUAACAAUUCAUACUUGUCCCAACUUUGAACCAGAUGCUCCCAACAUAUAUAUACAUCAAAUAAACCUUAACAUAGUCACAAAAUAGCUCAAAACGUAGGGGAAACGUGAAACAACAUCCCCCUCAACAAAACAGUCCAAUACCAGUUUGGAAGCACAUAAGAUCAUAUAAGGAUACUUGUUUCCAAAGAACUAGCAAAACAGUCCAGCAACCUUGGCAACCAUAUACACACUAUAACAUGUUAAUAACCUCAACUUUACAUCAUAUUAAAGUGAAAAAUCAGGGUAAAAAUCGUUCCAAAGCCAAGAAAACCAAACAACAACUUUCAGGACACAAGCUGUCCAGAAAUUCCUGCACAGUGAACCAGCCAACUUAUCUUGUUUUCCAUGGAAAAUUCAUAUCAAGUAUAUGGUUAUUUUUACAUACCUUAACUCCCAAGGUGUAGGUCUAAUUCAAGAACUCAAAAAGUAGCCUUUGGUUGCCUUCCAAGGUGAAGAAAUACCAAGAGAAACUUAGAGAGAAAUUCUGAAAUUUUUUGGUCUUUUCUUUGGUUAACCUAGAGCUCGGUUUUGGUCCCUUUUUAAGGAGACUUUAGACCGACUUUCUCCUAAUAUUUGUAGCUGAUUAACUCAAGUUGGUCAAUGACUAAUUUUCCCCUUUCACUUGGGCCUUUUGGAUCUCUAAAUCAAUGGGCUUUAGUGGCCCAUUUCCUUACUCUUUCUUGCACUUUGUUUGGGCUCAAUUUUGUUAGUAGUGAAUGAAUGUAGUUGGGCCUAUUAUAUAAAAAUCUUGGGCUGAACAUCUUGGCCCAAUAUAAUGUUAAACCAUUGUCUUUAAUAGCCUCCCUAACUUGGGCUUCGUUUGUCACAAGACUUGGAAAGUUUCGGCGUUAAGCCUUGUCUUCGUUCCCCUUUCUUUUUACUAACGUCUAGACUUCAAGUGAGUUCACUUAUGAAUGAAUUCUUCUCCCUCAUGUAUAUAUAAUUUUUAAGCUAAGCACACAGGUGACUCACCUGCUAGCUUCCUAAGUUCCAUAAGCACGUCAAUGAUUUUCUCCGUUUAAGGCCACAGUCUCUAAAUAGACUUCCAGAUAGCGCCCCAAUCUAACACUUGAACACUUGAAAAAUUUUGGUAGUAAUUAAAUCAAGUCGUAUGUCAUUUUAUGUGAACAUUACUAGUACAUGUAAAAUGUGGGGUGUUACAUUUCAACUCUUGAAAACUCUCUCACAGGAAUAUGACCACUGGAACUUAACUUUCUUUUGGGUCAAUCGGGUCAUGGGAGAUGCAAUAGAAGAGAAACCUUGAACAAAAUGGCGAUAGUAGACAGCUAGACCCAAGAAACUUCUAAUGUCAUACGGGGAAAUAUGUCUAGGCUAAUUUCUUACAGCUUCUAUCUUUUGGGGAUCAACUCUAAUGCCUUCGGCUGAAAUGAUAUAACCUAAAAAGGCUACUAAUCUUAGCCAAAAUUCACACUUAUUGAAUUUGGCGAACAACUGGUAAUCUCUAUGAGUUUGCAAGAUAAUUCUAAGAUGAUCUGCAUAGUCAUUCUCAGUAUGGGAGUACACAAGGAUAUCAUCUAUGAAAACGAUGACAAAUAUAUCAAGAUAUUUCUUGAACACUCAAUUCAUGAGGUCCAUAAAUGCUACCGGGGCAUUGGUUAGCCCAAAAGACAUGCUAGAAACUCAAAGUGACCAUAGCGGGUUUGAAAAGCUGUCUUUGGAAUAUCGCAUUCCCUCAUUUUAAGCUGAUGAUAGCCGGAUCUAAGGUCUAUCUUGGAGAAGUAACUUGAACCUUGUAACUGAUCAAAUAAGUCAUCAAUUUUUAGAAGAGGAUACUUAUUGUAAUGCCAUGUGUUUCGGGCUAGAAUGAAAACCGUCAUUUUUAUGCGUAGAUGGUUCAAAAGCCAUAAAUCCUAUGCAAAUUUUCCUUGUCAAUCAAGUAUGUAGUGUGGUAACCUAUUUGAGCAUGAAUUGAGAUCAUAAAGGUCCCCUAACUCAAGGACAAAUUAAAAGCUUUCCUAUCGUUCGAGUUUUAGUGAGCAUCAAAACUUGAGUCAACUUCAAUCAACCAUAGCUCCUUACAUAUAAUGAAAUGGGUGUCCUAUUAUAUAUCAAAUGAAAUAUCUUCGAAUUAGCUUUCCAUCUAUACUAAAUUUUCCUAAAAUAGACACUCGGUGAAGAAGUUACAGUAUUUUUAGUGUCAGUGUUCCCGAUUGACUAGCCAGCGCAUUGCGAUGAGCCUUAAAUUGACAAUUGUCAAUUCCAGUAGCUUACCGUGAUUUCCAGCGCAUUGAAGUAAAGUCUUUUACGGCAUUCCAGUCCCGUAUUUUAAAUUCCAACGUCAAACUAGACAUUUCCCAUGGCCCCAAACCCAUCCAAACACGAGAUUUAAUCCCAAAUACACCUAAAUACAUACACUUUCAUCAAAAUUCAUCAAGAACGCUGUCUAGGGUUUCAAACAAUAAUUCCAAAUAACUCAAGAUCCAACUGUGGGUUUUCAAAAGCGAUUGAAUAUUGGGAAUCCCCAAUCCACUAGCUUCGAGAAUUACCUAUUAUCUUUUGAGGUUAAGGUACGCGGGAUUUUCCUAAAAUCUCAUGGGCAUAGAAAUCAUGAUCUUAAGAAAGGGGUUUUUAGAUUUAUGAAUACCUUCAUAUUUUAGAAAUCUUGAUGGUAUUUUUUUGGUCUUUCGACCUUUCCCACAUUGAUUUGAAAUUGUAUAUAUAUAUAUGUGUGUGUGUGUGUGUGUGAUUUAAGUUAAUAUUCUAAUUGAGAGCAUGAUUAACAUGAAAUCUCUCUCUUGAUGUGAUUGUUCCCAUGUUUCACAUGAUAUGGAUUGUUUUUAAAAUACAUCUUGAAAAGCAUGUUAUGAAGUGUCUUAAUUUAUGAAUGAUUUGGUUAUGAAUCUUGAAUUCAAAAGAGAGGGUUGUUUGUAUUGAAAAAUGUUGAAAAUACAUAUAAUGAAAGAGUGCAUGGAUUUCGCCAAAAGCACAUGACCACCUUAUGUUUGAAGAGUUCUUGCAUAUUUUGACUUAUGCUUUUGGAACAUGAAAUCUCUUAUACUAUUUGCAUGUUUGGGUGGUCUGAACUAUGUUUUAAUGAAAGAAUUAUGCAUGCUGCAUUAUGGCUCAGAAAUAGAACUUGCAAGUCUUGGUGUGACGACACCAAUUUAGAUUAUGUCAUGAUAAUUCAGAAUAGAAUAGAAAGCAUGUUUGAAAUCAAACUUGUCAUAUGUUGAAACUAGAAAAAUGCAUGAUUCAGAACAGGAUAAAAAUGGGCACAAAGAGAUCUUAGGUGGUUCCCCAAAGAAGGUAUGGGUUCAGGAAACCCGUUGCCCAAAACCAUGAUUUGUCGAUCCGGGUAUAUUAUAUUAUGCUGGCCUAGUGCCAUGUGGCAUAUCAGAAUUAGAAACUCUAACCCUUACGGCACACUCGGGUUGGGGGCUUCCCCGCUGAGUCAAUAGCAGAUUCCAUACAUCCUGUGGACUAUCAGAAUUGUAGAGGAGUGCCACCUAACUCAAAAUUAAUAUGAAGAUUAGAAACUGCCUUGUCAAGAAUGAUUUAUGACUUUUCAGAAAGGAGCCCAUGCAUUUUAAAACUAUUUCAUGUAUGACAUUUUGACAAAUUUCCCUCCAACUAUUUUAUGUAUAUAUAUAAAUUUUAUUUUGGAAUACUUUAUAUAGCAGUACAUCUGUAUUGACCCCCCCUCCUUUCUCUAGGUUCUGAGGCUCAAUCUAGGGGUCCAAAAAAGCAGUAGUAUUUAUCAGACAGAGUUACAGUGUCCAAUUGGUGAGCCUUCUCUAUUUUGGAAGGCCUGUCUUUUCAGAUUAUGUUAUUUAUUUCUGUUUUGGUCUACUGGGGGCCUUGUCCUAGUUUCAGACAGUUGUCAGAUUUUUUUUUGUAGUAAAGAUUUUGUAGACUGAGUCAGAUGUUAUUAGAUGUAGUUGAUUUUCAAUUUUCAUGCUUAUGCUGAAUACAUAAUUGACCAUGUUUCUGUAGAAGAUUAUGUUUCCGCAUCUUCUUUAUUUAUAUGAAUGUGUGCAUUCUUACCAGAUAGAGAGGGACAUUCUGGGCCCUCAUGGUUUGGGAUGUCCAUUAUGGCCAGGCCCUAGUUUGGGUCGUGACACUUAUUUCUUAUUGUGACCUUGUUAAGCUGAUGAUAGUUAAUGCACAUACGCAAUGAACUACCUUUCUUUCGCAUGAAUAGAACAGGUUCACCCCAAGGAGAAACAUUGGGCCUUAUGAAACCUUUAUCUAAAAGAUCUUUAAGUUGCUCUUUCAACUCCUUAAGAUCUGUAGGUGACACACGGUAUGGUAGAAUGGAAAUCGGCUGAGUGUCAAGAAGAAGGUCAAUCCCAAAUUCUAUCUCUCUAUCGGGAGGUACUCCUGGGAGAUCUUCUGAAAAAACAUCAGAAAACUAAUUAACAAUGCUGACUGACUGAAUAGUUGUAGCCUCAGACUUAGUGUCUUUGACUCGAACUAGGUUAUAAAUGCAACCUUUGGAUAUUAGCUUUCUGGCCUUGAGAUAGGACAUAAAAUAACUCUUGGGAGAUACCGAACUCCCGAACCACUCAAAAACUGGUUCAUCAGGAAACUGAAACUUGACCACAUGGGUACGACAGUCUAUAGAUCCAUAACAAGAAUGAAGCUAACACAUACCUAAAAUAAGGUCAAAAUCCACCAUGUCUAACUCUAUCAAGUCAUCAAAUAUAACUCUAAGAAGAAUAGUAACAGGAUAAUGUUUAUACACUUUCUUAGCAACAAUUGACUCCCCUACUGGUGUGGAAACUAGGAAAGGAUCAGGAAUUCUUUUGGGACUCAUUUUAAAAUUCAUAGCUACAAGUGGGGUCACAUAAUAGAAACUUGACUUGGGGCCCAACAACAUAUAAACAUCAAAGCAAAAGACAUAGAGCACACCAGUAACAACAUCGGGAGAGUCCGCCUGCUCCUGAUGGGAUGGUAAGGCAUAGAAUCUGUUCUGACACUAACCUCCAGCAGUGCUAGAUGAAGCGCCCUGAGCAGGGGCGGGAUAGGGUACAGGAGAUGGUGCACUAGUAGUAUGUGCUUGAGCUCAGGCACCUUUGUUCCCCUUCCUAGCAUGUGGGUAAUCUCUAAGUUUAUGGCCUAGAUUUCCACAACCAAAACAACCCCUCUGGUCUGCUAAGAACUUACUGGGGUGGUCCUUACCACACUUAGCAUAAGGAGGGUAGCAGGUUCUAUUACUUACACCGUUCUGCGACCUAGACAUAGAAGACCAAUUCCCUUGCUCUUGUCUGCCUUUAGGUGUGGGAGCACUAGCUGAUAAAGAUGCUGGCAUAGACAAAUAACUCUGGAACUGUGGGUGGUUCCCUCCAUGGGACCUAGCCUGACCAUACUCAUGCUACUCAAAUCUAGCCCUCUUGUUAUCCCUCACUCUAUCUCUUUCUUAUCUUGUUUGCCUCUAUUUUCUAUGCAUGUAUCAUCAACCUAGACAUAUCCAUAGACUCCAAACCCCCUCCCCCUCCUAUACGCCUAGGGCUGGACAUCUAGACCAUGGAAAAUAUAAGAUGGGGAACGCCAACAUCCCCCACACGCCUAGGGCUGGAUGUCUAGAGUGUGGACAAUUUAAGAAGGGGUGCCUAAUAUCAGAAAUAAUGAACUGGGUGGACCUCGCUUGGAAAUAAUAAACUGGGUGGGCUUGGCUCUGAUGCCAUUAUAAAGAAAUGAACCUUACGCCUAACUCAACCUCAAAAGCUAGUUAAUGAGGGAAAGAUUGUCCGAAACCAGAUAAGGAGACCAAGGACUCUUUAACCAACCGAUAUGGGACUCCAACACAUUAUUGUGCAUUCUUUAUUUAAACAAUGUACUUUACUGCACAUCUAAAUAAAUCGGCCAGCCCCAUAACAGAAAAGAGAACCUAGAUUACCAUUAACUGGAACCUAGUUCACAAGUUAAUAGGAACAUGAUUCACAAGUCAAUCAUCAAAACCAUAAUCCUCAUAGUUACUAGACUUCACAUUCUAUGUUGUUAGUAAAGUUAGAAAAAGACAAGUCUUGUGUUGUUGUCAUCUUCACUCGUUUGGCUCGCCUUCAACUUUGGCUUCAUAUUUUGAUUGAAUAAUGGAGGAAAAAUCAAAUGUGGCUUCACUUUAUGGAAGAAGUAUUUCCCCACAUAGGUGGAUGAAAGAAACUUUCUUAUGCUUAAAUAUAGAAGUAAUUACUCAAUGUUGUUAGUGAGGUAAGAAGAAGACAAGCCUAGCGUUGUUGUCACUGUCACUCGGCUCGACUUCGGAUUUGUGAAUUCUAAAGAUUAUCUCUUUGAACAAAAUUCAUUCGAAACUUAAUUGUUAAUGAUUAUUUAAUCCAAAAAUCUGAUCUAAAAUAAUUCCUCCAUUUGCAGAUGUAAAAGGGCAUAUGCUGAUGUAUUUUCAACACGAAUUGAAGGGACGUGAUCCUUCAGUUCACUACUUGAAUGAUAUUAAGAGUAUGUGGGGCUGCAUUUUCUCAUCUGCGAAUGCAGAUGCCAAUGGAAAUGUUAUCUCAACACUUUGUUUUUUAUGUAGGAAUGGUCUGCGACCAUAUAUUGCCCUCUGCAUGUCCGCAGAUAGCUCUGUAAAAUGGGUUGACGUUGUGAAAUAGUGCAACUUUUCAAGAACCAUUGGUUUUUUUUUUUGAAACACCACCAUUUGUCUAUAAAUAACUUAUUUUUCCUCAUAUAUUGGAAUGAAAUUUUGGAGUUAAAAAUCCUUCCUUCUUGCAAAAACUCUAGUAUGAUUUGCUACCCUCAAGUGCAUUGAAAGUUCAAUGAAUUUAAGGUACCAGUAUUCAACUGAAGUGAAUUAUUUUAUCUUAGGAGGAUAUAUUCCAUAACCUCGUGUACUUGAGGGGAAUAAUUUCCUUCAGAACACACUGUGAAUUCAGUGAACUUGAUUCUUCUAACUUCAUCUCUUUGUAAGUUUGGGUUACUAUUUACCAGAAAUAGUUUAAACUUUAUUUUGUUGUUCAUAAGUUAUUUUUAACUUAUUGUUGAAGUUCUUAUUCUUGAAUACAUAUUUUAUUUAGUAAAAAUAACACCUUUCUCGUAGGCUAUACACUAUUUUCCUUAUGAAUCGAUACGUUUUCUUCACUGUUUGCUUCUUUAACUUGGAUUUCUUGUUGUUGAGCUGAGGUUCUUUCAAAAACAACCUCUCUACCUCCAUGUGGUAGUGGUAAGGUCUAAGUACCCUCUACCCUAUCCAGUCCCUACUUAUGGGAGAAUUUAUUGGGUAUGUUGUUGUUGUAUGAUAUUUCUUACAUGAGAUGAAAUUUUCUUUCUUUUCUUUUUUUCGUAAAGCUGGUAACUCAUAUUUCUCUCAAAUCGACAGGAGAGAUCCCAGAUGAGCUUGGUAAUCUUAAGAAACUACAGUUGCUAACAUUAACCAAGAAUGAGUUUAUUGGUUCUGUCCCUGCAAGCAUUUUCAACUUGUCGUCACUGAAGGUCCUGGAUCGUUCACUAAACAAGGUUUCAGGUACUCUACCUUCAAAUUUAGGCCGUGGAAUGCCCAACCUAGAAGAAUUUCAUUGUGGAGAAAACAAUCUGAGUGGUUUAAUCUCUGCAUCACUCUCAAAUUCUUCAAGACUCAGAAUACUUGAUCUCUCAAGCAAUAGCUUCACAGGUCCAAUUCCUGAAUUACUUAAUAACAGUACCUUGAGAUGCUGAUCUUGGAGGUGAAUUAUUUUUUUAGUGAUUCAGCAUUGAGCUUUCUUGCAUCAUUGACAAACUGUAGGAAACUAAAAGUAUUCUCUAUAGCUGAUAAUCCAUUGAAUGGUGUUUUGCCUGUAUCUGUUGGUAAUUUGUCCAAAACUCUACAGGUUUUUGAAGGAUCAAAUUGUAAAAUUAAGGGUGUCGUCCCUAUAAAAAUUGGUAAUCUUACUAGGGUUAGAAGAAUAAGUUUGUAUAAGAAUAAGUUGACUAGACAUAUUCCAAAUACUUUCCAAGGCAUGUUGAGCCUUCAAGAAUUUUACCUACUAAGAAACAAAAUAGAAGGAACCAUACCAAAUGUAAUCUGUAGUUUGAAGAAUUUAGGUGCAUUAUACUGGUAAGAAAAUCACCUUUUAGGGUCCUUGCCAACAUGCUUAGGAAAUAUUUCCACUUUGAGGUAUCUUGGUCUAGCUUACAAUAGGCUGAAUUCAAGCAUACCUAAAACCCUAGGCUAUCUUCGUGAUCUCAUAGAAUUCAAUAUCUCAUAUAAUUUAUUGAGUGGUAAAAUUCCCCUUGAGAUCAGAAAUUUAAAGGCGAUAAUAUUCAUUGAUUUGUCAAAAAACAAUUUUUCUGGUAAGAUUCCUAGCUCUCUAGGGGGUCUAGAUAAAUUGAUUAAUCUGUCCCUGGCAUAUAAUAGAAUAGAAGGACCUAUUCCAGAUUCAUUUGGCAAAAUGCUGGCAUUAGAAUUCUUAGAUUUGAGCUAUAACAAUCUUGGUGGUGAAAUUAGAAAGUCUUUAGAAGGUCUUGUGUAUGUCAAAUACUUGAACUCCUCAUUCAAUAAACUCCGUGGAGAGAUUCCCAUUGGCAGUCCUUUUGCAAAUGCCACAAGUCGAUCUUUCUUGUCCAAUGAUACACUUUGUGGUGAUUCUAAGUUUAAUGUGCCAGCAUGUGUCAUUCAAUCUCCUAAGAGGAAAAGGGCAAUCUUGAUUGUGUACAUUAUUUUGGGAGUGGGUCUAUUAUUUCUUGAACUAGCCUUCACGUAUGUAUUUGUAAGAUUGCGAAAGACAAGGAAUAACACAAAUGAGGUAGAUCUAACACUGGUAAAAAGGAAUGAAAAAAUUUCCUAUUAUGAAAUUGAACAAUCAACAGAAGGAUUCAACGAAAGCAACUUGCUUGGUAACGGGAGCUUUAGCAUGGUCUACAAAGGGUACCCUUUUCGCAGUAAAGGUAUUCAAUGUGCAAUUGAAAUGUUUAUGAUUAUUUUCAACCAUGAUUGCAGAGUAUGGACAAGAUAGAAUAGUAUCCAUGAGAUGUGAUGUUUAUAGUUUUGGCAUCCUAACGAUGGAGAUAUUCACACAAACAAGAUCAAGUGAUGAAAUAUUUACUGGAGACUUGAGCAUACAACAUUGGGUUAGUGAUUCCUUUCCAACUGAAAUUCAUAAGGUGGUGGAUCCUAAUUUGGUACAGGUAAGGGAUGAUCAAAUCGAUGCAAAGAAGCAAUGUUUGUUAUCUAUCAUGGACUUAGCUUUGAGGUUAACUUUAGUGGCACCUGAUGUAAAGAAUUAGCAUGAAAGAUGCUCUUUCAACCUUGAAAAAAAUUAGGCUCCAGGCUCCAGCUUGUUUCAGUUGGCACUAAGCGGAAUCGGACCUUAUACUCUUAAAUGUUACUAUGUAAUUUACCUGCGGUUUACGCGGUUGUGAGUGACCUCUUUCGACUGAUAAUAUCCAAUUUUAUUUUCUUAUUUCUUGUUGUAUUUCAGACUUUAGUAUUUGUAAUCUGCUACUUGUUAUAAUCAUAUAAGAUGAAAUCACAAAAGCUUCUGUUCUGAUAAAUUAAUUGUUGGUAUAGUUGAGAACACUUGAGUUCAAUCAAUUAUAACAGAACUCUGUUGCAGAUAUUUUUCAUGCUCAACCUUGUAUAUAAAAAGUUUCAUUCGCAAGAAAAAUCUCAUAGCAGAAUAUUAAAAAGACACUCAUAGCCCAAGAUUCAUCUAACAAUUGCAUUAAUGAGCAACCACCAGAAGAAAAAGGAUGUUAAGAUUAGUUCCUCAAAGCUGCAGAUUAGUUAUAUCAGCUGCUGUAAUUCAAAAUACAGCAUUAAAGUAGGAUUUAAAUUUAUUAAAUGAGACUGCAAUCAUGUAAAAUCAUCUUUAUUACUUUUGCUUUUCUUUAGGUCAUAAUUAUUAGAAAUAAUGGUAGCUUAUUUUACUCCUUUUAUUGAGUUUUUUCAGUUAUGUUCUUAUGUAUAAAUGUGACAGUAAUCAAUGAAACUUUAUAAUGCUUUAUGCUCUUUCUUUUCUUUGUUAAGAUCUGUUUUUGUCCCCAACAAAUUGGUAUCAGAGCAUUGCCAUCUUGAGGGACCUGUGAGAAAAAAGUUAAUCAAAAACACAAGUUAUUUCUAUAUAACCAUUCUUUAAACUAUUAUCUUCAAUAGUUUAUAGAAAAUGAAUUCUGAAACAAGCUUUCUAAUUCCACCCGUCUUCAAUGGUGAGAAUUAUCAAGCUUGGACAAUUAGAAUAACGGUUCAUCUUGAAGCACUGGAUCUAUGGAAAGCAGUAUAACAGGACUAUGAAGUAACUUCUCUUGGAGAUAAUCCAACAGUGAAUCAGAUGAGACAUCACAAGGAGAGAAAUACAAGAAAACCCAAAGACAAAGCAUGCCUUUUCUCUACGGUAUCUCCUUAAAUUCUUACCAGAAUUAUGCAAAUGAAGUCCGUUGUAGAAAUUUGGGAGUAUCUUGAAAAGGAAUACCAAGGAAAUGAAAGAGUUCAAAAUAUGCAAGUGAUUAAUCUGAUUCGGGAAUUUGAAAGGAAGAGAAUGAAAGAAUCAGAAAUCAUAAAAGAUUAUGUAGAUCAAAUACUUGACUUAUCCAACAAGGUGAGAUUGUUUGGUUAGGAUUUUACUGAUGAAAGAAUUGUUCAAAAAAUUCUUGUCGUAUAUCUUGAGAAAUAUGAAGCCACAAUCUCUUCUUUAGAGAAUUCUAAGGAUCUGUCAAGCAUUACCUUGGUAGAACUUGUUAAUGCUUUGCAGGCAUUAGAGCAAAGAAUAAUAAUGAGGAAAAAAGGUUCUGUUAAAGUGCUUUUAAAGCUAAAUAACAGAACGAGUCAUACGAGAAAAAAAAAGAACCAAAAUCAAAGGCAAGGCAAUAAUUACAAUAAUCAGGGAAGAAGUAAUCUACCCUGCCUUAAUUGCAAAAAGACCAAUCACUCUCAACAGAAAUAUUGGUGGAGACCAGAUGUCAAGCACAACAAAUGUGGUCAAUUGGUCAUGUGGAGAGGGUAUGCAAGUCAUAAACAUAACAAGAAUAAACCAAGGUUGCUGUAAAUCAAUAUGAAGAAGAGCAAUUAUUUGUAGCAACUUUUUUUUCUAGCAAAAGAACUUUUAAAAAUUUGUUGAUUGAUAGCGAAUGCACAAAUCAUAUGACUAAUGAUCAAAAGCUCUUUAAAGAACUAAAUUGAUCUUUUAUUUCCAAAUUCAAAAUUGGAAUGGAGAAUAUCUUGACGCAAAAGGCAAAGGAACAAUUAAAAUUCAAAGCCCUACAGGUUUGAAACUUAUAACUAAUAUUUUCUUUAUUCCUAAUCUUGAUCAAAACCUCUUAAGUGUUGGUCAGCUACUUGAAAAUGGUUUCAAAGUAUUGUUUGAAGAAAAAGAAUGUGUCAUCAAAGGAUUCUGAUAAUAAGGAGACUUUUAAGGCUAAGAUGACAGAAAGGAGGUUUUCCUUAAAUCUACUGGAUGAUGAGGAAGCAACAAUUGUCAGAUUGGAAAAUGAUUCCGAGUUAUGCAACAAAAGACAAACAUUAUCAUCAUGAUGCCAUACUCUUAAUGAAAUAAAAUCAACUAGCAGAAGAUCUUUCGAGCCUUAAGAAAAAUAUUUCUACUUGUAAAGCUUAUCGGUAUGGGAAGCAAACAAGGCUUCUUUUUCAAAAUUCAUCAUGGAGGCCAAAGAAUAAGCUAUAACUUAUUCAUAGAGAUGUAGGUGGACCUCAAAAAACACCAUCUUUAAAUGGUAGUAAGUACUAUAUUGCCUUUAUGGAUGAUUGUUUCAAAAAUUAUUGGAUUUAUCUUUUGAAUUUUAAAUUUGAGGUCGGUGAUGUAUUUUGAAAAUUUAAGGCUUUUGUGAAAAAUCAGAGUGGUUACAGAAUUCAUGUGAUAAGAAUAGAUAAUAAAACCGAAUAUACUUUUAGAAAGUUCAACAACUUUUUUAAUGAAGUAGGAAUCGAGCAUCAACUAAUGGCACCCUAUACUCCUCAACAAAACAGUGUAGUGGAAAGGAAAUAUAGGAUGCUAAUGGAGAUGACAAGUUGUUUUCUCCAUGAGAAAGGGCUACCAAAGAAAUUUUGAGCUGAAGCUACCAAUACCGCAGUAUUUUUGCUAAAUAGAUUCCCAACUAAGUCUCUACUUAGAGCAAGAUUCAAGUUUCUCGGAGAAAGACUUGGUGUUACAGCUAUUGAUUCAAGGAGGAGUGUUAAGAUUUGUGCCUCAAAAGCUGCAAAUUAGUUAUAUUAACUGUUGUAAUUCAAAAUACAGCAUUAAAGUAGGAAUUAAAUUUAUUAAAUGAGGCUGCAAUCAUGAAAAAUCAACUUUAUUACUUUUCCUCAUCUUAAGGUCAUAAUUAUUAGAAAUAAUGGUAGCUUAUUUUACUCCUUUUAUUGAGCUUUUUCAGUUAUGUUCUUAUGUAUAAAUGUGGCAGUGAUCAAUGAAACUUUACAAUACUUUCUACUCUUUCUUUUCUUUGUUAAGAUUUGUUUUUCUCUCCAACAAAAGCGCUGACAAACAACAUAAUCAAUCUUCUUUACAGUCGAUGUAAGCACUACUUGAAAUCGUACACAUCUUUUAGGUGCUUGCUAUGAUUCCACAACAUGAAACUCACUGCAUCAUCGAAUUAAUGACAAUAACUUUAAAUGACAGUAACUCUUAGAGUGGUUACAGAAUUCAUGUGAUAAGAAUAGAUAAUAAAACCGAAUAUACUUUUAGAAAGUUCAACAACUUUUUUAAUGAAGUAGGAAUCGAGCAUCAACUAAUGGCACCCUAUACUCCUCAACAAAACAGUGUAGUGGAAAGGAAAUAUAGGAUGCUAAUGGAGAUGACAAGUUGUUUUCUCCAUGAGAAAGGGCUACCAAAGAAAUUUUGAGCUGAAGCUACCAAUACCGCAGUAUUUUUGCUAAAUAGAUUCCCAACUAAGUCUCUACUUAGAGCAAGAUUCAAGUUUCUCGGAGAAAGACUUGGUGUUACAGCUAUUGAUUCAAGGAGGAGUGUUAAGAUUUGUGCCUCAAAAGCUGCAAAUUAGUUAUAUUAACUGUUGUAAUUCAAAAUACAGCAUUAAAGUAGGAAUUAAAUUUAUUAAAUGAGGCUGCAAUCAUGAAAAAUCAACUUUAUUACUUUUCCUCAUCUUAAGGUCAUAAUUAUUAGAAAUAAUGGUAGCUUAUUUUACUCCUUUUAUUGAGCUUUUUCAGUUAUGUUCUUAUGUAUAAAUGUGGCAGUGAUCAAUGAAACUUUACAAUACUUUCUACUCUUUCUUUUCUUUGUUAAGAUUUGUUUUUCUCUCCAACAAAAGCGCUGACAAACAACAUAAUCAAUCUUCUUUACAGUCGAUGUAAGCACUACUUGAAAUCGUACACAUCUUUUAGGUGCUUGCUAUGAUUCCACAACAUGAAACUCACUGCAUCAUCGAAUUAAUGACAAUAACUUUAAAUGACACUAACUCUUUCACUUUUUGGUAAGCAAACUAUCUUGUUAAGCUAAAACUGUUAAAAGCUACUAUACUCAGAGUUUACUUCUAGUGAAUUAUUCGGGGAGUUAAAUUCUUUUAACUGGCAGAUAUCAAUUCCAUUAAACUUGUUUAAAAGAUUUGAAAUAAUAGAAACGAUAAUAUUAAGUUUGAGACAAUCAGACUAUCUAAGUAAUAAAAAGUCCCAUGUAUUCCUUUUCUUUUUCCUUUUUUAAAUUUUACACAAAGACCAUCAGUAAGAUAGAAAGUGGGGCUCCUGAAGUAAGGAGCAUACACAGUAUCUGCAAUUAUAGAAUACACAUUUAAGCAUUAGGCUGCAAUUUAUUUCUAAAUAUUUGGUCCUGGAAAACUAUUACAUACAUCAAGAAUAAUCUGAAUGAGACUCAUCAUGACCUCUUGAUCCAAAUAUUGCAGCACCUAUUGCAUUGAAGGUCUUUUAUGUCGAUUUGCAUCAGUGCAUCUUGCAGCUAUUUCUGGAAUUUCUUCUACUUUCCCUUCAUCUAAAUCUCUUCACCUCUUAUAUAGAAUAUUCAUCCAGUCUAUUCUCCUUCACCAAGGCAUUUAUUCAUUCAUCCAACCACAUUGACACCUCGGUUUCCAGAGUUGGAUAGAUCAGCUGUAAAGGUAUUUUGAAAAAACUUAAUGGAAUAGUACUUGCAAUAGCAGUACUCAUCUUACAGAGAAAACAGAGAGCCAGAGGAGCUCUAGGAAGAACAUGAAAUCAUCUUUAAAGUAUAUUGUAUUGAAUUAAUUACAUACAAGUCGUGUUUAAGAGUCAAUAUAUAGACUUAUACAAACAUUAACUAACUAACUAAUUAGUUAGCGUAUUUCAACUGAUUAGGAUAUACUUAGUAACCAACGGAACUGACUAAGUAGACUGUUAGCUGAACUUUGAAAGGUAACUAACUGCUUUCUUACUUCUUCAUGCCUUAACACUCCCUCUCAAGCUAGGAGGGAUGAAGAUACUUAGGACUCCUAUCUUGGAUAAAAGAAUUCAUGUUGUAUCCUACUAAAUCCUUUGGUAAAAAUGUCUACAGGCUAAAGUCGAGUAGGUAAGUAAUUAAUUUCAAUUGACCUUUGUUGUAGUUUCUCCCUAAUGAAAUGGCAAUUUAUUUCUAUAUGCUUGGUUCUUUCAUGAUACACUGGAUUAGCAUCAAGUUGAAUAGAAACUUUACUAUCACUAAAUAGUUUGAUAGGAAUCUUGAAUUUUGUAUCUAACUCUUUUAGUAGCCCCACUAACCAAACCAAUUCUGUAGUUGCAGUAGCCAAACUUCUAUACUCAACUUCAGCUGAGCUACUUGACAUAGAUGACUGAUUCUUAUCUUCCAUGAGAUAAAUGAAUUCCCAUCUUUACAGCAUAUCCAGUUAUUGAUUUUCUGGUAAGAGGGCAGGCUACCCAAUCUGUAUUACAAGAUCAUUAAUAGUGUUAUUUGUAUUGCUUGAUAAUAGUAUCCUUUGUCCUGGAUUUAUCUUGAUGUAUCUUACUAUUCUUAAAGCAACAUCCAUGUGAGAUUCUUGGGGUUGCUGUAAAAAUUAGCUCAGUCUGUACAUUGAAAAUGAUGUUUGGUCUUGUCAUGUUCAAAUACAAUAAUUUUCUAAUCAAAUUUUGAUAUACACUCUGGUUUACAAGAGGGUCUUCAACAUCUUCUCUUAGUUAAUCAUCAUACUAUUUGGAAGUUGAUAUUCAUUUCUAUAGGUGUACCAGCUAGUUUAGAUGCAGACAAACCAACUGCAGAAAUCAGUUCAAGUGUAUAUUUUCUUUGAUGCAUUGUAAUCCCAUCUUUAGACCUUGCAAAUUCUAUGCUUAAGAAAACUUGCAGUUCUCCCAAAUAUUUCAUAUUGAAAGCUUGUGGUAAUGACUUCUUUGUUUCUUCUACAAGUCCCUGAUUAGCAUAUCAUAAACAUACACUAAAACCAUGAUUGUCCGUUCAUCUAUUUUCUUUAUAAACAAGUAUUAAUCAUGCUUGCUUUGAUUGAAUUAUAACUUCAAUAGAGCCUCAGUUAACUUUUGAUUCCACUACCUUAGAGCCUGUUUUAAACCACAUAAGGAUUUUGUCAAUUUACGUACUCUCUUCUCCCCCUGACUGGAAAAUCCUUGUGAAGGGGAUAUGUAUAUCUCAUCAUCCAAAUUUCCUUGUAAAAAGGCAUUGUACACAUCCAUUUGAUGAUUAUGUUAAUUUCUAUAAAUAGCAAAAGCCAAAAUAGUCCUUACAGUAACUAUUUUGACCAGUAGUGAAAAAGUUUCCUUAUGAUCUAUCCCCUUCUUUUAACUAUAGCCCUUGGCUACCAACCUUGCCUUAAAUCUUUCUACUUCACCUGAAGAUUUGUACUUAAUCUUAUAUUCAAAUAACUCCCAAGUUUUAUUAUUUUCCUAGGUUUGAAUCUCAACUUGCAUAGCCUCAAUCCAUAUAGGAUCUUUGAUGGCUUAUGCAUAUGUUGUUGGUUCAACUAAGACAGAUAUAGUAGCAAUAAAGUCUUGAUAGAGAGUAGACAGAUGAUCAUAAGAGAUACAAUCAGAGAGAGGAUACUUUACUUCUUUGUUGAUGUCAAGAGAGGCAAAAUAUUUCAACCAGACAGGUGGAUGAGUCUCUCUUGUUGAACUUCUAGUAGGUAUGGAAGUCGUAAGAUACACUACUAGUUCAACAUGAUUUGAAUUAUCAUAUUCCGAAUCCUCAGGCAUUACCUCAUUGUGUACUUGAGGUGAUGCUAGAUGAUAAAAGUCGGUGUAUUAUUCACAUCUACAGUAUAUCUUGUAGGCAAAUUGUCUAUGUCAAAGAGGAUGUUUAAGUUGUCCAGCAUAUCUAUGAAUAGAGCUUUAGACUGUUGAGUCUUAGCUUGAGAGAAAGGAAAAAUAUAUUCUUUGAAUAUAACAUCUCUGCUAACAAAAAAUGAAUAGAAGUUAAAUCAUACAGGGUGUAACCUUUGUGAAUUUCUGAAUAUCCCAUAUGAACUAAUGUCAUUGUUCUAGGAGCUAAUUUAUCAGAUUCUGUUACAUUUUUAGAAAAACAAAGACAGCCUAACACCCUUAAGUGCCUAACAAGAUGAGCUUUACCAUAUAUUCUCUCAUAAGGAGAUUGAUCAUUAAUAACUUUACUAGGCAUUCCAUUAAUUAAAUAGACUGUAACCAAGACACAAUGACCCCAGAAUUGUAAUGGUAUGUGACCUUUAAACCUUAAGGCUCUAGUAAAUUCUAACACACUUCUAUGUUUUCUCUCAGCUAUCCCAUUUUCCUGAGGGGUAUAAGGACAUGAUCUCUGAUGUACUAUUCCCAUUUAUUUAAAGAACUUAUCACAAAUAACAUUAACAAAUUCUGUACCAUUGUUUGACCUAACUAUUUUUACUAAUUCGACAAACUGAGUCCUCACAUACUACAUAAAAUGUUACAGAGAUAUACAUACAUCUGACUUGUUUUUUAGUAAAAACUAACAAGUCAUUCUAGUUAAGUCAUCAACAAUAAUGAGAAAGUAUUUAUUACCAUCAAAAGUAGUUUUUUAUAAGGCCUCUAUGCAUCAAUAUGCAGUAAAUCAAAACUAUUACUAGUCUUGUUAUUACUAAAGGAAAAGUUAACCUAGUUUGUUUAGCAUAAGGACAUAUCGUACAUUCAUCUACUGUCUUAAUAUGAGUAGAACUUUUAUUAGAUAGCAUUCUAUCUAGGACUCUAGAAGACAUAUGAACAGUCCUUUUAUGCCAUAGGCGUAUAUUUGCAUGUUUCAUAGUUUUAUGAAUUUCAGAAUUUCCUGUUGUUGUACAAGAUAGGAUCAAUAACUCAUUCUUAGUCAGAUUAUUUAGAAGAAAGUAUAAUCCAGCAUCUUUUUUACCAAUCUCUCUCACCUUCCCACUGUAGAGUUUCUGAAAAACAUAAAAAGUAAGGGAAAAAUGUGACUGAGCACCCUAACUCUUUAGUCACUUUACUCACAGACAUAAGGUUAUAUUUGGAUUUUGGAACAUGAAAGACAUUAGUUGUAAUACUUCUUGGUGAAAUAGCAGAUGAACCUACAUAACAUACACUAGUUAAAUUACUGUUGAAUUAUAAAGAGGACAUUGGAGAAGAAUCAAGAAAAAAAAUAGACUAGUUACUUUUCUGUUAUAACUAUUUCUCAAUUAUUUACACAAGUUCCAAUGGCUAUGUAACAUCUAGAUUUUUCUGAAUUGGAGCGCUACACGGUUGUUAUGACCUCGAAGGACCAUAAGCUAACCCAUGACUGAUAUCUAUACCUGUACACUACAAUAUAUAUCAUAAUAAUACAGAAAAUGUGAACAUGUAGGCCAUAAGGUUUGACUGAAUAAAGAAUCUAGUAAAAUAACAUCCAUAUGGGUGAAAGAUACCCAAAACAACUAAAAACUGAAUCAAAUCUGAACUAAAUCUGAAAGCCUCUAAACACUGUCUGAAUAAGGAGUUGAAGGAACAUGUCUCCAACAAACUCCAUAAACUGAUAGCUAAUUGAAAUAAUAAAUGAAUAAAUCAAAUCAUAUUGUCCUCGAAUGAAGAGGAUUCACUGCAACUCUAUAUACUGGAAUGCGGCUGCUACUGCUAGUCUGGAACUCAUGUCUCUGAACAUAUGGUGUAACAUAAAGAGAAAGCACCAUAGCGUGAAUGCGUUAGCACAACUAGAGUACUGAGUAUACUAGUGAGGUAGGCUGAACAUAAAUAGGGUUACAUGCAUGAACAAUGCUAACUAACUGACUGAUAUGAAUGUGAGAGUGCAAGCAUGCAUACAUAGAAACUGAGAUCGUGAAUGUGUAAUAGCUAAAUUUAUACGCUAAUACAUAGUUUACUGAUAACUCAUCAUGACUGAUACUGUAGUUCUAAAUACAUGGGUCACUGUGUCUGACAGUCUUGCAUCUGAUGGAACUAUCUGAGUUUCGUACUAUAACUAAAUUUGACUGUAUCUAACAAUACUGGUAUACUAGUAUCUGAAGAACUGUCUGAGUUUUUUUACUGAGACUGAGUCUGAAACUGUGGGAGAUAGUUGUUUAAUCGACACGCCCGAAUAAUGCAUAUAGCUAAGUUGGGGUCCAAUAUUUGCCCUGACUAGAGGAAUGUCACGAUCCGAACCGGGGCCCUGGCCGUGAUGAGCAUUCCAAACCAUGAAGGCCCGAAACACCCCUAUCUAUCUGGUAAUCAUGCACAUAAAUUAUAUGAUAAUAAGAUAUACGAAAGAUACACAAUAUUAUGGAAAACAUGGUCAUAAAUCAAAUGAAAUCAACAAAGGGAAAAUAAUGUCCCACAACAUCUAUCGACAUCUGACCAACCGUCUGUGAAAUCUUUAAUACAUGACUAAAACAAAUUACUGUCUGAAACUUGGACAAGACCCCAGUAGACCCAAACCUACUAAAUGAUAAAUAAACUGACAGACAUCAGGCCUUUCGAAAUGUAGAAGGCUCACCACUUGAUUUUGCAAAUCUGUCAGAAGAGAUCUACUAGUUAUCUGGACCUCUAAACUGUGCCUUCAAACCUGGGAGUGAAAAGGGUCAAUACAAAAGUACUGGUACGCAAAGAAAUCAAAAACAAAAUAUAAUAUUUUUUUCCAAAUAUAGGUGAGAGCUAUUAUAAAGCAGCUUCAUAUCAAAUCAUUUGAAAACACAUGGGCAUAAUGUAAUAGUUUUCAACAAUAAUGUAAUGCAACUGAGCUAGGUGGAAGACCCUACAUAUAACAUUUACACCAACUGUCAAAUCUUGAUUGCUGUCUAGAUUAGAGUAUAAGUGAGGGGAAGACACACAAGAUCACAUAGCAUGGUGUCUCGACCCAAUAAAGUAUAGUAGUGCCCAAGAUCACUUAGCCUGGGCUCCUAACCAUAGUCCCAAUUUGGGAAUGACAUAAAGUCAAGUACACAAGAUUACUUAGCCUGGUACCAAAUCCCCAUGUAGGCAAAUAUGAUUUCCAGCGAUGAGCCCUUACACUCAAAUACCUUUUUUGAGCAUCCACCUAUCUCAUGUAAAAUCAAUGCAUCAAACUCUAUUUAAUUUAAUCACAUAUCUUAUUCUGUAGGGUAUCGUCAUACCCAACUUGUAAGCCAUCAAUAUCACAUCAUUCUUUCAUGCAACUUUAUAUUCAUCAUAUUUUAACAUAACAACCCUCUCAUUGCAAUUCAAAACCAUGACCAUUUUCAAAAUAUUUCAUGUCACACUUGUCAAGAUAAUUUCAAACAUUUCACAUCAUAUGAGAAUUUAAAAUGAGAUCAUAUAAAGAGAGGGAUUUCAUAUAAUUCAUGCUCUCAAGUUAACAUCUUUUCAGAAUACAUGCAUAUACAUAUACCAUAUAUCAAACCACUUUGGGAAUAGGCCUAAAGACCAAAUCAAUAUCAUAAAAUGUUUAAAAUGGGAUUAUAUACAUAAUUUCAAAACCUCCAUUUUUAAAACAUGAAUUUUUAAGCCCAUGAGAUUUUUGAGAUAACCCCACAUACCUCUAUAUGCGAAGAUGAUCGGUGCUUCUUGAAGCCUAUGUUCUGGGGAUUUCAAAUAUGCAAUUAGUUUCACAAACCCACGGUUGAAUGUUGAGUUGCUUGGGUUUUUAUUUUGAAACACUAAGGAGAGUCUUGAGCAACUUUGAUGAAUGAAGGUGUAUUUAGGGGUAUUUGGGAACUGAAUUUCGUGUUUAUGGCUAAAUAAGGGUGGGAAAGGACCAUUUUGCCCGAAAAAUAGAGUGUUUAAGUCACUUGAGUAAUAAUAUAUGUUGUGCACACCUUAUCUCAUAAUAUAGAUUGUGCGGCGUACUCUUUAUCACACACAUUAGGUUGUGCAUCACACACCUUAUGGCAUAAGUUAGGGUGUGCGUCGCACACCUUAUGCUGCACAACACACUCCACUUUGCAAAGCCAUAACGUUUUCCUCGGGUGUCAGAAUUUUGCAAAAUUAGUAUCAUUGGAAAGAUAAUUCAAAUACCUUUCAUUUUCCAUACAGUAGGCACUCUAAUUCAAUAAAUAGAAAUAGUAAUGGUUGAUUGAAGUUGACCUAAGUUUCAACGCUCAUUAAAAUUCGAAUGAUAGGAAAACUUUCAACUUGUCCUUGAGCUUGGGGACUCUAUGAUCUCAAUUCAUGCUCAAAUAGGUUUCCACACUACAUAAUUUAUUAAUAAAAUAAACUUUUAUUGGAUUUAUGGGUUUUAGAACCUUUACGUGAAGGAAAUGACAAUUUUUGUUCUCAUCCGAAAUGCGGGGUGUUACAAGGGGUGUCAAUACCGCGCCACUGGUAAGGACAGUUUUAAGUGACCCUCAUCUGGUAGGUACUCAAAUAAGAAUGGUGGGAACCCUAAAUUGACAGGUUAAGCCACCUCAUCAACCCUAGUCUAACAGGUUAAAAUGUCUCAACCUACGCUAGCUACGUAGUUCUGCAACACAAGGAUAACUGCUAAGAAUCACACCCUAAACUGGCAGGUGAGUUUCCAUCCUUGGGUUCACUCGUUGCUAACUUCUACUCCCAUCUGAAGAGACUGAACAUGAUUUAACUGACUGUACAUGGAUUGAGUAACUGACUUCUGUUGACUGACGGAAUAGCACUACUAUCUGAGAUUUUACUGAGAUCAUGAGAUUUCUAAGGUUUCCUGAGUCACAUGACUAACUGAGUUCUAUAAAUUGUGGCUUGACUGAGAUGAUCGUGAUGAAAUGACAUUAUUCUAGGCACACAACUAUGUUUUUUGGGUACAAAUACCCCCAGGACUCAAUGGAAGGAAACUGACACACAUGACAUAACUUGAUCAUAAGAUUUGAGUCCACAAUUCAUAAUAUCAUACAUAAAGGAUUUCAUACUAAGCAUGGUUAUCAAUAAUGUAUUUCAUGGAAAGUAUUUCAUGUCACAUGGAAGUACUUUCACAACCUUAAUAUCAUGUUCAUUGCAUAAUCAUACUAGCAACAUAUAUCAAUAGUAUGGAAGUUCAUGUGGAAUCAUCUUAAGAGUUGACAUAGCUUGUCAUUUAAAUACUAUGGGGUCAUGGUAACAUGAUUUUUAGUAUUCUAGGCAUUUUAACAAACACCCUGCAUGCACACUUUGGGGCAUAGGUUUUCUCAGCAAUUUUAAUCAUCUUGAACUACCUAAAUUCAUGGGUUUUAACUACAAGCAUGCAUACAUCAUGGAAGUCAACUUAAAUUAAUAUCUUGAAGCUUAGACAAUGAACAACAUCACAUAACAAUAAGGAAAUCAAAUUUUCUCAUUUAAAAGCAUGGUUCUUGAACUCUAUGAAUGAAAGGGGUCCAUAGAUGAACACUACACAUACCUGACUCAGGGUUCUAGACAUUUUUGAACUUGAAGGGUUUGAAAUCCUUUGAUUCUUGAAGAGGAUUGGGUCUUAUUCAUGGAGAUUAAAUUUAUAGAGAAACCCUAGUUUUUUUUGUUUGUGAAAUAAUAAUUAGCAGAAUGACUGAAUUCGGACUUAUUUGGCUAUAUGUAGGCGAGUGUUAAGUGACCAAAAUACCCCUGUUAAAAUGACCUAGAAAUAAAAUGAACUUGGCAUGUGAUGGUCUGAUUGACGGUCACUCAGACACCUGACGGUCUAUCACUUAGCCUGUCAGACGUGGACCAAAAGAGGUUCACUGGAUAAGAGUUGAUAGCCUGGAUGCGGUCCGUCACAACUUUAAUAGUCCAUCAACUCGUCCGUCAGUCCUUAUCCAUUACGUGGAUCAACUGCCUUGGAUAUGACAGUCAAAGUGGCGGUCCUCACUUAUGUGGUGGUCCGUCAACUUGGCCGUCAUACCUGGGCAUUUCCGAUAGUUCCAAGUAAAACGUCCAUAACUUUCUCGUCUGGUGUUGGAUUUGGACAAAAUUGGUACCAUUGGAAAGCUAACUUAAUUUCCCACAUGAUAGAAAGUGAAAAUCUCAAAAAUACCAUGCGUACAAGUAUAGGUGUGUAUUUUAAAGUAAGUACUAGCAUCUUUGAGAUGAUUUCUAGCUAGGAAAAAGGCAUGGGUAUUAUAGGCUAGUUAGUUAGUUAGGUAGUCCUAUCACUGGCCUAUAAAUGUAUAUGACUGUACACAUUGAAUGAUGAUGAAUACAAUAUAACUACACAUUCUCUAAUAAUCUCUCUCAUUUACUUAUCUUCUUCUUCUUCUCAAUCUAUUCUUCUUCUGCUAUUCAUCUGAAGAUAUUACUAAGUGGAAUAGCAGUGUAUGGUUAAUGACAUGGUAUCAAAGCAUUACUCACUAGCAAACUAGUAGAGCAAGAUCGAUUCUGGUGCAUUGGUUUCUUCACGAGAAAAUUAAAGAAUCUUGAUUCAAGAAUUGAAGGUCUACAACAAUAGUUAAUCAAAAUUCUUCUAUUGAUCCUGUUGUUGCGGGUUCCAAAGUUACUCCACGUACUUUGGAUUAAAAUCAUCCUCUCUUCCUAGGUCCUUCUGAUGUGAGUGGCAUACAGGUUAUUUUUUUCAGUUAACAGGAGUUGAGAACUUCUCAAUUUGGUUUAGAUCCAUGUGCAUUGCUUUACUUGGGAGAAAUAAGCUGGGCAUGGUGGAUGGAACAUGUUCUAAAGACAAGUUCUCAGUUGAAUUAAGUAGUCAUUGGGAAAGAGUGAUUGAAAUUAUACUUUCUUAGAAUAUGAACUCUAUUUCUAAAGAAUUACAAGGAGGAAUUAUGUAUGCAUCUGUGGCAAACGCUCUCUGGAAUAUACUGUUUGAAAGGUUUAACAAAGUGGAUGGGGCUAGAACAUUCAUCCUACACAAGGAUAUUGCUACAUUGUUUUAAGGUACAUCUUCAGUAUUUGUAUAUUUCUCAAGACUUAAAGAUUUAUGGGAAGAAUUUGAGGCUCUAGUACCUGCUCUUGGAUGUGAAUGUGAUAAAUAAAAGGAGUAUGUACUACAUCUAUAGAAACUAAAGCUAUUCUAGUUUCUUAUGGGUCUAAAUGAGCCCUACACACAAGCAAGGAGUCAAAUCUUGCUUAUGACCCCUCUCCUAAAUUUUAACCAAGCAUAUGCAAUGAUAGUAAGUGAUGAAAGUCACAAAUCCAUUGCAAGUUAGGAAGGGAUUCUUGGUAUGAAUCCUGCAACAAGUGGGAAGAAUCAUGAUCUAGCCAUGUAUGCAAGAAAUGGAGCAGGCGGACGCCGAGGUUAAAAAUACAAAAAAAAUGUCAAUGUGUAGUGUGAUUUCUGUAAACUCAAGGGGCAUACUAAAGAAAAAUGUUGGAAACUGAUUAGAUAUCCUCAAGACUAUAAGGCUAAGAAGAAGCUCAGGCAUGAAGGGUCAAACAAGCCCUAUAAUAUAUCUCUGAGUUCUCAUGAUUAUCCAGUUGAUCAAAGUGGUUACUACACUAAAGAUGCAGGACAAUCAGUAGCUGCAAGUACUCAGAUACCUCAACUAAGUCAGCUUAGAAAUGUAACCUUUACCAAGGAGCAAUAUGAGCAAAUCUUACAAUCGAUAAAUAAGAAUAACUCUGUCAACACAUCUACUGAGUCUGCCAAUAUAACAAGUGUAGGUAUUUUUGCUUGUUUAGAUUUUUUUUGGUUCACAAAAAUGGAUUAUAGAUAUUGGUGCUACCAACCAUAUAGUUGGUAAUUCAAAACUGCUACUUAACAAGAUUGUUACAGAGUUAGAAAAUCCAAAGAAAGUAUAUCUACCCAACGGUGAUACUACAAUGGUCACUCAUGUGGGAACUAGCUGUUUAUCAUAAGGAAAUAACAUUACAAAUGUCUAUCAUAUCCCACAGUUUUCAUGUAGUCUCCUAUCAGUGUCACAAGUGACUAAGGAGUGGCGUUGCUUAGUAAACUUCUUCCCUAAUUUUUGUGUGUUCCAGGAUCUUUAUAUUGGAAAGGUUAAGGGGAUUGGGAAGCUUGAUGGAGGCUUAUAUCUACUAGAAGAUCAGUCAAGGAAUAAAGUUACAGGAGAAGCUAAAGCAACUACUGAAGUAACCAUGGAAAAAAACACAAGCUGAAGUGGAUUUAUGGCACCAAAGGUUGGGACAUGCCUCAACUGAUGUGUUGAAAAGAAUUGUAGAUCAAGGAGUACAAGUGAUAGAAGAUAGAAUAAAGCAAUGUAGCAUCUGACCUAGUGCUAAACAGACUAGAUUACCAUUUUUGUCUACUAAUAUUCAAAGUACUUAUUGUUUUGAUCUUGUCCACAUGAAUUUGUGGGGACCAUACAAAGUGCCAACUAUGAAUGGUAAAAAAUAUUUUCUAAUAGUUGUUGAUGAUUUUUCAAGGUUUACUUGGGUGUUUCUAUUAAAUCUUAAGUCAGAUGCGUUCUAUAAAGUACAACAGUUUCUUAUAUAUAUAUAUAUAUCAAGACACGGUUUGGAAAAAUAGUUAAGGUGAUCAGAACUGACAAUGGUACUGAGUUUGUCAACUCAUUGUGCCAAAACUUACUUCAAGAUAAUGUUAUAAUCCAUCAAACAACAUGUCCAUAUUCUCCUCAGCAAAAUGGUAUUGCUAAGAGAAAACAUAGAUACAUUUUAGAGGUAACAAGAGCUAUCAGGUUUCAAGCUGAAAUUCCAAUAAGGUUCUCGGGUUAUUGUGACCUACCUGCAGUAUAUAUCAUCAAUAGACUGCCUAGUUCAGUCAUUCAAUUCCUAUCUCCUUAUGAGAAGUUGUAUCGUAGAAAGCCAAACUGUGAUCAUUUAGGGGUAAUGGGGUGUUUGUGCUAUGUCAAGGUGUUAAAUAAGCAUGAUAAACUCAUGACUAAAGCAAACACAAGUAUCAUGAUGGGAUAUUCUAUCACUCAUAAGGGGUACUUGGUAUAUUACAUAUCAACAAACAUCUUCUCUGUGAGUAGAGAUAUAUCAUUAAGAGAAGAUGUAUUUCUAUUCAAGCUACUUAAACUCUAAUCUCAGUCACCUCACCAUAUUUUUCCCCUGGAAGAUCAAUAUCAAGCACUAAGUAGUGAUGAGACAUGUCUUCAGAUUCCAGUAUCCAUGACAUAUCAAGGAGUUCCUGGUCAAGAGAGCCAACAAGAAUAAUAACUAUAGACUGCUCCUACCUCGGUACAAUCAAUAACUAAGGUAUCUCAGAGAAGGCCAACUAGAGGGCUCUCUACUCCUGCACAAUCACAACAUGUAACUCGAGUGUAUCAAAGAAGUUCAACUAGAGGUCAAGAGAUCAUCAGCUCAGUUAAUCAACAAGAAUAACAAGUACAGCUAAUUCCUACUCCUACAACUCAACCUUCUGCAUCACAGGACCAAAGAAAGUCAACCAAAGAUAGAAAACCUCCAGCUUGGAUGAAUGACUUUGUCUCUAAAAGUACAAAGAAAGUACCUCAUGCUCUUGCUAAUCAUGUGCCUUAUGGUAAACUCUCUACAUCAUACAAGGAUUAUGUAUUAAAAACCUCAUAUUUCACUGAGCCUACAAAUUACUCCGAGGCUUGUAGAGAUCCUAGAUGGGUGGAAGCAAUGAAAAAUGAGAUAGAUGCAUUGAAUUCUAAUCACACUUGGGAUCUGGUUACCUUGCCUAAUGGAAAGAAAGUUAUUGGUUAUAGAUAUAUAGAUAUAUAAAAUGAAGUAUGAGGCUUCAGGUGAUGUUAAAAGGUUUAAAUCUAGACUUAUAGCUAAGGUGAGAACUGUACUUGGUACUGCAGCUAGGAAGCAAUGGUUUGUAUAUCAAAUGGAUGUUUAUAAUGCAUUCUUAAAUGGUGAUCUAAAUAAUAAAGUGUAUAUAGACCUACCUCAGGGUUUUGCUAGUCAGAAGGAGAAUGUAGUGCACAAAUACUCAAAUCUAUGUAUGGAAUAAAACAAGCACUAAGGCAGUGGAAUACAAAGCUAUCAGAAGUAUUGCUAAGGUCUCAAUUUACUCAGAGUCAGUUUGAUCCAUUACUAUACAUCAGGAAUACAUCAGAAGGAGUCAUAUUGGUUCUAGUAUAUGUUGAGGACAUGUUGAUCACCAGAGAUAGCUUAGAGCUGAUAGAAGAAACCAAGGCAAUCUGACAUCAGAACUUCAAGAUGAAAGAUCUUGGUAAGAUGAGAUUUUUCCUUAAAAUAGAGUUUGAAAGACUUGAAAAAGGGAUAUUGAUGCAUCAAAGGAAGUAUGCCUUGGAACUACUAUCUGAGUUAGGCUUAACAACAGCCAAAUCUACAGCUACUCCUAUGGACUACAACAUCAAACUAACAUCCAAAAAUUUUGAUAAACAUGUUAAGCAUGGAAAGUAUACUGAGUAUCUUUCAGUAGAUCAAGUUGCUUAUCAAAAGCUAAUUGGUAAGCUGUUUUACCUAACUAUGACAAGGCCAGACAUAACCUUUUGUGUUCAGAUAUUAAGUGAGUUUCUUCAGAAUCCAAAGAAGUCUCAUAUGGAAGCAGCACUUAGAGUUAUGAAGUAUGUUAUAAACCAACCAGGACAAGGUGUGCUACUGUUUAGUAAUAUAGAUGACAGAGCAAGUUCCUACUGUGAUGCAAACUGGGCAUCAUGCCCUCAGACUAGAAGGUCUAUAACAGGAUAUUUUAUGAAAGUUGGAGAAUCAAUAGUUUUUUGGAAAUCAAAGAAGGAAACUACUGUUUCCAAGAGUUUAGCAGAAGCAGAAUUUAGAAGUCUUGCUGCAGUCACAAUAGAGUUGGUAUGGAUCCUAGGCUUGAUGAAGGAAGUUAGGAAUGAAGUAGUUCUACCAGUGGAUGUGUUUAGUGAUAGGAAAUCUUGUCUGCAAAUGGCAUCAAAUCCAAUAUAUCAUAAGAGAACAAAGUAUAUUGACAUUGACUGCUUCUUUAUCAGGGAAAAAAUUAUGCAAGGAAUGAUUAGAAUUCAUUACAUUGCAACUCAAGAUCAGCCUGCAGUCAUGCUGACUAAGGGACUGACAAGAUCACAACAAGUUUAUCUCAAUACCAAGUUAGGAAUCUGUGACAUUUUCACACCUUCCUAGCUUAAAGGGGAGUGUUGAAGUAUGAAGAGGACACUGGAGAAGAAUCAAGGAGAAGAAAAAUAGACUAGUUACUUUUAUGUUAUAACCAUUUCUCAGUUAGUUACACAAGUACCAACGGCUAUUUAGUUAUUUAGUUAGCCUAAUCACUAGCCUAUAAAUGUAUAUAAUUGUACACAUUAAAUGAUGAUGAAUACAACAUAACUACACACUCUCUAAUAAUCUCUCUCAUUUACUUAUCUUCUUUUUUUCUUCUUUUUCCUCCCAAUCUGUUCUUCUUCUGCUAUUCAUCUAAAGAUACUGCUAAGUGGUAUAGGAGUGUAUUAUUAAUUACAAUUACUAGUAAGUAAGUUAACUUUCUUAGGAUAGUCAGGCUUGAUAACAGUGUCUUGUGUGAGCAUGCCAAUCUACGACACCAAAUGGUUUGUUGCGCCUGUAUCAAUUAUCCAAAUAUCACUAUUUUCAUCCACAAGUAAGGAUUUACGUAUUAAUUGUAUUGGCAUGAUCAGUGGCAUUUGCAUUGAUUCCACCAUAGUUUUGAUUCAACAAUUACAAAAUCUGCUCAUAUUGGCCCUUAGUGAAUGUACAACCCUAAAGUUUUCUAGCACAAUCAUCAUAUUCUUUUCCUUUACCAUGCAAUGGUAGAUUAGUAUUAACACCAUACCUGAACUUUCCUUGUGCAUGCUCAGACAAGUAAUUUCCAGUUAUGUUCUAAUUACUCAUCACAUUACAGGCAGCACUAGUACCUCCACCAUAAGCCUUUUCUUGGAAUUGAAAUCAGAUGGAUACCCCACAAAUUUAUAGCAUUGAUCUCUAUUAUACCCCUUGCACUUACAAAAUUCACAGGUGACAUUAAAAUUCUUCUUGAACUUGUUAGCAUUACCUCCUUGAGAAUUAGAAUGCCCAUAGUUUAUAGUGUUUCCUGCAUUCUAAUUUAUAUUAUUGGAACGCCUAUUUCUUGAGUACAUAACCAUGGGAUCCAUACUAUUUGCCAUUAUUGUGUUUAUUCCUGCUACCACUACUAUAUUCUAUAGAGUUUUGGCAUUCUUCAAUGGCUAUCAUAGCUUAAGACAGAUUCACACUAGGGAGUAAAUCCACAAGCACUAUUUGACUUCUUGCUUGAUUAUAGUUUUCAUUCAAUCCCAUGAGAAGAUGAUAUAACUUUUGCCUAUUCAGAUGUGCUACAAAUCCUCUAGACUUACAAUUACAACCGAGAGAAGGAACUUAUGCCUCAAAUUCAUCCUAAAGAGUCUUGAGUUUGGUGUAGUACUCAGACACAGUAGAUGUACCUUGCUGCAGAUUUACAAUUUCUUUAUGCAGGCUAAAAGUUCUUCAUCCAUCUACCCUAUCAAACCUCUCUUAAAUCUUCCCAAAUACUAUAAGCAGAAGAAGCAAAUGCUACCCCUCCAAGAAGGUUCUUAGAAACUGAAUUUAACAACUAAGAAAGUGCAAUUGUAUUUACCCUCUCCCAUUGGCCCAUAGUUCUUCAUUAACACUUUUCUUGGUACAAGAACCAUCAGCUAGACCAAUAUUACUGCGAUCAAGUAAUGCUAACCUUACGGAUCUACUCCAUAAAUAAUAAUUUUCGGUCCCAAGCAAUUGAAAUGAUAUUAAAUUCACACCACUAAUAUUAAUAGGGCUAAAAAACAAUGAGUGAUUAUAGUCAAUACCUUGACUUGGAUAUAUCUAUGGAGUGGAUUUGCUCGAGUUACCCCCAUUAUUAGAAGAUGAUCCAUUUAGUCCUCGUAGAAGAUCUGCAUUUGUAUGUUCACUUCCAGUUCGCAUUUGUGAGAAUAUAUUUUAGACUUUAAUAGCAAUUUCUUGGAGGAGUUCUGAAACUUCAGAACUGAUUUACCCUUUGAUCUUGGACAAAACUUUUCGCGGAAGCUUUCUUUAUGAUCAAAUUAAAUAUAAGAACAUUCGAUCUACUCAGACUUUGAUCAUUUUUAUGAUACCAUGAAGGUAUUUUGAAGAAACUUAAUGGAACAGUAACUGAAAUAGAAGUACUCAACUUACAAAGAAAACGGAGAACCAGAGGAACUCUAGGAAGAAUAUGAAAUCAUCUUUAAAGUAUAUGUAUUGAAUUAAUUACUUAUAAGUCAUGUUUAAGAGUAUAUAUAGACUGAUACAAACUGUAACUAACUACCUAAUUAGUUAAAAUUACUCAACUGAUUAGGAUACACUUAGUAACUAGCUUAAAUGACUAAGUAGACUGUUAGUUGAACUUUGAAACAUAACUAACUGCUUUCUUACUUCUUCAUGUCUUAACAGGCUGGCCUUUUCCCGGUCACAAGCUCUAAAAAAGAAUUCCACAGAUACAUACAUCAUAUUUCUCUGUAGCUCUUCUACUUUGCAAGUACUCUAGUGCUAAAUAACCAAAAGUACCCAUAACCACACUUGUGAUGUAAGCUUCCUCGUCCACUAAAAACUCGGCAAGGCCAAAGUCUGAAACACGAGGCUCUAGAUUCUGAUCACGGCGUAUGUUGCUUGAUUUAAUAUCUUGAUGAACUAUUUCAGGACAACAUACAUCGUGUAGGUAGGACAACCCUCUUGCAGAACCCUCAUGUUCAUGUAGGAAGUUGUCCAAGCUUCUCAUGGCCAAAUAAAAAUACCAUGUAUUCAAUAUUAAAAUUAUAAAUAAAGGCAUGAACUGAACAGAACAAAAUAUUCAAAUAUUACAGAAGAGAAAGAAUCAAAACUUAUUUUCCCAGCGGUAUCACUGUUAGAUUUUGAUAAUUACAGUGCCAUUUUCUUUCUCUGCUCGUUAUUUGCUUUGUUUAUUUCUUCUUUCUUUAUUUAUUCCCUCCACCAAUUUUAAAAAGAAAAAAAUACUUGGAUUUUAUAAAUGUACAUAGAAAAAGAUUCGUAAGUUUCUGGAAGAAAUUUAGAGUGUUUUAUAUUUCAAAUUAACUUCACACAUUUCAAGGGAAUUUGUGGAGCUAAUAAUGGUUCAAAGAAAAGCUAAUUUGGGAAAAGAAAUUUAAUUUAAUGAUAUUAGGAAUAAAAUGACUAAAUAUUACAGCAAAUUAUAGCCAUAAUUUAUACUCAGGUACAAGAAAUAUCAGAUAACUCAAUAAUGUAAAAAAAAUUCACUACUCAAUGUUACUACGACUUAUAGAGCAUAUAAAUCAAAGAUAAUACAACCAAAAACCAAUAUAAGUUGAGCAAUACUGUGAUUUAUUACUUAGAUCUUUGUCUCAUUUUCGAAUUGUCGGAGAGCAGUUAAUUUUUAAAGUUGUUGACCGGUUUUUUCCACAUAUUAGGUUUUAUUUGUAGCUAUUAUGGUAGACGUUUGGUGUAGUUUUUGACAUAUUAGAUGUAUGAAUUAUCUAUUGAAUCACCAAUAAAGUAGAGCAUGACACCUGAAAUCUUACAUUGCCAAAACUGAGCAUAUACAUAUUGGCUAAAAAUUAGUUCCCAAAGAAACUGAAUAAUCAGAGUUAUAUCCAAAUUCAUUUCCACCAUGGAAAAUAUCAUUACACUUUUGAACUAUUCUUUUUCUAACAUCCAAUAUAUUUAAAAAUAUCAUCGCAUCAAACAAAAAGGACAACAACAUUCUCAUAGUGCCAGUUUUAUUUAAUUUUCUAGGUGAGCUACCAUUUACUUUAAAGUGAAAGUGGUGUCAUUGGCAAACAUUAAUUUCAAGAGUGGCAUUGAUGUGGUCAACGUAAACAGAUACUCAAAAGUAUAGACGCCAACACAAAAUGACAUAGAAUUAGUGAAGGAAAGAAAGACUUCUUUCAUCAUUGUUUCCUCUAUUUCCUCAACCACAGGAAAAUAAUUUACUAAAUCACCAGCAUUAUGCUUCCAGAAGUUAAAUGGUUUGUUGAUUUUCAAACCUAAGUUGCAAUAUUAUGUACUCAUACUAUUCUAAAACCCCAUUCAAGUAUAUAUACCUUCGAAUUAUUCACACAAGCGGGAACUACUUCUCUAGUCUCUUCGAUCAAUUUCUUCUCUUCCUUGGCAUUGGUAUUGAGAACCUAAAAGUUGUAGUUCCAAUUGUUGAUGGUUCAUUUGAUUGGUAAAAGAAUGCCACUAUUUCCUGAAUCAAACAUUUAGACUUGGAAUACGGUAGUUCAUUGAAAUGUAUCCACCAUAAGAAAUAUUACUUUCAGACUUGAAACGUCUUAGUUAAUAGUAAUCCAUCAACCAGUUCACCACAAAGAAUACAUAAUUUUGUUUAAAGCGCAAAGUUAAAUUAAUCAAAUUUAAACUCUUAAAUCAUGUCAACAAAAUUGAUAUCACAUAGAUUUGACUCAAUUAAUUUCUUUUUUUUCUUGGGUCAGAAACCAACAACUUUAUUAUUCCACUCAAUCAAAAUUGCAUCAUGUUGUUUACAAAUUUCAGCAAACUAAAUAAACACAAAAAAGAAAACGGUUAGAGUUGUGACCCGAAUUUUGUGAUCUGGCUCAGAAAGUUUCACGGUGACACCCAUGUUCAUGAUUUUUAAUGGGGUCAGUGGUGGUAGCGUAGGGAUCGGGCCGAUAUGUUUUUGGGCCUAGGACUUAUUUGUAUGCACGUAUUAUAUAAGUGCAAUUAGUGGGUCAUUUUUUUUAUUCAGAAAUUACGUCGCUGCACAUUGUACUCCUCUUCUUUCAUAGUGAAACCUCCUCUGCCUCUGUCCAUAGUUUUUCCCGCAAGGGUUUUCACGUAAAUCUGUGUGUUCUUGUUUUCUUUCUGCUUGUGGUUUGCUUUAUUUUUUCUUGAUUUCUAACAAACAGGUAUCAGAGCUUGGUCGAUUUUUUUCUCGGGGAUGGAAACCAUGAAGUAUGAUAUUCCAUUGUUGGAUCGCAAUACUAGAUUUUCAUUAUGGCAGGUUAAGAUGCGGGUUGUGCUCGCGUAGAUGGAUUUGGAUGAUGCGCUGUUAGGGUUUGAUCACAUGCCCUCAUAGUGGACAAAUGAUGAUAAACGACAUAAGGAUCGAAAGGCUCUAUCUCAGAUCCCCCUUCAUUUAUCUAAUCAUAUUUUGCAGGAUGUUUUGAGGGAGACCAGUGUCGCUGCGUUGUGGUUGAAAUUGGAAUCUUUAUGCACGACGAAGAGCCUAACUAGUAAGUUGCAUCUCAAACAAUGACUUUAUUCCCGUCGCAUAUCUGAGGGUACAUCCUUGGAGGAUCAUCUAUCUGUCUUUAAGAAAAUUGUGUCUGAUUUAGACACUCUGGAGGUUAAGUACGAUAAGAAAGAUUUAGAGUUGAUUUUUUUUGGUUCGUUAUCUGCAUCAUACUCGAAAUUUAAUGAUACGAUUUUAUAUAGUCAUGAUACCUUGACCAUAGAUAAAGUCUAUGAUGCAUUGUUCUCUAAGAAGAAAAUAAAGCAUCUUGUGAAUGAGCCGAAGACUCAAGGAGAUAGUCUCAGUGUUUGAGGAAUAAAUCGUGAGAGAAACUAUGGGGGUGAUGAUAAAAACAGAUCGAAAUACAGAAACAAAAAUAAAACCUGUAAUUACUGCAAGAAAAAAUGUCAUAUCAAAUUCGAGUGUUAGAAGUUACAGAAUAGAGAGAAAAGAGAAGCUCCAAAAUCAAAGGAAAACUAACCAGAGAAGUCUGGUGAAGCCAGUUUUGCUAAAGAUGGCGGUACUGAUGGAGAACUCUUAGUAGUUUCUAUGGUAGCUCCAAACCCUGUGAGGAUUAGAUUCUUGAUUCAGCUUGCACAUUUCAUAUGUGUCACAAUCGGGAUUAGUUUACAAUAUAUGGAAUAGUUUCUAAAGGUGCUGUAUUGAUGGAAAAUAACGCACUUUGUAAGAUAGCUGGUAUUAGAACAAUCAGAAUUAAGAUGUUUAAUGGUGUUGUGAGGACACUUGGUGAUAUACAAUAUGUCCAAGACUUGAAGAGAAAUCUUAUUUUCUUGAGUACCCUUGAUUCGAACAGAUAUAGGUGUACUAGUAAAGGUGGAGUCCUGAAGGUUACUAAAGGUGCUUUUGUUAUGAUGAAGGGAUAGAGAAAGUCUGCAAAUUUAUAUGUCUUGCAAGGCUCUACGGUUACAGUUGAUGCAACUAUUUCUGCCUCCUCUCUAUUAGAAAGUGACGUUGUUAAACUUUGUCAUAUGCGCCUGGGGUGUAAAGCCCUUUGUAAAGAUCCCGAUCUUCCUAGUGAUAUGUGGGACAAACAUCGUUAGUUGUUAUCUAAGUUGCCAAGAAAUAGUGCCUUUGCACGAGUCAGAAACCGAUGUAUUUACACGGGUCACCCUCGUUCCGUAUAUGAGUUCUUCCAAAUUUCUCGUAUCCUUUUUCGUGGAUUAGCAUCUCGAGGUCCUUUGAUGGGCAUAAAGAAAUCGUCUUGGUAGCAACCACCAAACCAAUAGAACAAGGGUUAGCUCCGCAGCAGGUCUACAAGCAAGGUAAGUAGGUCCAUUACCAGCCGGCUCCGGAUCGAAAAGACCUAACGGACUAAUCCCUUAUCUAGGAUCGUAGAUGCUAAUGGGACGGGAAUCGAAGUGGGGGACCCCUAUAACGCCUGUGUCUAUCUCCUGUCAAGUAUGCUCCCCAGACAUAGACUACGUACAGGGUAGUACUCUUGGAAAGAUAGAAUAUCACCGCGUGAACAUAACAUUACAUUAAGUUACGAAUGUAACUCCCGAAGAAUCGACCACUAUUCUAAAUAUAGUAAGGCGGAGAACUAUUGUUCAGUGGAGCACCGGAGUGCGGAGGUUGUUCCCAUCAUUGAAGUCAGGGUGUGGGACUAAGCCUUCCGAAUGAGAAAGAAGAAAAGUGCAACGUUUCGUUGGAAAAACCAACGCAAAUAUCAUAUUGACUUUCUCUCACCCUACUUCUAAAGAUAGAUAGAAAAGGUUGGAGAGAAUUUCAUAAAGUCAUUCUCUCCUUUCUAAAGCUGCGCAAGGCGGCCCCCCAAAACAAAGCCCCACCCCUCUUUUCCCCCUUUUAAUGAAGAACCCUCGCCUCGCUUCCUAUUCAUUUGUGGGUCUGGACCCAAUUUUGAUUUUUUCAAUUUCGAGAAUCAACCAAUGGAAAAAUCCGUAUCCCAGGUGACUCACAGCCUCCCUCUCGCCCAAAUAAAUGAAAUGGGAUGAAUCAAAUCAAUAAGCUUUUUGAUUGAUUCAGGGCGCAGCGAAGCCAAAUUCAAUCAAGGAAAGGGGGCUUACUUUUCCUGAGGCUGAUUCAUCCUAUUCAAAUUUAGCUAUGCUAAUGGAAGAGGAAAAGUUUUCAGAUGAGAUGGACCCCCAAGAGAUGAGCGAGAACCCCCAAUUGCUUAGGGGUCGCACUCUGUCCCGCUUGGUGGACGAAAUCUUCUCUCCUUUUAGAAUUCUUUCUCCCACACACCUUUUUUGCCCUCUUUCGCCGAGGAGGAAAGAAUAAUCUAAAAAGCGGACAGAGACCUAAAUUUCCAUUAGAUUCAUUCCUAAGCUUGCUUUGUUGCAGCAAGAUGAUCAGUCCGAGAGUGCUGGAGAGAAGAGAAAGCGGUAAAAACCUCUCUUAUUCGGUCACCGAGAAGUCGGACGACUCUUCAGUAACCCAGGGUGAUCCGACCCCUUCGACGCUUUUUUCGCUGUAUACCCCCUCCAUCCUUCGGAGGUGGAAGAAAGGGUACUCACAUUUUAAUACAUAGUAGGGCCCCAGAACGCUAAAAGGUGGGGGAACAAGAGUUGUCACGAUAGAAAAGAGAAAUAAAUAAAUGACUAUAAGGAACCAACGACUCUCUCUUCUUAAACAACCUAUAUCCUCCACACUUAAUCAGCAUUUGAUAGAUUAUCCAACCCCGAGCAAUCUUAGUUAUUGGUGGGGGUUCGGUUCGUUAGCUGGUAUUUGUUUAGUCAUUCAGAUAGUGACUGGCGUUUUUUUAGCUAUGCAUUACACACCUCAUGUGGAUCUAGCUUUCAACAGCGUAGAACACAUUAUGAGAGAUGUUGAAGGGGGCUGGUUGCUCCGUUAUAUGCAUGCUAAUGGGGCAAGUAUGUUUUUCAUUGUGGUUCACCUUCAUAUUUUUCGUGGUCUAUAUCAUGCCAGUUAUAGCAGUCCUAGGGAAUUUGUUCGGUGUCUCGGAGUUGUAAUCUUCCUAUUAAUGAUUGUGACAGCUUUUAUAGGAUAUGUACUACCUUGGGGUCAGAUGAGCUUUUGGGGAGCUACAGUAAUUACAAGCUUAGCUAGCGCCAUACCUGUAGUAGGAGAUACCAUAGUGACUUGGCUUUGGGGUGGGUUCUCCGUGGACAAUGCCACCUUAAAUCGUUUUUUUAGUCUUCAUCAUUUACUCCCCUUUAUUUUAGUAGGCGCCAGUCUUCUUCAUCUGGCCGCAUUGCAUCAAUAUGGAUCCAAUAAUCCAUUGGGUGUACAUUCAGAGAUGGAUAAAAUUGCUUCUUACCCUUAUUUUUAUGUAAAGGAUCUAGUAGGUUGGGUAGCUUUUGCUAUCUUUUUUUCCAUUUGGAUUUUUUAUGCUCCUAAUGUUUUGGGGCAUCCCGACAAUUAUAUACCUGCUAAUCCGAUGUCCACCCCGCCUCAUAUUGUGCCAGAAUGGUAUUUCCUACCGAUCCAUGCCAUCCUUCGUAGUAUACCUGACAAAUCGGGAGGUGUAGCCGCAAUAGCACCAGUUUUUAUAUGUCUGUUGGCUUUACCCUUUUUUAAAAGUAUGUAUGUACGUAGUUCAAGUUUUCGCCCGAUUCACCAAGGAAUAUUUUGGUUGCUUUUGGCGGAUUGCUUACUACUAGGUUGGAUCGGAUGUCAACCUGUGGAGGCACCCUUUGUUACUAUUGGACAAAUUUCUCCUUUAGUUUUCUUCUUGUUCUUUGCCAUAACGCCCAUUCUGGGACGAGUUGGAAGAGGAAUUCCUAAUUCUUACACGGAUGAGACUGAUCACACCUGAUUAGUGAGAAAUUCUGACACCAAUCAUUUACGAGUGAGUAUUACACCAAGAAUUUACAAGCGGAUCGAGGAAUGAAGGGAGAGGAAUUAGAAAAGAAAGAAAGAGACGGAUUUCGAAUUAGAGUAAGGGCACGCUAAGACAUUCCUUUUCGUGCUUUCUCUCUAUGCCUUCAAUAAUGAGAUUUGAAAAUCUGAUUCUUUCUCUACCGCUUCCUGAUGAAUGACUGAUAGGAAUGGAUUGCCUGGGCUUCCCUGCAUCCGAUCGACUCAUACCUCCCAGCCCUGUCUCCAGGAUCUCAUUCAAUAGAUCUAACCGGGUAGAUAGAGGACUUCGUCCCUCGCUUCCUUUGCUCCAUUGGCACCAAAGAUCAAGAAUUCGAGAUCCGUCUUUCUUCUCUUUUCUUGUUUUAUUGUCGUUCUAUGUUCUAUUCGGGGCAACACAGGUUGUGCUCUACGAAAACAGAAUUUAAAUUUUCUAUUCAAUUCAAAAUUCAAAUUGAAGUAUGAUACUUUUCUUAUAUCUGAUAAUUCUAUAUCGGAAACAUAUAUAAAUAAUAUAUAUCCGUCUAACAAUUUCUCUUGGGGGGUUUACAUAUACUCAUAAUUGUUGUUAUAAUUAUUAUUAAUAAUUAUAAUUUAUAAUUGAGAAGGAUUUUUUGAUUGAAAAAAUCCAUACUGAUUAGUUAUAUAUCAAGUUGUAUUUUCUUAUGUCAUUAGGAAAACAAAAAUUGGAGAUUCAAAUCCAAGAAUUGUUCAUGCAUUCUAAGUCAAUAGUUAAUGGUUCCUAUUUUCAUAAAGUUGAAUUUUUGAUUUUGCGACUGAAAAUCCACAUUUGAUUUUUCAAUAGAUUUCAAUAGAAAGGUAAGAGAAAGUUUUGAACAUUAUGAAUUUUGAGAUAGACUCAAUCGAAAUUGAAAGGAUGAAUCAAACCCAAUCAAAAGGGAAGAAGGAUUAGGAUUUCUUUGACUUUUAGGAAAAAUUAAGGAAAACAGAACUCAAGGUGCAAGUACGAUAAAAAAGCAGUUCAGUAAUCCGGGAAAGUUUUCAUCUAUUUUGUAUUUGUAGCAUUUUGGCGACAUGGCCGAGUGGUAAGGCAGAGGACUGCAAAUCCUUUUUUCCCCAGUUCAAAUCCGGGUGUCGCCUGAUCAACAAAAAACUAGAAAUCUCUUCUUUUCUUCUGUUGAUAUAACCCGCCGAACGAUUCCCCAGCAGAAGCAGAGAAGGCAGACUGUUGAUACUUGUUUGAUUCUAAACAUCUGGUCUGGGGGUUUUUCUAAAAAAUUGGAAAUAUCCUUGCAUUGCAUAUUUAGGCUUAGGCUAGGCUUCAAGGAAAUAUUCGAAUGCUAGAGGGGCUAUCAAGACUUCGCAAUUACCUUCUACUACAAAUACAAAUUUUCUAUUAUUAAUCCAUUGUAUAAUGACUGGACCUUGGGUUAGAUUGGAGAGCCCGAUAGGAAAUAUAAAUAGUUGUGGAAGGGGGCGGAAGAUACUUUAUUAUAUAUGAGGAACUCACGAAAAUCUCUGAGUGCUCAAGCAUCUAAUCAAUUGAAAUGAGGGUCAACAAAAAAAGAAUAGGACCUAUUAUUCCUACAUGUUCCAUUAGUAACAUUCCUUACUGCGGAUUUUGCUUGUGUUUAGAUAAAGAUCUAGUUAGACUUGCCAGGUAAAACCUAAAAAUGGCUGGAGAAUCAUUGCUAAUCCUCAAUCCUCAUCCAAUCCAACUCAAGCACCAGCAAAGGUAAGAAAGGCUAUUGGCCUACUCGAGACAUUGAAUAGUGUCAAUUAGCUCCUUUUCAAGCAGCAAGAGGGCUUUCUAACAAAGAGAACUCCUCUAGUCGAAAAGAAAGAAUCACUCACCUGGGUGGAAUAUAAGAUUUGAAUCAAAUACGAAUGUAUUCUUAAAAGAAAAUUCCCAGGCAUUGGUUACAUACAGGACAAUCGAACCUGAAAGGAUAGACAUAGAUUGACCUACCUACUAAGAACCGGACAAUCGAGAGAUCGGAGAUAUAUUAUAUUGAUUGGUUUAAUCACAGACCAGACAGACAAGCAUCAAAGCCCAGAAAGCCACCAACCAUCAAAGCGUUAACCGUAAAGCCUGAUGGGGAAGAACCCCUCUUCCGCAUAAACACAGAAAGGAAAGUCAAUAGUCCCAGAGCCUAUUCUUUCAAAGAGCGCAUUCCCAUUCGCCGCACCCUAUUAUCUUAUCUAGCGGCUCUUUUUGUGCAUGGUUCUCUUUUAUACUCUUGAUCUGGGAAGCAGGCACUCUUCUGUAAGCCUUCGAGAGGGUUCGUAGCCUUGCUAACGAUUUUCAACCUCACUCAGGGCAUAGCUCAAAUCUAGAAAAGUUUUUUUUUAAAGUGUUCACAAAUCGUCUAUGAACAAAUCGGCUCUUGCAGCUCAUAAGGUGCACUCUUUCGUUCAUUAGCUAGGGAUUCGCAUCUUGAUUGCCUACGAAAGUCAUAGCUCUUUAAUUGCUUAGGAGAACCGGCCUUACUUAGUAAAGUAAAAGCCUUUUCUUGCUUUCCUAUCUCAAGUUAUUCUCCGUGAAUCCACCUAUGAUGAAGCUUGCACCAGCUUUGGAUUAAAGAAGAUCGGCUAUAGAAUCGAAGAAAGGAGCGAGAGACCUUCUGGCGCCCCGGUUCCUUCUUUCCCCAACUCCUUCUUCUCGGAAGAAAAAUAGUGGAUUAGCAGACGAUUCGGGAAUAGAGCAGUGGCCCUAUGUUGAGUAAGGGGUGAGAAGGUGCUCCUGCUGCUAAGAUGGAACUGGGGAAGUUAAAGCAGGACGUCUGGUGUGACGUCGUCCCUAUGGAUGUAUUACAUAUCCUACUCGUAUUACCUAGGUCUUCCGACUAGGGUGUUACCUGCGUAGGAAACCUGUUUACUUUUAACGGCAAACGCGGUUCUUUCCGUCAGAAAACUUUGGUUGACUAAGGAGAAAACGUGUUGGCAUACCAUUUCUGGACGUGGUGGAAGAGUCCAUAGAAUGCUAUGCCUUGAUUGCAAAGCCAACUAGCAGAGCCAAUGCGAGGAUCGGUGGGAUGCCGUAGCUUAAGAGAUAGGAUCGGAGUCUCAACUACCACACAAAUACUAUACCAAACGCACUCCACAGUUUUGUCACAACUUUGGAAUCCACAUGCUAGAUGCGAGGCUUCUUGUCGAGGCACAACUUUUAUUCUACGGUUGUACCAUCGCCUUAUCGUGUUCCAGUAGCCGCACUUGCUACUGUCUUGGUGUUCCAAGGCUUUCUAUCUAGCUUAGCAGUCCUUCUUCUUCUGGUGUGCCAUGAUGGUAUCGAAGAUGAAUUUUCUCUGGCCGUUACAGGGCACUUCUUUGACUAAAGCAACAAGGGCUUUAGGAGUUACACCGGUUUGCCUUCUGGCUUGACUGAAUGGACUGAGACCGAGGAACAGCUAUCGUGCUACUGGCUUUUAACCGAAUUGCUACUUUCUAGCUAUUAGCUUGACUACCUCUACCGAGAAGCUCUCUCUCGCUUCAGCCCAACCAAUUCACAGACGAUGAAAAGAAGUCCUCAAAUCCUAAGUACACUAAGUGGGUAAAGACGAAGCAGUUGCUCGUUAGCUGGAUCAACGCCACCUCCGGAUGGAAAGGACAAGGAGCUGUCGGAUGUCAAUCUCUUUUCUUUUAUGCUGCAUGCAGCUACCUUCCAUCGGCACAUUAUUCGCUCUGCUACAACGAACGAACUAAAUGGCAGACCAUCGAGAGUGAGUGAACGGCUAGCCAAAGCUUCUCGUUUGGAGAAAAAUCAUGGUGGAAAUGCUGUUGAAAGAUGAAAUAAGACGACAGAACGAGUGAAAGAAGUUACUGAUGAGCAGAGGUAGAGGAUGCCCUUUUAGUGGCCUCGUGCGGUACUCAAUAAAGACAAGCGUAGUCGGUAGUGCCUUUCAUAGAACGGUGCCUAUGGGAAGUAAGGGAUAGAGGAUGCUAAUCACUAAUAGAAUCGACGGUCUCAGUUGGCUGAAACCUUUCAGAUUGCUUCCGCUUUUGCUUCUACUAGAGCGUAGCGCGAGCCUUGCACCCUUUAGCUGACGCUCUCGUUUCGCGCUGGUGCCUUACUUCCGCGCUAAGGCUUUUAUAGCUAUGAAGUUGUUAUUUCUUCUUUAUAGCGUUGAAGUCGUUUUCUGCUUUCACUUCGGCCUUNNNNNNNNNNNNNNNNNNNNNNNNNNNNNNNNNNNNNNNNNNNNNNNNNNNNNNNNNNNNNNNNNNNNNNNNNNNNNNNNNNNNNNNNNNNNNNNNNNNNNNNNNNNNNNNNNNNNNNNNNNNNNNNNNNNNNNNNNNNNNNNNNNNNNNNNNNNNNNNNNNNNNNNNNNNNNNNNNNNNNNNNNNNNNNNNNNNNNNNNNNNNNNNNNNNNNNNNNNNNNNNNNNNNNNNNNNNNNNNNNNNNNNNNNNNNNNNNNNNNNNNNNNNNNNNNNNNNNNNNNNNNNNNNNNNNNNNNNNNNNNNNNNNNNNNNNNNNNNNNNNNNNNNNNNNNNNNNNNNNNNNNNNNNNNNNNNNNNNNNNNNNNNNNNNNNNNNNNNNNNNNNNNNNNNNNNNNNNNNNNNNNNNNNNNNNNNNNNNNNNNNNNNNNNNNNNNNNNNNNNNNNNNNNNNNNNNNNNNNNNNNNNNNNNNNNNNNNNNNNNNNNNNNNNNNNNNNNNNNNNNNNNNNNNNNNNNNNNNNNNNNNNNNNNNNNNNNNNNNNNNNNNNNNNNNNNNNNNNNNNNNNNNNNNNNNNNNNNNNNNNNNNNNNNNNNNNNNNNNNNNNNNNNNNNNNNNNNNNNNNNNNNNNNNNNNNNNNNNNNNNNNNNNNNNNNNNNNNNNNNNNNNNNNNNNNNNNNNNNNNNNNNNNNNNNNNNNNNNNNNNNNNNNNNNNNNNNNNNNNNNNNNNNNNNNNNNNNNNNNNNNNNNNNNNNNNNNNNNNNNNNNNNNNNNNNNNNNNNNNNNNNNNNNNNNNNNNNNNNNNNNNNNNNNNNNNNNNNNNNNNNNNNNNNNNNNNNNNNNNNNNNNNNNNNNNNNNNNNNNNNNNNNNNNNNNNNNNNNNNNNNNNNNNNNNNNNNNNNNNNNNNNNNNNNNNNNNNNNNNNNNNNNNNNNNNNNNNNNNNNNNNNNNNNNNNNNNNNNNNNNNNNNNNNNNNNNNNNNNNNNNNNNNNNNNNNNNNNNNNGAGUCUAAGGCAAGGUGGUUCGUAUGCCUACUUUACCUACUUGACUAAAGAGAAUGAACAACGUUUCAUUUCUGGGUUUAUGGAUUAGAUUCAGUCAGCCUCACAACAUAAUCAGAGUGAGGCUUUGGUUACCAGCAAACACGUUUCCAAAGGCGACCCUCUCGAGUUUCCGGCUGUUUCCGUCAUUGAAGUAUUCGUCGCCCUACCAAACGAAAGAAGUCACUAUCAAACUGCUCGCCCUAUUGAAGUACCAAAGGUGCGCUCAGCCCGGUGACUAGGAAAUGGGUUUGCCCUUGAAUUGAAGUGAUGAGGUCGGAAAGAGGGAAGUAGGGCUCCUAUUGACUAAAGGUUGGUUCUUCGCUUUCCUUUAGAAUGAAAGUAGCUAUGAAGCCCCUCUCCUUACAGUGGCUGAACGCCCCUACUACUUACUUUGUUUGAUUCAAAAGGCGAACAGCCCCCCCAACUAGUUGUAUGGGGUGGGGUGCUUGUGAAAAGCUGCUUUGGAUAUGAGUAAUUCCUAAAAAAAGGCUUUGUCCGGUAUUUGACGAAGAUCUUUCUAUCAAUAGAUAGGAAUGAGUGUUCGAUAUAGGGGAUAGGAUCCAUCUGCUCUUUAAUCUCACAAUUUUUUUGUGAGAAAUAUAUAUAUAUCGUUUAUCUAUCUCUUGUCUAUCUAUCAUUGAUUCUCAAGUCCAAUUUUUGGGUUCCCCGAAGCCCCGAAUGGAAUGGAUCGUUUCUGCCAACGAAAUGAAUGUGAAGCCCGUUCCGAAUGGUUCUACGAUCCAGAAGUUCUCGCGAAGAGAAUAAGAUGCUGCUCUCCUUCCUUCUUUCUUUUCCCGCUUUGCUAAUCUUCCCCUCUAACGCGGGCCGGGCGGCGACGGGCGCGGGAGGAAGAAAUCUAAAAGAAGACGCUUGUCUCAGGCGGUCCUUUUUUUCAGUGCAACACAGGAAAGCGCCCUCUUUUUGUCAUCCCUGCAGCUUUCCAGAUUUUGUAUUGAACACAUGGCGUAGCUAGGACCCUUCACAUUCUGUUUGAGCCUAUGUUCAAGCCAAACCCACCCCCUAUUUUACUAAGGCUGGAAAGAAUGCCCACCAAGUUCAGAUAAGGGAAUGCUUUCCCCAACCAUUAAAGUAAAGGCUCGACGAAGGGAGGGAGGUGCGGCGGGGGAAGGAAAACGCUUUCGGAGAUCGAGAUUUUUUUUUCAUCGAAAACGAAGAAGGCCGAGGAUGGCCGUAGGUGCGUCUUAUCUGAAGGGAACACGCUUUUUUGACCGCCUUGGUAUGAUUGCCGGGCCCUCCUCCUUACAGUGGCUUUCAGCUCCUCUCCUUGUUCCGCCCUUCCUAUUGGGAUAGCAGCCUUCAGGAUUUGCCUGCCCUUUCUAAUAAGAAAUUCCGGCUCGGCCCGGGAAAGCGCUGGUAACAACUGAAAAGAAGGGGUCCAUGUAGCUGCUGUGUCCGCCCCCUUCUUAGUCAAUGGGGCACAGCAGGUUUGGCAUCUACUACAAAAGAGAGAAUCCACUUCAGAUAACCACGUCUCUGCUAGGCAGCGUGUGGAAUGGCCGAGAGCGGACCUUUUUGGAUAUAUAAUCCAAGUUGAGAGUAGAGUUACAAGAAAAGCCGUCUGAUGGAAAACGACUUUCACGUUCGGUUCAGAGAGCACUUUUUUUGUUGAGAAUUCCUCGUUCCCUUUCAUGUGAAUUCCCCAGCGGCGAAUUUCAAACUUGUGGGGCCCUAUCUAUUCCAUCUCUCGAGCCUCGAAGAAAACCCCUACCCUUUGGACUCCAUAUAUCUUUUGACUCUAUAUAUGUGGGCACCUGAUAUCUAUGAGGGUUCACCCACCCCGGUUACAGCAUUCCUUUCUAUUGCGCCUAAAAUCUCUAUUUCUGCUAAUAUUUCACGUGUUUCUAUUUAUGGUUCUUAUGGAGCUACAUUGCAACAAAUCUUCUUUUUCUGCAGCAUUGCUUCUAUGAUCUUAGGAGCACUGGCCGCCAUGGCCCAAACGAAAGUAAAAAGACUUCUAGCUCAUAGUUCAAUUGGACAUGUAGGUUAUAUUCGUACUGGUUUCUCAUGUGGAACCAUAGAAGGAAUUCAAUCACUACUAAUUGGUAUCUUUAUUUAUGCAUCAAUGACGAUAGAUGCAUUCGCCAUAGUUUUAGCAUUACGGCAAACCCGUGUCAAAUAUAUAGCUGAUUUGGGCGCUCUAGCCAAAACGAAUCCUAUUUUGGCUAUUACCUUCUCCAUUACUAUGUUCUCAUACGCAGGAAUACCCCCGUUAGCCGGUGUGUGUAGCAAAGUCUAUUUGUUCUUCGCCGCUUUGGGUUGUGGGGCUUACUUCCUAGCCCCAGUGGGAGUAGUGACUAGCGUUAUAGGUCGUUGGGCGGCCGGAAGGUUGCCACAAGUAAGUAAGAAAGGGGGACCGAAGGCAGUUCUCCAUGCACCGGACACGUAGCUUACCGAAUCCGUUACGACACGGAUGGGAAUGCAUGCUACGAAAGAUAGGGUUGAGUCUGAUACAUCAACCGUCUACUCAAUAUCCUUGUACGAGUCCACAAUGACUACACGAGAUGAACCUUGGUUUGGUGAAUUGAAGUUGGCCUUAGGUGUAAUAGGACUCCCAGUUACUGCGUGCGAUCAUAUACUGAGGUGUUCCCCACCGGUUGUUGGAACGACGCGAGCCGGGCCGGGUCUCAAUUCAGAAAGAUGAAGGGCCCAAAAGUCUAAAUAGGGGGUGAAAAAUUCCCCAUCUCAUUGGGGGAGGAAAACGAAUCGACAUCUCGAUGUGAUACAGCCCUUUCGAUUUUAGUUGGGAAAGAAUGGCGAAGUCCAUCCAAACCGUCCAAUGAAGAAUAAGAGGAGAGCAAAGCGCCAAUGGCGCGCGAAGCGCAUGCGGAACGGGCACGGAGAAAAAGAAGUGUGGAGGAGAAGCAGCCGAGCUCAUUCCCUUCGCUUCCUGGGCCCAAAGCAGUGCAGUCUUUCCUGGCCAAAUCAAGGAUUUGGGGCUUCUUGCUACGCUACAACACUAUAUAAAUCCAUUUAUAUUAGUAAUAUAUAUGAAUAGAAAGAUAGAUCCAUCCAUCUAUCCUAUCCGAUUUCGAUUUUUCUAUCUAAAAAAGAAUCGAUUUCAUUCAACCUUUGAUUCAAAGAACUGCGCUUAGCCCCCCCGCCCAUGAAAAGGCUCUGCUGCAAUGGAUGGCAGAGGGUCCGUAGUACCCGAAGCACUGGAGUGAUCCAGUAGCCGGGAAGGGGCCUAGAAGUGCCUACUACUACACCACACUACACUUGGCUCUACACAUUUACAGAGCUAACCCCUGUCCAGUGCCUGGCAGAGCUAAGGGGGCUUCAAUCCUUACUCUUUAUCCCCAUCUUCGCCCAGGCUUAACGGGGCCUUACUUAUUCAGGGGGGAGAGUGGAGCCUCGAAAAGCACUGUUGAGAGGAAGAUCCUUGGCCCCUCUUCAUUCUCUACAGGGUUCCAAACCUUUCUUCAACAUAGGUGACAACGAGCCAGGCAGAGAUGGAAGAGAUCAAACACGGGAAUAAGAAGCAAGCUCGCCUUCCUUUUUGAUCAUUUUGAUAGAGGGGGAUGAAGAAAGUGGACAAAACAGACUCGCAUUUCUCAUCGAACAAAUACAGGAAAAGAAUCAUAUUGAAAACGCUCCUAACCCAACCCCUUCCUUCGUAGAGCCCGUGUAUUGUAAGUGAUCCGAACCUGCCCGGAGCGAGCCUCCCAUAGAGGCAAGUGAAGUUGGUGAGCCGUAUGAUGGGCAACUAUCUCCUGCGGUUCGGAGAGGACUCAGCUGUUAGUUAGUACCCCCUUGGUUUCGGGGUGGACCUUUUCACUCUAUUUUAUUAUAUACGCUUAGCGAAAAGAAUGUUUUUUGAUACACCUAGGACAUGGAUUCUAUAUGAACCAAUGGAUCGUGACAAGUCGUUACUACUAGCAAUGACUUCCUCUUUCAUUACUUCAUUCUUUCCAUAUCCCUCUCCUUUGUUCUCAGUUACUCAUCAAAUGGCACUCAGUUCAUAUCUUUAAGUUCGAUCAUUGACAAGGUUCAAAGAAAGGGUGGGCCAUUGAUAAAGAAUCGAUGGAAAACCACAAUGCUAGCAGAUGGCGGGCCUCCGCUUUUCUUUUCAUUAAUGAAACCCGCCAGUUAUUAUUAUUAUGAACUCAAAUAAAAGGACAAAAAAUUUGGAUUUAGAAGGCUUGUUCAAAAGAAAAAAAGACGUGGGUGGCAUUAUGACUGGGGUGUCAGUUAGAAAGGUUCAACCAAUGUUCGUUCAAUCAAGCAGCAUUCUUUUUUCUUAACUUAAGGAGAGGGAUGAGGGAAUUGUUUCUAUGCUUUUCUCAGAUAAUGCGGGUGCGAGAGUGAAGCUAUCGCGCCUAAGGCGAAAGGCUCUGUUCGGCUCGAUAGGUGGCAGGCUCAGAACAAGAGGAUAAAGACAAGGGGGAAGUUUAGUUAUUAAGUUCCUUUAUUAAGGUAAGGAUAAGAUAAAGAGAGGAAAUAGUUAUAUAUAACUAUUAUUUAGUUAGACUAGUGACCAAUAGCUAAAGAAAGUGAAAGAAGUAGAAUCAAGCCAUUCAUCUGAAAAAAGCUUUUUGCUUUAUUUAAAACUUCUCGAACUAGAAAGAGAAGCCCUUUUCAGCAGGCUUCCAGCUUCAGGGGCUUGAUCAGGAUUCGAGGAUGCUCCUUGGCUCUUUUGCUUCUUUCGAAGAUCAUGUCGAAUCGCUCUCUCAUACUCCUCAUAGGUCAGCCCUGGUACCACAGAGGUCGUCGCCGCAGAUGAGGGCGGAUUCCAAUUUGCUUCAUUAUCUUCUUCUUCGUCAGCGACUACUACUCGAGACCUACCCUUGUGCGAGUGACUGACGGGGGGAAGCGAUGGCUCAGGGAGGGAAGGCGCAGUGCAGACUUGGUUAAUCACGUAAUCGUUGUGGAGUGCUGUAAGUGCACAAACUUAGCCAAGUUAGCGAGUGUGAGAACAAGAAUUCGAGCAUUCACUUUAUCGAAAAACAGACUGACUCUCUAAAAAAGGAAAAAGCUUCAGAGUCUUCUCAGGAAGCUUGCCCGCGGCCAAGAUAGGGAAUUGCUUCCGCAGAAAGGCAAGAAAAUGCGCUCGAGCAGAAGGACUCACGCUCGGUGAUUCAGGAAGACUGAAGAGCAGCCCCAGUUGGCAGCGAUCCCAGUCCUGCCUGGCGCGAGCCAUAAGAGUAGAAAUCCGCGAGGCACUCCCUAUCUCUGCCCCUUCCAUGGGGCACAGGCCUUAGGAACGUAGGAACUUGCUGGCUAUUGAAACUAUCCUAACUUUUUUAACGGGAACUGAGUUGACUUGCUAGGGGUAGGGCUGAGGAUCCAGCAUCCCAACCUGAAUUAGAGGGGAGCUCCAAUUCGAAGCGUGGGCUACUAAGGAAGGCCCCUUUCCAUAUCGGGGAGAGUCUGAAAUAGUGUUUUGGAAUUCAUCGAUAUCGGAGUACAAAUUUUUCAGGUACUCUAACGGAUAGAGCUUUUUCUGCGGCAUAUUGAGAGCCAUAUAGUCUCCCGCCAAUCAAAAAUCCCCUAACAUUAUCAGGUAGGCCCAGGAUCUCUAAUCUAACUGCGCGAAUCGAAUCAAAGCGUUCUCCAAUAAGGGCAUCAUGAGAUGUAGCGGUAUCUCUCCUCAGUCUAUGGUCUCGAUUGUGGGUGGGAAAAUGAAUGCUACUAUUACUCUUUUUCAGCUUGAGAACCAAUGAAAGCUGUGAAAAGAAAGAAUGGCCUAGAGGGGUUAUAUGGAUAGCAGUGCACCGAGGACGAUGUGGAAUAAAUGAGGAUAUUUAAUGUUUUAUGUUUUCUAAAGAGUCAACAUUCAACGAAGGCAAAUUAAGGGCUGCCACGUAUCCCAUGAACUGCUAUCGUAAUUGGAUCUCCUACCGUCUGUCUAUCUCUUAUCGGGAAAGCACUUUUUUUUUUAUCCUUUAGUGUAUGAUUUGACUCCACUCAAUAUAUCAUGCCCAUCAACAGACCCACUGUAGCUGUACCGGUGAACUCAACCUAGAAUAUUCUAUCAGGUGUUUUCAAUAUGAGUACACCUGGAAAUCGGCCAGCCUUCAUCCUCUUGGGAUGCAACCUUACCCCCUCGUAACUCGUUCUACCGUACUCCAGAUCCCCGCACGUCAGAAGGGUGGACUGACCGCACUGAUUGGAUUGUUUUCCUCAUCUAAGAACCGAAAGCAGGCAUUCUCUAAUCCUACCAAAUUCCCACUUUCACUCGAGCAGCAGAUAUGAGACCAGUAAGAGCGGAUUCAAGACUUUCAACCUGAUUCGGCUCGUACUCACAUUCGCCCUAAUCAAUAUAGAGCCGAUAGUAUGAAUAGGAAAGUCUAUAUUAACUAGCCAUAGGCUAUUCUAAGAACGAUCUCUAUAAUAAGGAAAAUAAGGAGUACCCUCAUUCACAGAGGAUUCGAUAAGAGUCUAUUGAUUCUAGUGCACUAUCCUUAACACAGGUAAAUCGGUCUUUCUUUUUAUCAUAUGGCAUUCAUGUGGAAGAACUAGGCUAGAAAAGAAUCCCUCAUUCAUUCAUCAAUUUCAUUGCCUCUUCCCUGUCCUAGGUGUGGACGAAGACCGAGACUUCUCUAAGAUCCGAUUCGAUGGUAUAUCCCUCUUCUAUUGUUCUUAGACAGAUCUCUCACUCUUGAUGAAGAAAAAGACUUCAGCUUUAAAGAUCCGAUCUUGUCUUCACUCACCGAUUCCUUUAAUAAGAGGAAUGCCCGGAAUGCUUGGUACCCUUUUUCUUGCUACUGGUUUAUUCCUGUCCCACUUCUGCUUUCCUCACUCCCCGCCUUAAGAGUUAUUGCUUCAAGUAAAUUUGCCUUGCUAGCUUGCCCUCUAUUAUUACUGUACAGAGCGGGGAAGAAGCACUACUGAAGGUCAUUACUGUGUUGGAUCAACUACUUCAAUUGGAGCAUUCUGGUAAGCUUGAUCCUCGGGUUAGGUUCUUUUUCAUUGGCAUGUGAUAGGGCGGGGUGGUCUACCGGUGAGAGCCAGACGGGAAAGACAUAGAUGGCACCAAUCUAAUCUCAAGAACUCUGAUUCAACCAUUUCUGUGUCGCUGACUGGGGUCUCUCCCCCUCUGGGGAAUCCAUAGAAAGCAAAACAAUUCCAUAAAGUGACAAUUUUGCUGUCCGUCUCGAUUCAUUCUCUUUUUUAGUCUGAUUAUGGCAUGUGUCACGCUCAUCUAUUCUAUAGUCAAAGCAGGAGCCUAUCCUUAGCAACGUGCCGUGCCCCGGUUGUCAUCUUUGUCUUUGUGUGUGUCUGAGUGGGACCUUUCCUCGUGAAUUGCCUUCUUCGAGGCAUGAUCAGGGGGGCAUACGGGUUUUUUCUUCUUUUAUUUGUGUUGAUCUGAGCACCGCCCUAGCGAACUAUUGGGUUGAGGGACCCAGCCCAGACAACUUUGGAGUAGAGUCACUUCCAAUAGCUUCAGUAAAGCUCUUAAAAUACGAGAAAUAUCAAUCGGUGGAAAUUUCUGUGGUUGGUUCUUGAACCGAUUCCAUUUCAGGUUCCCCAAGACAACAAUGAAUGGACUCUUUCUGGGGAGGUUGAGGGAAGGAUAAAGCAGCUAAGGCAGGAUAUCAUUGUUGUAAGCCUCCUUCACUGCAUUAGAUUAGCGCCCUAUUGAUCGUGUCUUCGGAGGGUUGGAGAAGCGUUAAAUACUCCUUUAGGAAAGAACUCCUUGCCAUCUUUACGCCUUACAUGCGGCAUAAAUCGCAUAAAUCAAAGUAGAGGUCACAAGAUGACCUAAAGUCCAGAAAAAACCCACUCUCCCCCGGGAGUGCUUUCGAGAACACAUGCACCGGUUAUUGCAUCAACAUCUUCUACAGAUAGUUUACCAAGAAUAGCAAAGGAGAUUCCACCAAGAACUUCUAUUGCUAAAAGAGCUAAUUCAAGUGCAGUACUUACUGUAACAAGAACAACGUGAACUCAUUCUCAAGCACUUGCAGCGACAAUGUGGUAUUCUCUUCCACGCAGCCUUUUCCUGACGAAAUUUCUAGUGGGGUUUACUCUGGUAUAGGCGUGAACCAUAUUUACAGAGAAGCAAACUCUUCUGCAGAUUCUAUAGCCGGCUCCUCCCUUUCUGGUUUGCAUGUCUUUCAUUCUGAAUUGCCUCCUUUGACUCGUGCAUGCUUGCGUUUAGAUAGGUUAGAUACUUCUUAUAUUAGGAGAAUUAUUGUAAAGGAGUAGUAAGGGAGUGAAACCCCGAUCUAAUCUUACACGUGCGAGGACAGUCCUCUGAAUAGAGUCCAUUGCAUCCCACAAUAAUCGACGGGCAGCCCUCGUACAUUUAGCAUAAACCGCUGAAAACUCGAAAGUCUGUCCACUCUGAGUGGGCAGAGCCUUAUUACCUUAUUAAUAGGAGGGAUGCAAGGAAUUGAUGCUACGAAUGCCAUAGCAAGUGAAUCAGAAUAAGCCCUAGCCCAGCUACUGAUUGGAAAGGUUUAAAUAAGAGUGUGCCUAGCGUCUUUCGCUCUCUCUUAUUAGAAGAAGGAAGGGGCGCGACCCCACUCAGCUCGAAGAAGUAGCUCUUUCAACUAAUCCAUACUUUUCCUCUCCAACCAGUCAAGUGGCCCAAGGGCCACCUCAAUCUUAUUCUGUUUCCGAUCCUGCUUCAGAUUCUCUUUCAGUUGUGGAAACAAGCCCCUAUUCCUAUCGGUUGAGUAGCCCAAGCUCCUUAAAGCGUAUUGUCCCCUCUCCUGUGAAAGAAAGAGGUUGAUGCACCCAGCUACCCGAAGUAGAGCUUUCUUUGUCCCACCUUUCCUUACUGACUUUCCUAGUUUAGAUAGCGUAUUGAGAAUCAUGUCAAAAUACACCAAGACCUGGGCCCAGGUUCUCUUUCUUCAAGAAAGGGUAGCUUUAAACAACCCGGUUCCAAACACACCAAACAAGCAAGCGACUCCCCUUCCUUAGCGUACCCGUCCAUUAAGGCAUUCUUCCUUCUUGCGUAUGUGUUAUAGCUCAUAGCUCUAAGCCCCAAUUCCUUGGUGAAAAGAGCUGUCGCCUUUAAAUCAUCGAAAAAAGAAAAGAAGGAACCGCUCGAAAGGGACCACACAACAAUGGCUCAUAACUGGAAAACAUAACAACAAUGUCUCCUAGCUGCAAAAGAAUGGCUCCCAACUGAAAAUUUCUCUCGAUCACUCUCUAACAGAAAGCCAUUUUCCCUUUCGCAAAAAGUCAACUUGGACUUCUUUCCUAAGCGGAGAUUUGGACUACAUGGACCUAAGCAACCCGCCGACAGGGGCAGCCUUUCACUGUUGGAAACUUUGAUUUAGAUUGGUAGGAUUCUGUCUAAUCUUUCCUAAUUUCGAAAUUGCACUCAAUCAACAUAGUUUCCACUCAUUCCUUCUCGACCGCCUCUUUUCUAGUCACUUUUGAUCAAAUCUUUCUUGUGAUUUUCUAUUCUCUUAUGAGAAAUGGUUUGCUUCGUUUGAGCCGUCGUCGCUUAAUGCAUGUAGGGGGGCUGGGGCUUUUCCCCCACGACCCCUUUUAAAGGAGAACCAGAAGAACAACAAUGAACUCAAAGCUAAUGAAGGAGAUCCGCAACUUGAACAAGGUAGACGGGAUCUUUCCUACCCCUUUCUAUUUCGACUUCUUUGAAAGGUGAAAGAGUAAGAAGCUAGACCGACUUGCUCUUAAAUUAACUUGAACAAGGUAGAUGGGAUCUUUCCUACCCCUUUCUAUUUCGACUUCUUUGAAAGGUGAAAGAGUAAGAAGCUACACCGACUUGCUCUUAAAUUAAAAGCAGCAAGAGCAAGUUAAGUAGGCUUUUCUCCGCAAGAACAAUCUUGACUUUCUUUAUACUUUAUAAUAUAAGGCCCUUUAAACGAUCGUAAAUGGCCUGAAAUGUAACGACCUAUGAGAGAGGGGUUUUUAGAAAAGAAAGCGUACCAAUCCAGCAAACAAAGCAAAAACAACGGCUCCUACAUAAAUACAAUAGAAUAGAAAUGUUGUCUGUCACUAGAACGGACCACACAAAUAACAUCUUUCUAGCCGCCUAAAGGAAGUAUUCAAAGAUAAGAUAAGGCUAUGCCCACACAAGCUAACUUCAGGUAUGCACUUAGUUCUCAAGCGAUUCCUUCGGAUCUUAGGUGCGACCUUAGGGAGCUUGUUUUGGUAGCUACUCUCUUAUAGUUAUGUGUCCUAGUUUCCGAGUUCUAGUUCAAGGCAGGGCAGGACGGGACUCACGGGGGUUGGGGGCAGCCUUCCCCCAGGGAAACCUAAUAAGACUCAUUCUAAUACUUGAGUUCAAGCUCCUACUUCGAAGUAAGCCUAUGGGUUGUUUCGAAGCUUAGUAGCUAAAGCGUACUUGCGUGUUAUGUUAAAGGGGGUACGCGGAUUUGGGCUACUAAGUGGAACCAGACCAUGAAACUUGCCAUUUGCACUCUCCUAGGGUGCGAUCGUAGGAAGCUCUAUUAGCGAAUGCAAUUCCCCGCCCGAUAAGACUGAUCAUGCCCUGCUGCUUGGCUUGGAAUCAAACUAGCCUAUCAUGCCCUUUCUUCAUUCCUAUAUGGACCCAUAUUCCUAUGUUCUUCCAAUGUUUACUGUAUUACUGGGAUUCCUAUUUACUGAACCAUAUCAAAGAAGCUACUUUCUUUCUGGCUUUUAUACCCAGGUAUAAAGGGAUAGACAGUCUAAGAGAGUGCCAAGAAAGAACACAUACCUAUCACUUUUGGAAGGUUUGGAACCCUUUACCAAAUUCACCAGUCUGAAGUGAAGAAGUGAUCGAUUCCUUAAUCUUUAAAUUGCGAAAAUAAAGAAAUGGUUAAUAUAUUCAAGAUAAUUACGUAUUUACAAAAUACCGUCUCAAUUCAUCCUAUUUCAUCAGAUCUGGGAUGUGAUAUGGUUCCGAAGGAUGAACCGGAUAUGGACAGUUCCAAUAAGAUUUCAUUCUUGAACAAAAAUCCAUUUUUUGAUUUAUUUCAUCUAUUCCAUGACCGGAACAGGGGAGGAUACACGUUACACUACGAUUUUGAAUCAGAAGAGAGAUUUCAAGAAAUGGCAGAUCUAUUCACUCUAUCAAUAACCGAGCCGGAUCUGGUGUAUCAUAAGGGAUUUGCCUUUUCUAUUGCUAGCGUUGAGGCCAUAGGGCUUCCUUGUAAAUAAGUUCGAAUUAGAAUAAAGUAACGGUUCGGGAGAGCCUAUGCGGAAGCCUUUUUUUUCUUCUUCAGCUUGCUUUCCUGCGUCUCUUACGAUGGCUUGCUUGCUAAUGUAACGAGAAGAGGUAGGGCACCUAGUCAGAAAAGCCGUAAUCAGGUUACCCAAGAUAGAAUAGGGCUCAGUGCAAUAGUAAAUCUAGUAAAUAUAAUAAGAGAAGAAUUAGCGUAAGAAAAGACUAUCCUUUCCCUUACCAACGAGUGAGUACCCUUUUUUCUCUUUUUAGUUGAGUUGGUGUUCAAUGUGCCCAGUGGGUACAAACAAGAUUGAAAGGGUCAACAAUCCCUUACUUUAGUAAGCAACCUCAGUUCCCUUACUUGUUAAAGUAAGCACGUCAACUCUCUUACUUGUUCUUGUAAGCUAUUUCUUUCCCGCACUUUAGUAAGUAAGCAUGUAAACGACCAUCUCUCCGCAGAUAAAAGACUAGAGUAGGCCCCAUAAAGAUGUUGACAUCCGGGUUCACUGAUCUUGAAAAACUAACAGAGAUAAGGUCGAUAGCUUGCUUUCACGUGAAAGUACGAAAGAAGGUCGCUGAGGUAGAGUCCAUAGGCAAACUUCUUAGGAUGUCUUUGCCCCUGGUUCCUUUUGAAGACCCAUAGUAGCCGCAAAGCACCAUUCUGCGCACUCAGAAUAAAAGAGUGAAUUUCCACAAUUAGUUUCUGUCUAUGAACAAACAAAAUCUCCUUUCUACGGCUUACAACUUUCAUCGCCCUUAUAUUUAGCUCUCCAAAGAGCAAUUCUUCUCAAAAGGUGCUGACCAUUCUAAACGUGGCUUCAAAGUUAUUCUUUCUAAGUGCAGAUUCAGUUGAUUAAUUGUGCCACCUUCCUUCUACUAGUUGAACUGUGCCACCUUCCUUUUACUAGUUGAUUUAAGCGCAUCAACCGCAAAGAAACUGACGACCUAUUCUCUAGCAGCAGCAGGGGCAAGCCUAAACAUCUACACCUUCCAUGGGAAUUUAGGAAGAAUUCCAUUUCCUUAAGGAAUCAGUCCCAAGAGCGGCUACGACUACGAGAGCAGUUACCCUUCUAACCUUAACACCGGUUACGUCCUUCUUCUGUCAUCGGGGAUGGGAACCUUGGUAGGAAUGUUGGAGGGUUCUCGGCAGGUAGGUUUGAUGCUAGCCUUGUUGCCUUGGCAUUGGCUGAUUCAAGACAUCCUCGCAAAGGCGCCAUCUUUCUUAAGUGACUUUUAUAGACCUCUUUUUCUAAAAUACGAUAAUUUCGUUUUUGAGACCACUGCGAUAAAUGAGCUUUUGAGACUCCGUUUUGUUAACAACAGGUACUCUUUCUGCCUUACUUUAACAAGUAAGCAAGUAAACUACCUUCACGGUAAAGGAUCAUCUGUCCUAUGAAAACUCAUAGCCUCGAUAGUGGUCUAAGGCAAGAAAGUAUGAUCCGUCACGUGUGCCAAGGAGAUGUCGAUUGACAUUGAAUUCUCUCCUCUUGUUUUAAUAUGAAUUGACUCUGCUUCGGUCACUUUCUUCGUAGGUCCUUAAGCAACUCCUCUUGUCACUAGUCACUAUGCCCGAAGGUUAGCAAGCCUGUAUCUUGAUAUAAAUAGUCAUUCCUUUCUUUUCUUUGUUAGAGAAUCACCUAAGACCGCUAAUGUUCCAUCUAAUUCAAGAACAAGCCCUUCUAAAUGUCUUGCCUUUCGCAUGUGUUUUCUUUGAAAUUGGAGUUCCAACCAAGUUCCCUUCCCAAAGCGGGAACAAGUUGGUGCGACCGAUUAAAGAAGAAGGACAAGUCGCAAUGGUACUAUGGCUAGUUGGAAAGCCUUUCAAUCCAAUCUCUUGAUUCACAUUCAUGUGAAACCGUUGCAACCGAUCCUGCAUACCAAUCAUCCGCCGCUUAAAGUAAUGGCCAAGGUUUCUAUGGAUUCAGUCCUGUGGAAAAAUAGUGUUGUGGGCAAUUCAGUGUGUAGUGUCACCCCUGGGACACUAGCGAGUCCGUCCCUAAAAAUUAGGUCCAUGAAGCCAGAGUGCUGUCGCACUAAACGACUACCCUUCCUUAGAUACUCCAAGCCACAAUCUGUAUUGUCCUUGAACCUAGACCAUGGAAGGUUGGUUAUAGUCCCAUUCUAUUAGUGGGAUCCAUAGCCCGCGGGUCUUUCCCAAGCCAGCAAAGAAGAAGGUAGUCUAGGACUACCCUAAGCCUAGAAGAGAAGUAGGCAGGACUUUCAGUUACAAUGUCUAGGUUGGGCAAGCCGCCUUUCGCCUUUCUAAAGCCAAUCGAUUAUCGGAUUUCACCAAGCCAACUACCACUACCUGGGGAUUUCUAGAUCCGCUCUAAGAUAGCAUUAAGAUUCCAAACUCCAUGAAAGCAGGAGAUUGAUUAGCUAUAGUCAAAUCUCGUGACGGUGAUCAAAGAGCAUUAGCUACGAUACUACAACCUCUGCUCCUGACCCCCAGAUCGAAACGUUACGAUUCACUCCGGUGCUGCUUGCUGGUGGAGGUUGGGAGUAUCUCAACUAUGAAUAAGAAGUCGAAGAAGCCCUAGAUCCGCCUCUUACUUACCUACCUUCCCAGACUAGCUAGUCAGGGCGAAGCAUUCGUCAGCAUUAGUAGUUUUGGCACGAUAGACUCAUGAGAUGUGACCUCAUGAUGGGUCGGUGGGAAUGGCUCGUGAUCGUGCAUUCAAUCAAUUUCCCUUGGAAACGUUGGAAACGAUGGUCAAGGUUUGCCGUAAAUAAACAGAUGAGUUCGAUUCAAGCAUCCGAACAAGAAUACGGUUCAAAUACCCCAAACAAGAAGCCACUUAGGAUUUUUGCUUUUUCUAUCCCGAAGGGCGGGUCUAGUGACAACGCCUUCCUCUGCGGUCUCUAUUCGUAGGAAUAGAAUCGUCCAAGUAAUUGCGUCUAUCACUGAAGGCAGCCAAGAGUCACUCAGGGCUAUUGUACUUGUACUACUCAGCUGUUAUAGUCCAUUAGAGUGUUUGAAAUCCCUGAAUCCUGACUCUGUACGGAGCAGUAGGCUUGAGUUAUAGUCCGUAUCCCGUACUACUUGUCUGGAGUAGAAAAGAGUGUGAUCUCAGUUUCCUAUCAAGUCAAAGGGAGACCACGAGGGUCUUCCUUAUGGUUCGCUAUAGUCUAUUAAUAAUUAAUAGGUCUAAUAAUCCUUCUUGUCCGGUAAGCAAAAGCAAGCAAGGGAGCCUCUGGCUUCGUCCCUUCGUCUCGCCACAACACAAGCUGUGGUAUAAUCUGUCUAUACCUCACUCGGUUCAGUAAGAUAAAGAUAUGGUUUGAUGUGUGAGGCCUCGCUUCACUAACUAAAGUCGCUUCCUCGUGAACUCCGUUAACUAGGCGCCCCUCUCCAAGUAGUCAGUCUGUUCUCUCGUGGAGAAAGCCUUACUCUCGUUUCGUUCGAACGUAGCCCGCAGGAGUCAAGGGGUUGUAGGGGCGACUUCCAGAGAUAAUUACGGCGAGGGGAGAUGAAGAGCAUUCUUCCUUCGCGAAUACCGACUUCACCAACCCCUAACCCGGCUAAAUGGUUUGACGCCUGCAUUUAAACUAACUCACCAUAUGUUAGUAUGCUAGUGUGCGGCUGAGAAAGUAUAUAAAGUAUAUAGAGGGAAAAGGUUUUCAAAAAGCCAUUCUCGGUGACGACAUUGUUAUCGCCGACGAAAAGGUUGCAAACGUGUAUACGGCCCCCUGAUAGGACUGCGACCUAACUAUGACCUAACUAUAUCGGUCGAAAAGUAGCUAGUCUCUGACAAAGGUGCUCUUGAGUUCGCUAAGCCAUUUAUAUGCGAUGAAGGUGGAACGGAUUUAUCUCCAAUCUCCUUUCGCCCGUUCACUCAGUACUCAGUAGCAGCUCCCGUAUUCGCGAUUCGCGAGGGUUGAAAAUGGAUUUCAGACAAUAUGAACAACAAUAACUCGACAUUCUCAAGUUCACCAAUUGAACAAGUCCGGCAUAUCGUCGCAAAGUAGUACACUCAAGUGGACUCCACCUAAUGGACGGAUACAGAGAUAGUAUCCAGAAAGAUCUUGGGAUUACAUUCGUCAAACCAAAUAUCUUUAGCAGUCGCAAAAGAGGUGACGGGGCUCAAAGGAAAUAAACAAGUCAUCCUUUGAAGCUAAGCACUUUUCAUCUUUUGUAGGAAAAUUCCCUUCUCUAGUUUUGGGAAAUUGAGCGAACUAUCCACAUAAGAACAAGAAUUUUUUUCCCGAGCAAAUCAUUCUACAUCUUAUAAGCCCAUGACAAGUCAUUUCCAGAUGCUUCUUUCAGAAGAGCACGGGAAAAACCUAUGGAAUCCAUUGUACUAAGAACUAAGACCCGAAAGAUCAUCUAAGGACUGAAAAUCGGGACUAAAAACUAGUCAAGAAGGCUUAAGCUUAACUCAAGCAAUCACUCAAGAGAAGCCGGAUUCGUAAAAGAAAGAAGAAGAAGUUCCAGCCAAUUUCGAUUUUGAAUGAUAAGGAAGCGCUUGAUCCGGGUCUUAGAAGGGCAUCGAGAUCAAGGAGAUCGUGAGAUCAAAGUGGACGUUCCCGAUUUCCAUGGCCGAUUGCAUCCUUGCAUCCUGAGGACUUUCUUGAUUGGCUAAGUAGCGUAGAGAAGUUCUUUGAUUGGAAAGAACUACCCGAGGUGUGCGAAGAUGAAAUUCCUGAGCAAAAAUAAGGAACGCUUUCUCGACGCUGUAGAUCAUGCAUGACUGGCUUGUCCAAAGGAGACGGGAAGUUCUUUUCCCCUUUUGUUAGGCUUUGCUGGGAUGAUGUCUCGUUCUUCGUCACGCUGCCCAUGACUGGAUAGGGGUAGCGCCAUAGACCGUCUCUUUGGCUUAGAGUCGUUUCAUGAGCGAGGGGGCUAAGCGCAUACACGCUUCCUUCGGAACCUGACUCUAUCUUCGACUACCAAAAAGAAAGCGAAGGAGAGCCACUUUUUUUUAUAGUAUAGAGUAGGACUGAAAUUCCAAGCGAUCCUAGCUCAGAAACCACACACAGACAAACACAUGCAGGCCCAUAAAACCCAUAAAUAAUAGACUAACAAAUAUACGUGACAUACACUUCCUGUGUGAAGUUUUCAUCUUAAUGAAUCAAAGCUGUUUGUAAAAUGCUACUUUUCUUUCUGCAACAAGUAAGAGUACUUUUUCUUAUCAUACACCCUUAUGAAUGAAUGAAUCAAAAAAAUGUGACUCCACAAAUAGUCCCCCUCCUCUCUUUCUUCAAAGACAGAGGUACACAUCACAGGUAAAAACCCCAAAAAUAGAAAGAGAAAGAAGUAAGUAAAAAAAUAGGAAAUACUGCUAGAUGGCAACCUAACCGAGUACGUCAUAAUUGAGAAAGGUAAGCCCCACUCCACUGAAUUGGAGAAUUCCAGAACACGUAUCAGAGAGUGCUCCAAUGGCAGUGGGGGCACAAUUGAGAGAAUUUCGACGAUUAGAAAAGAAAAAGAAGAAAGUUAGUGUUCAAUGAGCUCGAGAUAGCUGCCUGAUAAGAGGAAGGGACGCCGGGUACAGUCUUUCUUUGGUUCCAGCUCCUCGGUUACACCAAAGCACACCAGUCAACACUGUACUAUAGCGCUUACACCUGUGAGUUAGCAAAAUAAUAUCGUAUGUUCAUAAAAGACCUGAGUUGGUGAAAUCAAAAGAAAAGCUAACGCUAACUGAGUGUUUAGUUACCAUGCCCAAAAGCCCCAUGCCUUUCUUGGUUGGAUAAACAAAAUCAACCGGCGAUUUUCGACAAGUCUCUCUUUUUUUCGGUAUACCGCUCUGCGAGCAGAGCGAAUGAACAGAAAUCUUUCUGAAUAUCAUGAAUAUCCUUCGCCCCUUGUCUCCAUCUUUCAUUCGUUCUAUGGUUCUCCUUUCUACCCUUCUUUUUACUACCUGUCUCUUGUCUCAUUUGAUUGGCUUUGAUCCCUACCUUAUUAUGGAGAGGUUCAAAGGUUCUUUUUUCCUCCAAGCCUUACGUGCUCUUUUUAGGCUCUUUGGUUUUGAAGUGCCUAUCUGUUGCCUUCUUCUUUCGCUCCUCACUUUGGUUGGCGGUUGCAGUGGCUUGCACAUGGAUGAUAAUUCCACUGGAGGAAGGGGCUUCAGUUUGACUGAUUUAUUUUCCAAUUUUUUUGGAAGCAGUUCCCCUGCAAAUUCUGAAGCCGGUCUCAACCAACUGGCCCCGGACUCUCCCAACCCUGGUGAACCCGCAGAGCCUCCUAUUGCUGAGCCUUAUCAUCCGUUACAGGAGGAUGGAGAGAGGCUAAGGGAGCUCAAUGAGCGCCUUUCCUUCUAUACUUUCGGGUGUCCCCUGCCCGAGCAUAUUUCCUCCGAUAUUCUCGAGGCUCAAUUCCAAACGGAACUAAAGAUAGAGGAAGCCCUUCGUUCAGACAGAGUGCAAGACGCGUCUCUUUUUGAGAAAAGGCACCAGAUUAGGGGGGAACUCUUCUAUCCGUUUGGGAAGCCAUUAUCCUUGGACACUUACUUAGACCACCUAUCUCAAAUAGAAAACUAUGGGACCCACCGCAGCCUGCCUUAUAAAAGGGUUUUGAAAGCGAUUGCUCGGCAGGACUUAGCGCUGGUCUUUGACUCAAUCAAAAGAAAGAGAUACUGGUAGAGCUCUUCUUUGUCAUCUUUGUCAGCGGCAUUCUCCCUUCUAUCUAUCUGAAUUAUGGAACUUUCUCCCCUGUGGAACUAACAAGUCUAUUAGAAAGUCGAAUUAGCAACUUUUACACGAAUUUUCAAGUGGAUGAAAUCGGUCGAGUGGUCUCAGUUGGAGAUGGGAUUGCACGUGUUUAUGGAUUGAACGAGAUUCAAGCUGGGGAAAUGGUGGAAUUUGCCAGCGAUGUGAUAGGAAUAGCCUUGAAUCUUGAGAAUGAGAAUGUAGGGAUUGUUGUCUUUGGUAGUGAUACUGCUAUUAAAGAAGGAGAUCUUGUCAAGCGCACUGGAUCUAUUGUGGAUGUUCCUGCGGGAAAGGCUAUGUUAGGGCGUGUGGUCGAUGGCUUGGGAGUACCUAUUGAUGGAAGGGGGCUCUAAGCGAUCACGAGCGAAGACGUGUGGAAGUGAAAGCCCCUGGGAUUAUUGAACGUAAAUCAGUGCACGAGCCUAUGCAAACAGGUUUAAAAGCGGUAGAUAGCCUGGUUCCUACGAGGGAGUUUCACUUAGUGUUCUGAAAUAAUAUAAUCAUUUAUAUUUUUUUUAUGUAAUUUAGUCUCCAACUAAAUUCACCUACACUAAGAUCAAUACUAGUUAAGGGUUGAUCGAAUUUGACAAAUUGGCGUUCGAAAAUCAAAAGUUCUGCCUUGGGAGGGAUAAUAUCAAUCAUUUGACGUCUCUCUGACACAUUUCUUUUCAUAUACAAUUUACUUAUAUUUUCUUGUUCUGCUACAUUAUAAAUUGUAUUAUCAUUUUUGCUAGCAUCGAAAUAAAUUUAAUGCUUUCUCCUCUCUCUGCCUACGUAGAAACCUACAUAUAUAGGGUAUUUUAAGAAGUGAACAUUCUUUUAGCACCAGAUAUUGGUGCAAGAUGUAGAAUGGAGCAGGGUCGGCUAUACAUAGUGAAUAAAUAGGCAAUCACCUUAGGCCUCCAAAUUUGAGGGGCAUCAUUUUUUCACUAUAAUAGAUUAUAGAUUUUAUAUAUGUAAAAAAGAAUAUUAAGUACUAUUUGUAGAAAAAAUACACUUCUUAUAUAAAAGUAAAGAAUUAUUAGAAGUUUGAUGUAUUAAACCUUUAGGUACUAUGUAUCAUUAGUUGUAUUAAUGAAAAAAAUUAUCAGAAGAAAUCGACCAUAAAAAAAUAUUAACAAUUUUGCAUCUCAAAAUGUCUAAAAUAUAGACUUUCUAAGAAAAUAUAUAUUUAGUUUUUAAAAAAAAUUAAGGCCUCCGUUCAAUUUUUGUUUUAGGCUACCGAAGUGCUUGAGCCGUCCGUAGAAUGGAGUUGAGAACAAAAUUAACAAGGCAAAAAAAGGAAAAGGCCUUUUGUAUUCUCUCUAUAUAUCUUUGUACAAGAAAUCAAAAUUCAAUUUUUAAAAAAAAUAAAAAUCAAGCCAAGAUAUACAGAAGAAAAAAAAUAAUGAACUGCAGAGGACACUACAACAUUUUAGUCUUUCGGCCACACUAAAUCUGGACCACACUUGUAAAGUGUGGCCUAUACUAUUAAAGACCAUGCUUUUAAAGUGUAGCCUUAGUGUUCAGCUUUUUGCCACCCUAAUUUUGGCAACGCUUUAAAAGUGUGGUCCUUAAUAGUAUAGGUCACACUUUACAAGCAUUGAUAAAUAAUGUUUUAAUUAGCAACAUUUAUUCAUAUAUACAACAACACUUAUAAAUGUGGGAUUAGUAUAAUUUAAAAGAUAAUACUUUUAAAAUGUGGCCUAAAACUUUUCCUUAAAAUAUUUCACUAUCCUUCAAAAUAUUUCACUCUCCCUCCAAUUUAUAAUUGGCAAAAAUAAUUAAGAAAUGUAAGGAUUUCAACUUCAGAAAUAUAAUUCUCUCACAAAUUCCUUCCAAAUAUAUCUAUUCUAUAUCUUGCACACAACCCUAUGCCCAAAUUUCUUUGAAUUCAUUGUAUCCACAUAUAGAGUUCUUGAAUUCUUGAAGCUUGUUCGGAGUAAGUUCUAGGUGAGCUUGGUUUAUUUUCAGGUGGAGUCAUUUUGGGAUGGAUUUCGUUGUUUUUAAUGGGUUUUCAGCGAGUGAUUCCACUAUUGGAACACUAACAGCGACAGUGGGGAUGUUGGGUCAGUGAUUUUUUAAGAUUUUCGAUGAGGGGAAGAUUUUGGGAUUUUGGAGCGGCAAUCAUGUCUAGUUAGGCAUCCCGGUGGGGUGGUUUAUGUAAUUUCUAGAGAAGCUAGUUUGAGAAUUAUUCGCUAGAGCCAUAUCACAGUAAAUACUAUAUAAAGAAAAAAAUUGUGAUAAGAGGUUGAAUAGAGUACUUUAGUGUGUUCAGACACGUCGAAAUUUGAACAUUUUCUUAUGGUUUUCGCUCUUGAUGUUUCCUUGUUUCUUCUUCCUUAUGUAGUUACUAUAUUGAUUUUGUAUGAAAGAAACACCUUUUUAGUUUAUUGUUGUUUUCUAGUGUAACCUUGUGUUUUUCUGGUUGCUUGGAGUGUUCUUCUUUUGGCUCUAUUUCUUAGUAUGUUGAGAUCAUAGGUUGCUGCUAAUUUGGAGGGUAAUCGUAAACUGCUUUACCAGUUUAUUUUUAUUUGUGAAAACAUUGCUUAUUCAACUUAGUUUCUUAAUCUAUAACAGUAAACAAUGAGAAAAAAGGGAGAGAAGCAAUUUAGGUGGUCAAAACCACUGAAAAAUUUGAUGUUGGAGAUCCUAGCUAAUGAAGUGAAGCAAGGAAAUAAAUCAACUAAUCAGUUUAAGUCCAGCACAUUUAAUCGUGUUUUAAAUUUCAUUAACAAACAACUAAGAAUGAAUUUUUCACCUAAGCAUGUGGAGAAUCAUCUUAAAAUACCAAUAAACACAUGGAAUAUUGUGCAAACUCUACUAAACAAGAGUGGUCAUGUAUGGGAUGACAACUUGAUGAUCAUUACGGCUAGUCCAAGAGUCUAUGUUUUGCAUAUUCAGGUAAAAUCUAUUGAUUAUUUAUCCUUAGUGUUGAUUUAAAUAUAAUUGUAGAUAUUUUUUUUUGUAAGCAUGCUGACCUACUAAGAUUUUAAUAUGGAUGUCGUAAUGCCAUAAGUAAAACAUUAUGAAAAUUAUAUGGCUGGCAAUAUUAGACUACUUACAAGUUCCACCUUACUAGUUCAAAUAGGGGGACAACUGUAUAUUUGGAUUAUUCAAUAGCUACUGUAUUUUAUAGCAAUCACAACCACCAUAUCUGAAAUAUUCUAACUGUCUUUCCUUUUUCUGUUGGGUAUUAGCAGAAGCAAUAUGAGGUAGUGAGAAGUUUGCUAGUUUUUAUGAUUUCCUUUGGUGGCCCUUGAAUCAUGAGUCUGUUGUUGGCAAUGUGAUCGAGCGGUUACAAAAAGAGGAGGGGGAUAAGAUAGGAAUGGGAGCUAUUGGUGGGGAGGAUUUGAAGAAGUGGGAGAAAAUGCAAGGGGCUGUAUUGGGUAGUGAAGAGAAGAUCCUGGUGUUGGUAAGGCUGAGGCCUUUAAGUGAAAAGGAAAUCAUGAGGAAUGAAGUUUUAGAUUGGGAGUGUAUCAAUGAGACCACCAUCUUAUAUAGGAACAGCCUCCAGGAACGGUCUGGAUUGCCAACAGCUUAUACAAUCGAUAAGAAAAUUUCCCGUUUCUGCCUUUACAUUUAGACUUGAUUGCUGUAGAAUGAGGAAUAUUUUGUGAGAGAUAAAUUGAGGACGAGAUUUGGAUAUUUUAGUUUGUGAACUCAGGCUGAGAUCGCUUCCUGGAUUGGGUUAUUCUACUCUGCAGAACCAUAUAUAUUUAUUGGGAUAAUUUCAUUGGUGGCUCAAGUGUAAUUUAUAAAUGAUUUACUAAUGCUACACAUAUUUUCUUAUUUUACUUUUCUGAGAUUAGAUAGGGUAUAUAAAGGUGAUUGUUCAACGAGGGAAAUGUAUGAGGGAGGAACAAAGGAGAUUGCUCUUUUGUUGUCAGCGGAAUCUACUGUGAGUACACCAGUCAUAUGUCUCUCACAUUUUGUUAUAGAUUUACUAUUCAUUUGAUACUGUUACGACUACCUAAACAUAUUAUGCAGCAACUAUCUUUGCAUAUGGGCAAACAAGCAGUGGUAAUACAUACACAAUAAAUGGAAUUACAGAGUUUACAGUCACAGACAUAUAUGAUUAUAUACAGAAGGUAAUUUAUAGGGAAGUUCAGCUGAUACAGUCACUAUCCUUCUAAUAUUUUUUUGUUCUUCUGUUUCAUACAAUUGAAAGUUCAGUUCGUGAGUUUAUAGGGAAGGACAACAAAAUAACUCUUUCUACUAGUGUGGUAUGCAUCAAUUAACUCACUGUAAGGGUCUACGUCAUUCUCGACAUGGACACGUGAAUUGAUGAUGGAAAAUUUAUGACUUUUGGAUGCAGAAUUUUAUUGAUCUGGCUGGAAGUGAACGUGCAUCUCAGGCGCUGUCAGUUGGAAAGAGACUGAAAUAAGGAUGUCAUAUUAAUCGUAGCUUGUUGACUUUGGAAAUGGUUAUUCACAAGCUAAGGUUGAUUGCUUAUUUCUUACAUCAUUUUUCUAAAACAUCUGGAUUUGCUGCAGCUUAGCUACAUGUUUGAAUGGUCUUUAAACAUUAAUUCAGUUUUACUGUCCAUACAGCAAGUUGGGGAUUUUUUUUUCUUAUUCAUUCGUCUAAUUAGCAAAAAUAAACUUUAUGGUGUUGAAUAGUGUUGCUAUGUGAAUUGUGUCUAUGUUUAACAGUACAUGAAAUGAUGUUAACCACUUUACGGACUUCCAGUACACCCUUUGGCUAUUUAUAUAUACAUGCCUGUGCAUUCAAUUCAUCUUUUCCACUACCUUAUUGCUGAAGCUUCACUGUAUAUAACACUUACCUUAAUUGCCGCAAAGGAAUACAUGGGAAUGUCAAUUACCGAGAUUUAAGCUAACUCGUAUCCUUCAACCUGCUUUAGGGGGCAAUGACAGAACUGCCAUAAUCUUCACCUUUGGGUACUGCCCGAGGCCAUGUAGAGCAAUCUCAAAAUACACUUCUAUUUGCCUGUUGUGCCAAAGAAAUGACCACUAAUCCACAAGUCAAUGUUGUAAUGCCUGACAAGGAAUUGGAGAAGCAUUUGCAGAAAGAAUUGGCCAGACUAGAGAGUAAAUUAAAGACCCCCACAACUACUUGUGAUCAUGUGGUAUUGCUGGGAACGAAAGACCAGCAGAUUGAAAAGGCGAUUACACUUUCCUAUUAAAACUUAGCAGCUAGUAGCUAUUGGAUUAGUUAGCACAAGCAAUUGAAUUAAUGAAAUGAAACAAUUAUCAAUCUAUUUCCAACAUCACAUAUUGUUCACUCAGUUAUUUGCAUUUAAUUUGUCAAAACGUCCUUACUUCAUGUUACAGUAAAAAAUUCCCGAGGGUUAUAUAAAUUGAAAGUUUUUUUAAUUCCCAAUUUUAUCUGUCCAUCUAAGAAAUUGUUGGUUCCACAGUUGUAUUAACUUGAGAAUAGUUGUUGUUGACCUUUGAAAAUGCUAAUAUUGUGAGCAAGUAAUAAAAUGUGCAGAGAAAAAUUGCAGGUGAACUUAACGUUAGUCUUGUAGAGAUUAACUGAUAUCACAUGAUAAUUUAAUUUUUUAGGUUUUCAGGUAUUGAUCCUGGAUGUGGAACAACUAGUUGAAAAUAAACCUACUGAAAAGAUGACUUUGAAUCAGCUUGCAUGGUUAUAUUCAAUCAUGUUAACUGUAGUAGUGGUAAAACUCGCCCUAUGGCUUUACUGCAAAAGCUCAAAGAAUGACAUUGUUCGCGCCUAUGCAAAGGCAUAUUUUUAUUAUCCUUUACCAUCUAGCUUCCAUGUCUUCUUCUGAUGAUCGAUUUGCCUAAAUUGUCGAUUUAUUUGUCUGGAUCGCUAUUUCGAUGUGGUUACUAAUGUGGUUGGGUUGAUAGUAUCAGUAAUUGGUCAUAUUUCAUUACUAUGCUAUUAUCUGUACUGCGAGACAAUGAAAUAUGAAAAAGAAAAAAAAAGAAAAAAGAAAAAGACUAGCCAUCAGGCGAAGGCUGAAUACUGGUAGGGAAGGAAGCGAAAACGUAGUAAUGAAUCAAAAGUUACUAAGGGAAGUUAUGAAUAAAAGAUCGAUAACAGAUGGGUAACAAUGCCUAUACAGUGUUGAAAAGACUGAACAAAAAGUGAGUAUAAUAUUAGUAAACAACCUUAUAACCUUAGCGACCACCGUUUAACCUUAUAACCUUAUAACCUUAACAAGAUGUUUUCUCAAAGUUUUUUCUUUUUAAAACUGUUAUGUGAAGAAAUGUUUUUGUAUUUUGAAGGAGGUUGUUAUGGUACCUCUUUAAAUCAUUAACUGUAAUAAUUAAUAUAUCCCUAUUUAGUAAGGUCUGGUUGUAUGGAGAGCUAGUAUGUGGAUAAAAAAGUGGUCUUUUUCAUUGUAAUACCUUGAACAGAGAAUAACUUUAGAGUUAUUGUGAAAAAAAAUGGUGGAUUCACUAGCAUUGUUGUUAUUGUGUUCAUCUCGUUUCUUGCUCAAACUAAAUCUAAAGUCUAGUGAAGUCGUGUGGGGUUAUUUCGAUUCACUAGUAUUUUGUCUAGUGAAGCCGUGAGUGGCCUAUUUCGAUUCACUAGCACCUUGUUGUUCAUCUUGUUGCUCUUGUGUUGGCUUGAAUCACCUGAUACACACUUAGUCUUUCAUCAAUAUGUUAUUAAUUUGUAGAACUUAAUUUGAUAGUUGUAGUAAGUUAGCGAAAACAUCUAAAUGCUCCAUCUUUGUUGUUUGGCUUUCCCUUAAGUAUCCUGAAAUCCAUUCACGCUGUGUAACCAUAAUUGAUCCCGCACAACCACUUUCUUAAUAAGAGUAAAACUUAAUGGCCACCGUUAAGUAAAAAACUUUAUAACCUUAGUCUUAACGGCCACCGUUUAAAGCCUAAUCUAUACAUAAAACUUAACGGACACCAUUUAAUAAACAACCGUAUAACCUUAACGGCCACCGUUUAACCUUAUAAACUUAUAUUAGGAAACAACCUUAUAACCUUAAUAGCCACCAUUUAACCUUAUAACCUUAUAUUAGGAAACAACCUUAUAACCUUAACGGCCACCAUUUAACCUUAUAACCUUAUAUUAGGAAACAACCUUAUAACCUUAACGGCCACCAUUUAACCUUAUAACCUUAUAUUAGGAAACAACCUUAUAACCUUAACGGCCACCAUUUAACCUUAUAACCUUAUAUUAGGAAACAACCUUAUAACCUUAACGGCCACUAUAACCUUUUAUUAGGAAACAAACUUAUAACCUUAACGGCCACCGUUAAGUAAACAACCUUAUAACCUUAGCCUUAACGGCCACAGUUUAAAGCCUAAUCUAUACAUAAAACUAAACGGCCACCGUUUAAUAAACAACAUUAUAACUUUAACGGCCACUAUUUAACCUUAUAACCUUAUAUUAGGAAACAACCUUAUAACCUUAUCCUUAACGACCACCAUUUAAAUCCUAAUCUAUGCAUAAAACUUAACGGACAUCGUUUAAUAAGCAACCUUAUAACCUUAACGGCCACUGGUUAACCUUUAAACCUUAUAUUAGGAAACAACCUUAUAACCUUAUAACCUUAACGGCCACCGUUUAACCUUAUAACCUUAUAUUAGGAAACAACCUUAUAAUCUUAUAACCUUAGCCUUAACAGCCACCGUUUAAAGCCUAAUCUAUACAUAAAACUUAACGGACAUCGUUUAAUAAACAACCUUAUAACCUUAAUAGCCACCGGUUAACCUUGAAACCUUAUAUUAGGAAACAACCUUAUAACCUUAAUGGACACCAUUUAACCUUAUAACCUUAUAUUAGGAAACAACCUUAUAACCUUAACGGCCACCGUUAAGUAAACAAUGUUAUAACCUUAGCCUUAACGGCCACCAUUUAAAGCCUAAUCUAUACAUAAAACUUAAUGUCCACCGUUUAAUAACCAACCGUAUAACCUUAACAUCCACCAUUUAACCUUAUAACCUUGUAACCUUAACGGCCACCAUUUAACCUUAUAACCUUAAAAGGCUACCAUUUAACCUUAUCCUUGUAAUCAUGCCCUUCUGUAUGACCUCAGUGUUUGGACUAGGCAUAAAACCACUCUAUUUUCCCAUAAGAUGGGUGAAAAAUGACAACGACAUGGUGAUGAAUACUAGUAACCUAUAAACACAAGUAACCUACAGCAGCUGGUUUUGAAAGCUUGAAUCAUGUUUCUGUGAAAAUUGAAGUAGUUUGCAUAUUUCAAAUUACAGGAGUAAUGCAAGUCAUAAGAAGUCCAUUGUGUCCAGAUUGGUAAAGGGCGUGCUCAUUCUUGAAUGUGACAUUGAAUAUCAAUAUAUCUUUGGUGCCAUUUUCAAAUACAAAUCUCCCAACUACUACUGUUACUCAACUACACUGUCUAACAAUCAGAAUCCACAAAAGUAUGUAAUUGCCUUUCAAGGUACAAAUACAAAAGGAGAUAGCUUAUGUAGAGACAUGAAGGUUAACGGCUGAGUCAUUGUAUACUACCUUUAAAACACCUCUCGAGUCCAUAUGGGUUUGAAAGUUGUACAAAAUAUCAUUCAAAAUGACAAGACUUAGAUACCUUGCUUGCAGGGUAUUCUUUAGGUUCUGCAAUUUGUUCAAUAAUUGGAAGGUGUAUGGCUAAAAUGUAGAUGAUAUUGAUCUACUAAAUGUAAGCUUUGACGGUCCAUUUGUUUAAGGGCCAGGGUUCAACAAUUUAUUUUUCUCAAAAGAAGAAACGGUUCAACUUAAAGAAAAUUGGUUUUGAUUUAAUAAUGCUUCUAAGUUGGGGAUGAGGUAGGGAUAUGCUUGUUUCUGUACGUAUUAUAUCAACUGAGUCAGGCUUAUCUUAGACAAAAAUCAUUCCAAAAAGAAGUAAGCAAAUAAAAGACACCAUGACUAACUUUUGAUAUUUCAUGUGAUGCUUGCCUACUCUCGUGGUCUAUAAUUUCAUUCCAUUAUCUUCACCUAUUUAUCUCGUAUUACUUGUAGGGUUUGUCAUUCUCUGAUCUUAUGUAUGUAACAAAAAAAUAUGGCAACUGAUGUUUAAAAUUUGACUUAACAUCUGGAGAAUGUCUCAGAGGCUCUUGUUGUAAAUUUACACCUGUUCUUUCUCUUAGUUCUUUCUCUGCAAUCUUCACAUAUGGUAGCCUUUCCAUGCAUUAAGUUAUAAGUUGCUCCUUUUCGGUUCUUACUUACAAUUCCUUUUCUGCUAUCAAUUGUAUAACUUCUUGUUAAUUUUAUCAUUUUAUAUGUUCUGUUUUGUCCUUUGAUUAGGCCACUGUCAUAGUUUAUUUUUUAGUGUUACAGCUCAUUGUCCGUCUGUUAGCAUGUCGUGGCUUGUAUUUCUUUUUAUUUCAUAACAUUUCAGUGAAUAUCAGUAAUAUUUGUAAUCUCACUUGCAUUUGACUUCACUAAUAUUGGUACAGGGCCUUAAAGAACUUGCCAACUCAUUGCCGGAAGUAAACAGCAAUAGAUUUAUUACAUAUGCCAUUACUUAAGAUGGUAUUUACAACAACAUAGUAUGUUAUUCAACUAGAGAGGAUCAUAGCUCAACUCACAAAUCAGCAAAGAUAUGAAUAAUAAUGUAUAUUGUGAUCGAGGACGUCGCAAAGCAUAGAUUAAGCAUGGAGUCAGUCUAUUUCUCGAAGGGAACAUAUGAAAAUUUGUGUGUACUAUAAUUUUUGAGUUAUUCUUAUCUAACAUAGUAUUUUGAGACAAUCUAAAUAGAAUAAUGAUGUAUAAUAUGAUUAGUGGAUGUAUGAGAAUAUAAUUGUAUUUUUCAAUCAAAAUUUGUAGUAAAUAUUAAUUGUAUAAACUAGACAAGAAUGCUAUGUUUUAAACGUGUGGUCAUUGGGAGCAAGGAUAUAUAUUGUGCAACUUAUUUAGAUGUGUAUUUGCAAUUAGCAAAGGCAACACUUCGUAAAUAUUGCUUUAGAGAUGGUAUUAAUGGCUACACUUCAAAAGUGUGGCCUUAAGAAAGUAAAGACCACGCUUUUUAAGUGUUGUUAUAGAGAUGCUACAAAAGGCUACGCUUCUGAAGCGUGCCCAAUAGUAAAACAAAGGCAACAUUUUUUAAGUGUUGUUGUAGAGGUGCUAUAAAACGCAACGCUUGUGAAGUGUGCCCAAUACCAAAACAAAGGCAACACUUGUAAGUGUAGCUUUAUCAAAUAAAAGUGUUGCCACUGACAAGCUACAAAGCGUGGCCUUUAUACUUUAAUGGCUACGCUUUUUAAGUGUAGCUGAUAUGGCAACACUUGAAAAGCAUGGCUUUUGAUCAAAGGUUACGCCUUUUUAGGCCACCCCCUAAAAAGUGUUGCCUAAAGUCCAAAAGUGUAGCCUUUGAUCAAAGGCCAUACUUUCUGCUAUUUUAGGCCACAUUUUACCAGAGUGGCCGUAGGCCAAAAAUGUUGUAGUGGGAGAUCUUGAAUUGCUUGGCUUGUCAAAUUUGAAUUCAUGGUACAAUUCAAUAUUGAACUUUUACAUUUAUUAACAAUUUUCAUAGCCUUCACAAUUUAUAAAUAAAUGGAUUGUCCAUUAAAAAAGUGCACAAUCUUUAAAAAAAUAAAUUGGGAUGUGAAAUAAUGUGAAUAGAUUGUGCAUUUAUUCAAUGCACAAUCUAUAAAUAAAGAGAUUGUGCACUUAUUAAGUGCAAAAUUCAUUAAAAAAAAUGGAUUGUGUACUUAUUAAGUGCACAAUCUAUAAAAAAAUGGAUUGUGUACUUAUUAAGUGCACAAUGUGAACUUUCACUUUUUCAACGCCGUCAGACGUCUUCCGUUAUAAAUUUAAAUGUAUUGUGCACUUAUUAAGUGCACAAAGCCUAUUUUGAUUUUUUUUUUUUAUAUGACAUACUUUGGUACUUUUUUUAGUUGGUUCCGGACUCGUGCCAAGUCAAAGUAGAUCAUUCUUUUUAAAACGGAGGAAGUAAUAAAUAGUAAUUAAUUAACCAUACAUGUUAAUUCUAAGCCAUGAUAACAUUAACGUAUAUCAAAAAUUCAGCCCAAACUAAAAAAUACAGUAUCAAACAAGCAAACACUCAAUCAUGAAAUGUAGAAAUGAUUAGACAAAAGUAUGGAAAUUACAACUAAAAAAUAAGUGAAAGCGAUAUGAACCCAAAUUGAAAUUAAAUAGAUUAUUAUAUGGUGCAAAAAAAUAAGAUGGCAAACAUGAGUGAAUUUCAAGUCAAAACAGAAAAAAAAUCCUCUGCACGAUAUUUACACAUGAAAGUUUAUGAAUAUUGUUAACUCGUUCAUUGAAGAAAACAACAUCCAUAACUCAACUUUAAAUACAAUUCAAUACCAAUUAUUUGUUAGCUUGAAGACAAGUUCCUACCAUACAAAUAAUUUUUGUCAGAAUCAUGCAACAAUUUUAAGUGCAAUAUAUGAACCCAUUUGGGCUCUACUUUAAAUCAAAGUUAAACUAAAAAAUGUGUAGCAUAAAUAUUUGAAAAUCAUCUAGGCCAAACUCUUGUAUGCAUAAGGACCUUAAACAACAACUACACAGGUUGCUUGGAUGUGAACCUAAAUCCAACCUUACCCUAAUAUAUUAAUAACUCUAUCAGUAAAAAAAACUAACAAAUUAAACUAACCCUACCACUUUUAUUUUUAAACAAAACUAAUUGUUGCCAACAAUAAUGUUAAAGGGAAAUAAACUUAAUUGUAAUCAUAAUUCCAAUAUUCUGGGACUAUUAACCUAAGUUUAUCAAAGUAAAUAAUUGAAAAAGGAGAAGAAGAAGACAAAAAACAACUACUUGACAACAAGAUUAGAAGAAAAAAAUAACUAAUUGACAACAAGAUUGAACAAGUGGGUUAGAUAGUAACAUUUGAAUCAUUCAAAUAGAGAAGUGUAACAUUUGAAAUAAUCCAUCCAAAAAUUACAUUAGCCUCAAAGAACAUGAACGUACACAAGUAGCAGAUAAAUGAAAACAAGUAUAAUAUAUUAUUAGGCAAUAUGCGAGAUUGAACUCCGGACCAAUUAUUCAUGAUAAAAUACUCACGUAAUUGAUCAACUGUAUGGACUACACAAUAUGUGAAAUCAUUUAAACAACUUUGUUCAUGCUUUGAUUCCAAAGAAAACUACGAAUAAAGGAACUAAAUAAGAACCUGUGUGGUAGAAUAACUAAUGUAGAAAUAAAAAAGCCUUCACUGAAAACUCGAACGGGGACCCAAACUCAAACUUGCCACUUCCUUUCCGUGGUUUUCUAAUUGUUUUUCCUCUUCUGUUUCUAAGUUUUCUCUAACUUUGAUUCCUACUGCUCUUUCUCUUCUUUCUAGUUUCUCUCUUUCUUUAGUUUUCAAAGCUUUUUUUUUUUUUGUUUUCUCUCAUUUUUCCUUUGCUUAUUGUUUCCAAUGUUGUCUCCCUUUUUGUUUAUUUUCUCAAGUGUUUUCUUCUCUUUUUGGUCUCUUAAGUUUUCUCCCCUUUUAUUUUAAUCCAUGUAUGGUGUAUUGUGUUAUAUGGGAGUAUCGUGUGUAAUAUAGAGUGUAUAUUUGGGAAGUUGAGAGAUAUGGGAGUGAGUGUGGGGAAGUGGUUGAGGGGAAUUAGAAAAAAGUAAAGAGUGGUUUUAUGGGGAUAUUGGGUAGUUUUAGGCUAGGAUUUUCUUUUAUUUUUUUAUUUUUUUUAGAAUCUUUUUUAAGUUAAACAUAAAAACAAUAAGAAUAUUAUUUUGAACUGAUAAGAUAUACAAGAAAUUAAAUAGCUAGUCCAAAAAAAUAUGACUGAGAAAAUAUUAAUAGCACUAGAUAAUUUAUUAAAAAAUAAAUUAAAAAAAAUAUUUUUUUUAGAAAAUUUCCUUUAUGAAAACUAAAAUAAAGAUAAAGACUUAUCCUCAAAUGUGACUUCAUCUUUGUACUUUUCAAAACUUUAAAACAAACUUAGUAAAAAUAAGAUAAACUUAAAAUAUCUAAUUUAGACCCUAAAAAUAAAAUAUUUAAAAAUUAAAAUGGGGUAAAACCUUUAGUUAGGUAAAAAAAUUAGGUGUUUACAGAAUGUCCCUCUUUGCUUGAAAAAUAUAGAGAGUUUUCAAGUAAAGAAGUAAAAUGACUAAUUUUUUAACCAAAUAAGUUUAUUCAAAAAUAGAAAAAAUAAAUAUUGGAAAGAGGUGUGACCGAGCUCGGACUUUGGGCAUCCUACAUAUCUCGGGUUAUAAGAGAAUCAAGUCACGUGUAGUUUAAGUGGUGUUGGAAUGAAGGGAUGAGUUAGAAAAUCGAGUGAGUUCCUGUCGAGACUUCGGUCUACGGUUCCUUUUGUUACAUCAGAGAAAAAGGAAAAAAUGAAACUAGAAAGAAAAAUACAAGAUCUUAUCUAUUUUACUUGUCUUGAUUUUUUCGCUUUAGAUCUUCUUUUUGGAUCUUCAGUUAUUGCCUCACCUUCUUCUGGAUCUUCAGUUAAAUCUUGAAGUUAGGAUUUGAGACUUGAACUUGAAACUUGAAUUGAGUCAUUGGCGCUCUUUCAAAGAACAGUUUAUAAAAUAUUUUUCGAUUUUUGUUCUCCUAAUCAGAAGCUAAAAAGAUGUAUCUUGAGAUGUUGGGCCGCUAUGGAUGCAAAGCUGACUCUAACUAUCAUAGUCUUCUAUAUUCUGACUGGAGACAGAAUUUCAUGCUUGGAUAUCAAAUUCGUUCUUUGCGGAAAGACCUGCAAGACAUCACAGAAAAACAAAACAAAGACAAACAAGUUUUCUACCCCAGUUUGCAUUAGCAGCAUUCUGUGAGUUAUUAGAAAAACUCUAAACUAGCUACUUAAGUGAAAAAGAUAGAAAUAGUAGAAAUCUAAGCUAGGUAGGAAAAUAAAACAAAGUCCAUAUUCUCAAUAAGGCAACCAAAGAAUGUUAUGCUUUGUGAAUGCAUGAAAAAAAAUUAGAUUUUUUUUUAAAUGCGACUGGGGAAUGUUGUACCUAAAAUGCCAACUAGGGAAUGUUGUACCCUACGAAGACAUAAAGUAGAAAAUAGGAAAUUGUGUUUCCUAAGAUAUCAACUAGAGAAUCUCGUACUCUAUAAAGACGAAGAAGAAAAUUAGGAAAUGGUGUUUCCUAAGAUGUCGACUAGGGGAUGUCGUACCCUAUGAAAAAGAAGAAGAAGAAAAAAAUUAGAAAACGUUGUUUCCUAAGAUGUCAACUAGGGAAUGUCGUACCCUAUGAAGACUUAAAGUAGAAAAUUAGGAAAUGGUGUUUUCUAAGAUGUCAACUAGGGGAUGUCGUACCCUAUGAAGACUUGAAGUAGAAAAUCAAAAAAUGGUGUUUCCUAAAAUGUCAACUAGGGGAUGUCGUACCAUAUGAAGACUUGAAGUAGAAAAUUAGAAAAUAGUGUUUCCUAAGAUGUCAACUAGGGAAUGUCGUACCCUAUGAAAACUUAAAGUAGGAAAUUAGGAAAUGGUGUUUCCUAAGAUGUCAACUAGAUGAUGUCGUAACCUAUGAAGACUUGAAGUAGAAAAUUAAGAAAUGGUGUUUCCUAAGAUGUCAACUAGGGAAUGUCAUAUUCUAUGAAGACGAAGAAGAAAAUUAGGAAAUGGUGUUUCCUAAGAUGUCAACUAGGGAAUGCCGUACCCAAUGAAUACGAUGAAGAAAAUUAGGAAAUAGUGUUUCAUAAGAUGUUAACUAGGGAAUGUCGUACCCUAUGAAGACGAAGAAGAAAAUUAGGAAAUGGUAUUUCCUCAGAUGUCAACUAGGGGAUGUCGUACCCUAUUUUAGGAAAUGAUGUUUCCUAAGAUGUCAACUAGGGAGUGUCGUAUCAUAUGAAGACGAAGAAGAAAAUUAGAAAAUGGUGUUUCCUAAGAUAUUAACUAGAGAAUGAUGGAUCUUAUGAAGACUUAAAGUAGCAAAUUAGGAAAUGGUGUUUCCUAAGAUGUCAACUAGGGGAUGCCGUACCCUAUGAAGACUUGAAGUAGAAAAUCAAAAAAUGGUGUUUCCUAAAAUGUCAACUAGGGGAUGUCGUACCAUAUGAAGACUUGAAGUAGAAAAUUAGAAAAUAGUGUUUCCUAAGAUGUCAACUAGGGAAUGUCGUACCCUAUGAAAACUUAAAGUAGGAAAUUAGGAAAUGGUGUUUCCUAAGAUGUCAACUAGAUGAUGUCGUAACCUAUGAAGACUUGAAGUAGAAAAUUAAGAAAUGGUGUUUCCUAAGAUGUCAACUAGGGAAUGCCGUACCCAAUGAAUACGAUGAAGAAAAUUAGGAAAUAGUGUUUCAUAAGAUGUUAACUAGGGAAUGUCGUACCCUAUGAAGACGAAGAAGAAAAUUAGGAAAUGGUAUUUCCUCAGAUGUCAACUAGGGGAUGUCGUACCCUAUGAAGACGAAGAAGAAAAUUAGGAAAUGGUGUUUCCUAAGAUGUCAACUAAGGGAUGUCGUACCCUAUGAAGAUGAAGAAGAAAAUUAGGAAAUAGUGUUUCAUAAGAUGUUAACUAGGGAAUGUCGUACCCUAUGAAGACGAAGAAGAAAAUUAGGAAAUGGUGUUUCCUAAGAUGUCAACUAAGGGAUGUCGUACCCUAUGAAGAUGAAGAAGAAAAUUAGGAAAUAGUGUUUCAUAAGAUGUUAACUAGGGAAUGUCGUACCCUAUGAAGACGAAGAAGAAAAUUAGGAAAUGGUGUUUCCUAAGAUGUCAACUAAGGGAUGUCGUACCCUAUGAAGAUGAAGAAGAAAAUUAGGAAAUAGUGUUUCAUAAGAUGUUAACUAGGGAAUGUCGUACCCUAUGAAGACGAAGAAGAAAAUUAGGAAAUGGUGUUUCCUAAGAUGUCAACUAAGGGAUGUCGUACCCUAUGAAGAUGAAGAAGAAAAUUAGGAAAUAGUGUUUCAUAAGAUGUUAACUAGGGAAUGUCGUACCCUAUGAAGACGAAGAAGAAAAUUAGGAAAUGGUGUUUCCUAAGAUGUCAACUAAGGGAUGUCGUACCCUAUGAAGAUGAAGAAGAAAAUUAGGAAAUAGUGUUUCAUAAGAUGUUAACUAGGGAAUGUCGUACCCUAUGAAGACGAAGAAGAAAAUUAGGAAAUGGUGUUUCCUAAGAUGUCAACUAAGGGAUGUCGUACCCUAUGAAGAUGAAGAAGAAAAUUAGGAAAUAGUGUUUCAUAAGAUGUUAACUAGGGAAUGUCGUACCCUAUGAAGACGAAGAAGAAAAUUAGGAAAUGGUGUUUCCUAAGAUGUCAACUAAGGGAUGUCGUACCCUAUGAAGAUGAAGAAGAAAAUUAGGAAAUAGUGUUUCAUAAGAUGUUAACUAGGGAAUGUCGUACCCUAUGAAGACGAAGAAGAAAAUUAGGAAAUGGUGUUUCCUAAGAUGUCAACUAAGGGAUGUCGUACCCUAUGAAGAUGAAGAAGAAAAUUAGGAAAUAGUGUUUCAUAAGAUGUUAACUAGGGAAUGUCGUACCCUAUGAAGACGAAGAAGAAAAUUAGGAAAUGGUGUUUCCUAAGAUGUCAACUAAGGGAUGUCGUACCCUAUGAAGAUGAAGAAGAAAAUUAGGAAAUAGUGUUUCAUAAGAUGUUAACUAGGGAAUGUCGUACCCUAUGAAGACGAAGAAGAAAAUUAGGAAAUGGUGUUUCCUAAGAUGUCAACUAAGGGAUGUCGUACCCUAUGAAGAUGAAGAAGAAAAUUAGGAAAUAGUGUUUCAUAAGAUGUUAACUAGGGAAUGUCGUACCCUAUGAAGACGAAGAAGAAAAUUAGGAAAUGGUGUUUCCUAAGAUGUCAACUAAGGGAUGUCGUACCCUAUGAAGAUGAAGAAGAAAAUUAGGAAAUAGUGUUUCAUAAGAUGUUAACUAGGGAAUGUCGUACCCUAUGAAGACGAAGAAGAAAAUUAGGAAAUGGUGUUUCCUAAGAUGUCAACUAAGGGAUGUCGUACCCUAUGAAGAUGAAGAAGAAAAUUAGGAAAUAGUGUUUCAUAAGAUGUUAACUAGGGAAUGUCGUACCCUAUGAAGACGAAGAAGAAAAUUAGGAAAUGGUGUUUCCUAAGAUGUCAACUAAGGGAUGUCGUACCCUAUGAAGAUGAAGAAGAAAAUUAGGAAAUAGUGUUUCAUAAGAUGUUAACUAGGGAAUGUCGUACCCUAUGAAGACGAAGAAGAAAAUUAGGAAAUGGUGUUUCCUAAGAUGUCAACUAAGGGAUGUCGUACCCUAUGAAGAUGAAGAAGAAAAUUAGGAAAUAGUGUUUCAUAAGAUGUUAACUAGGGAAUGUCGUACCCUAUGAAGACGAAGAAGAAAAUUAGGAAAUGGUGUUUCCUAAGAUGUCAACUAAGGGAUGUCGUACCCUAUGAAGAUGAAGAAGAAAAUUAGGAAAUAGUGUUUCAUAAGAUGUUAACUAGGGAAUGUCGUACCCUAUGAAGACGAAGAAGAAAAUUAGGAAAUGGUGUUUCCUAAGAUGUCAACUAAGGGAUGUCGUACCCUAUGAAGAUGAAGAAGAAAAUUAGGAAAUAGUGUUUCAUAAGAUGUUAACUAGGGAAUGUCGUACCCUAUGAAGACGAAGAAGAAAAUUAGGAAAUGGUGUUUCCUAAGAUGUCAACUAAGGGAUGUCGUACCCUAUGAAGAUGAAGAAGAAAAUUAGGAAAUAGUGUUUCAUAAGAUGUUAACUAGGGAAUGUCGUACCCUAUGAAGACGAAGAAGAAAAUUAGGAAAUGGUGUUUCCUAAGAUGUCAACUAAGGGAUGUCGUACCCUAUGAAGAUGAAGAAGAAAAUUAGGAAAUAGUGUUUCAUAAGAUGUUAACUAGGGAAUGUCGUACCCUAUGAAGACGAAGAAGAAAAUUAGGAAAUGGUGUUUCCUAAGAUGUCAACUAAGGGAUGUCGUACCCUAUGAAGAUGAAGAAGAAAAUUAGGAAAUAGUGUUUCAUAAGAUGUUAACUAGGGAAUGUCGUACCCUAUGAAGACGAAGAAGAAAAUUAGGAAAUGGUGUUUCCUAAGAUGUCAACUAAGGGAUGUCGUACCCUAUGAAGAUGAAGAAGAAAAUUAGGAAAUAGUGUUUCAUAAGAUGUUAACUAGGGAAUGUCGUACCCUAUGAAGACGAAGAAGAAAAUUAGGAAAUGGUGUUUCCUAAGAUGUCAACUAAGGGAUGUCGUACCCUAUGAAGAUGAAGAAGAAAAUUAGGAAAUAGUGUUUCAUAAGAUGUUAACUAGGGAAUGUCGUACCCUAUGAAGACGAAGAAGAAAAUUAGGAAAUGGUGUUUCCUAAGAUGUCAACUAAGGGAUGUCGUACCCUAUGAAGAUGAAGAAGAAAAUUAGGAAAUAGUGUUUCAUAAGAUGUUAACUAGGGAAUGUCGUACCCUAUGAAGACGAAGAAGAAAAUUAGGAAAUGGUGUUUCCUAAGAUGUCAACUAAGGGAUGUCGUACCCUAUGAAGAUGAAGAAGAAAAUUAGGAAAUAGUGUUUCAUAAGAUGUUAACUAGGGAAUGUCGUACCCUAUGAAGACGAAGAAGAAAAUUAGGAAAUGGUGUUUCCUAAGAUGUCAACUAAGGGAUGUCGUACCCUAUGAAGAUGAAGAAGAAAAUUAGGAAAUAGUGUUUCAUAAGAUGUUAACUAGGGAAUGUCGUACCCUAUGAAGACGAAGAAGAAAAUUAGGAAAUGGUGUUUCCUAAGAUGUCAACUAAGGGAUGUCGUACCCUAUGAAGAUGAAGAAGAAAAUUAGGAAAUAGUGUUUCAUAAGAUGUUAACUAGGGAAUGUCGUACCCUAUGAAGACGAAGAAGAAAAUUAGGAAAUGGUGUUUCCUAAGAUGUCAACUAAGGGAUGUCGUACCCUAUGAAGAUGAAGAAGAAAAUUAGGAAAUAGUGUUUCAUAAGAUGUUAACUAGGGAAUGUCGUACCCUAUGAAGACGAAGAAGAAAAUUAGGAAAUGGUGUUUCCUAAGAUGUCAACUAAGGGAUGUCGUACCCUAUGAAGAUGAAGAAGAAAAUUAGGAAAUAGUGUUUCAUAAGAUGUUAACUAGGGAAUGUCGUACCCUAUGAAGACGAAGAAGAAAAUUAGGAAAUGGUGUUUCCUAAGAUGUCAACUAAGGGAUGUCGUACCCUAUGAAGAUGAAGAAGAAAAUUAGGAAAUAGUGUUUCAUAAGAUGUUAACUAGGGAAUGUCGUACCCUAUGAAGACGAAGAAGAAAAUUAGGAAAUGGUGUUUCCUAAGAUGUCAACUAAGGGAUGUCGUACCCUAUGAAGAUGAAGAAGAAAAUUAGGAAAUAGUGUUUCAUAAGAUGUUAACUAGGGAAUGUCGUACCCUAUGAAGACGAAGAAGAAAAUUAGGAAAUGGUGUUUCCUAAGAUGUCAACUAAGGGAUGUCGUACCCUAUGAAGAUGAAGAAGAAAAUUAGGAAAUAGUGUUUCAUAAGAUGUUAACUAGGGAAUGUCGUACCCUAUGAAGACGAAGAAGAAAAUUAGGAAAUGGUGUUUCCUAAGAUGUCAACUAAGGGAUGUCGUACCCUAUGAAGAUGAAGAAGAAAAUUAGGAAAUAGUGUUUCAUAAGAUGUUAACUAGGGAAUGUCGUACCCUAUGAAGACGAAGAAGAAAAUUAGGAAAUGGUGUUUCCUAAGAUGUCAACUAAGGGAUGUCGUACCCUAUGAAGAUGAAGAAGAAAAUUAGGAAAUAGUGUUUCAUAAGAUGUUAACUAGGGAAUGUCGUACCCUAUGAAGACGAAGAAGAAAAUUAGGAAAUGGUGUUUCCUAAGAUGUCAACUAAGGGAUGUCGUACCCUAUGAAGAUGAAGAAGAAAAUUAGGAAAUAGUGUUUCAUAAGAUGUUAACUAGGGAAUGUCGUACCCUAUGAAGACGAAGAAGAAAAUUAGGAAAUGGUGUUUCCUAAGAUGUCAACUAAGGGAUGUCGUACCCUAUGAAGAUGAAGAAGAAAAUUAGGAAAUAGUGUUUCAUAAGAUGUUAACUAGGGAAUGUCGUACCCUAUGAAGACGAAGAAGAAAAUUAGGAAAUGGUGUUUCCUAAGAUGUCAACUAAGGGAUGUCGUACCCUAUGAAGAUGAAGAAGAAAAUUAGGAAAUAGUGUUUCAUAAGAUGUUAACUAGGGAAUGUCGUACCCUAUGAAGACGAAGAAGAAAAUUAGGAAAUGGUGUUUCCUAAGAUGUCAACUAAGGGAUGUCGUACCCUAUGAAGAUGAAGAAGAAAAUUAGGAAAUAGUGUUUCAUAAGAUGUUAACUAGGGAAUGUCGUACCCUAUGAAGACGAAGAAGAAAAUUAGGAAAUGGUGUUUCCUAAGAUGUCAACUAAGGGAUGUCGUACCCUAUGAAGAUGAAGAAGAAAAUUAGGAAAUAGUGUUUCAUAAGAUGUUAACUAGGGAAUGUCGUACCCUAUGAAGACGAAGAAGAAAAUUAGGAAAUGGUGUUUCCUAAGAUGUCAACUAAGGGAUGUCGUACCCUAUGAAGAUGAAGAAGAAAAUUAGGAAAUAGUGUUUCAUAAGAUGUUAACUAGGGAAUGUCGUACCCUAUGAAGACGAAGAAGAAAAUUAGGAAAUGGUGUUUCCUAAGAUGUCAACUAAGGGAUGUCGUACCCUAUGAAGAUGAAGAAGAAAAUUAGGAAAUAGUGUUUCAUAAGAUGUUAACUAGGGAAUGUCGUACCCUAUGAAGACGAAGAAGAAAAUUAGGAAAUGGUGUUUCCUAAGAUGUCAACUAAGGGAUGUCGUACCCUAUGAAGAUGAAGAAGAAAAUUAGGAAAUAGUGUUUCAUAAGAUGUUAACUAGGGAAUGUCGUACCCUAUGAAGACGAAGAAGAAAAUUAGGAAAUGGUGUUUCCUAAGAUGUCAACUAAGGGAUGUCGUACCCUAUGAAGAUGAAGAAGAAAAUUAGGAAAUAGUGUUUCAUAAGAUGUUAACUAGGGAAUGUCGUACCCUAUGAAGACGAAGAAGAAAAUUAGGAAAUGGUGUUUCCUAAGAUGUCAACUAAGGGAUGUCGUACCCUAUGAAGAUGAAGAAGAAAAUUAGGAAAUAGUGUUUCAUAAGAUGUUAACUAGGGAAUGUCGUACCCUAUGAAGACGAAGAAGAAAAUUAGGAAAUGGUGUUUCCUAAGAUGUCAACUAAGGGAUGUCGUACCCUAUGAAGAUGAAGAAGAAAAUUAGGAAAUAGUGUUUCAUAAGAUGUUAACUAGGGAAUGUCGUACCCUAUGAAGACGAAGAAGAAAAUUAGGAAAUGGUGUUUCCUAAGAUGUCAACUAAGGGAUGUCGUACCCUAUGAAGAUGAAGAAGAAAAUUAGGAAAUAGUGUUUCAUAAGAUGUUAACUAGGGAAUGUCGUACCCUAUGAAGACGAAGAAGAAAAUUAGGAAAUGGUGUUUCCUAAGAUGUCAACUAAGGGAUGUCGUACCCUAUGAAGAUGAAGAAGAAAAUUAGGAAAUAGUGUUUCAUAAGAUGUUAACUAGGGAAUGUCGUACCCUAUGAAGACGAAGAAGAAAAUUAGGAAAUGGUGUUUCCUAAGAUGUCAACUAAGGGAUGUCGUACCCUAUGAAGAUGAAGAAGAAAAUUAGGAAAUAGUGUUUCAUAAGAUGUUAACUAGGGAAUGUCGUACCCUAUGAAGACGAAGAAGAAAAUUAGGAAAUGGUGUUUCCUAAGAUGUCAACUAAGGGAUGUCGUACCCUAUGAAGAUGAAGAAGAAAAUUAGGAAAUAGUGUUUCAUAAGAUGUUAACUAGGGAAUGUCGUACCCUAUGAAGACGAAGAAGAAAAUUAGGAAAUGGUGUUUCCUAAGAUGUCAACUAAGGGAUGUCGUACCCUAUGAAGAUGAAGAAGAAAAUUAGGAAAUAGUGUUUCAUAAGAUGUUAACUAGGGAAUGUCGUACCCUAUGAAGACGAAGAAGAAAAUUAGGAAAUGGUGUUUCCUAAGAUGUCAACUAAGGGAUGUCGUACCCUAUGAAGAUGAAGAAGAAAAUUAGGAAAUAGUGUUUCAUAAGAUGUUAACUAGGGAAUGUCGUACCCUAUGAAGACGAAGAAGAAAAUUAGGAAAUGGUGUUUCCUAAGAUGUCAACUAAGGGAUGUCGUACCCUAUGAAGAUGAAGAAGAAAAUUAGGAAAUAGUGUUUCAUAAGAUGUUAACUAGGGAAUGUCGUACCCUAUGAAGACGAAGAAGAAAAUUAGGAAAUGGUGUUUCCUAAGAUGUCAACUAAGGGAUGUCGUACCCUAUGAAGAUGAAGAAGAAAAUUAGGAAAUAGUGUUUCAUAAGAUGUUAACUAGGGAAUGUCGUACCCUAUGAAGACGAAGAAGAAAAUUAGGAAAUGGUGUUUCCUAAGAUGUCAACUAAGGGAUGUCGUACCCUAUGAAGAUGAAGAAGAAAAUUAGGAAAUAGUGUUUCAUAAGAUGUUAACUAGGGAAUGUCGUACCCUAUGAAGACGAAGAAGAAAAUUAGGAAAUGGUGUUUCCUAAGAUGUCAACUAAGGGAUGUCGUACCCUAUGAAGAUGAAGAAGAAAAUUAGGAAAUAGUGUUUCAUAAGAUGUUAACUAGGGAAUGUCGUACCCUAUGAAGACGAAGAAGAAAAUUAGGAAAUGGUGUUUCCUAAGAUGUCAACUAAGGGAUGUCGUACCCUAUGAAGAUGAAGAAGAAAAUUAGGAAAUAGUGUUUCAUAAGAUGUUAACUAGGGAAUGUCGUACCCUAUGAAGACGAAGAAGAAAAUUAGGAAAUGGUGUUUCCUAAGAUGUCAACUAAGGGAUGUCGUACCCUAUGAAGAUGAAGAAGAAAAUUAGGAAAUAGUGUUUCAUAAGAUGUUAACUAGGGAAUGUCGUACCCUAUGAAGACGAAGAAGAAAAUUAGGAAAUGGUGUUUCCUAAGAUGUCAACUAAGGGAUGUCGUACCCUAUGAAGAUGAAGAAGAAAAUUAGGAAAUAGUGUUUCAUAAGAUGUUAACUAGGGAAUGUCGUACCCUAUGAAGACGAAGAAGAAAAUUAGGAAAUGGUGUUUCCUAAGAUGUCAACUAAGGGAUGUCGUACCCUAUGAAGAUGAAGAAGAAAAUUAGGAAAUAGUGUUUCAUAAGAUGUUAACUAGGGAAUGUCGUACCCUAUGAAGACGAAGAAGAAAAUUAGGAAAUGGUGUUUCCUAAGAUGUCAACUAAGGGAUGUCGUACCCUAUGAAGAUGAAGAAGAAAAUUAGGAAAUAGUGUUUCAUAAGAUGUUAACUAGGGAAUGUCGUACCCUAUGAAGACGAAGAAGAAAAUUAGGAAAUGGUGUUUCCUAAGAUGUCAACUAAGGGAUGUCGUACCCUAUGAAGAUGAAGAAGAAAAUUAGGAAAUAGUGUUUCAUAAGAUGUUAACUAGGGAAUGUCGUACCCUAUGAAGACGAAGAAGAAAAUUAGGAAAUGGUGUUUCCUAAGAUGUCAACUAAGGGAUGUCGUACCCUAUGAAGAUGAAGAAGAAAAUUAGGAAAUAGUGUUUCAUAAGAUGUUAACUAGGGAAUGUCGUACCCUAUGAAGACGAAGAAGAAAAUUAGGAAAUGGUGUUUCCUAAGAUGUCAACUAAGGGAUGUCGUACCCUAUGAAGAUGAAGAAGAAAAUUAGGAAAUAGUGUUUCAUAAGAUGUUAACUAGGGAAUGUCGUACCCUAUGAAGACGAAGAAGAAAAUUAGGAAAUGGUGUUUCCUAAGAUGUCAACUAAGGGAUGUCGUACCCUAUGAAGAUGAAGAAGAAAAUUAGGAAAUAGUGUUUCAUAAGAUGUUAACUAGGGAAUGUCGUACCCUAUGAAGACGAAGAAGAAAAUUAGGAAAUGGUGUUUCCUAAGAUGUCAACUAAGGGAUGUCGUACCCUAUGAAGAUGAAGAAGAAAAUUAGGAAAUAGUGUUUCAUAAGAUGUUAACUAGGGAAUGUCGUACCCUAUGAAGACGAAGAAGAAAAUUAGGAAAUGGUGUUUCCUAAGAUGUCAACUAAGGGAUGUCGUACCCUAUGAAGAUGAAGAAGAAAAUUAGGAAAUAGUGUUUCAUAAGAUGUUAACUAGGGAAUGUCGUACCCUAUGAAGACGAAGAAGAAAAUUAGGAAAUGGUGUUUCCUAAGAUGUCAACUAAGGGAUGUCGUACCCUAUGAAGAUGAAGAAGAAAAUUAGGAAAUAGUGUUUCAUAAGAUGUUAACUAGGGAAUGUCGUACCCUAUGAAGACGAAGAAGAAAAUUAGGAAAUGGUGUUUCCUAAGAUGUCAACUAAGGGAUGUCGUACCCUAUGAAGAUGAAGAAGAAAAUUAGGAAAUAGUGUUUCAUAAGAUGUUAACUAGGGAAUGUCGUACCCUAUGAAGACGAAGAAGAAAAUUAGGAAAUGGUGUUUCCUAAGAUGUCAACUAAGGGAUGUCGUACCCUAUGAAGAUGAAGAAGAAAAUUAGGAAAUAGUGUUUCAUAAGAUGUUAACUAGGGAAUGUCGUACCCUAUGAAGACGAAGAAGAAAAUUAGGAAAUGGUGUUUCCUAAGAUGUCAACUAAGGGAUGUCGUACCCUAUGAAGAUGAAGAAGAAAAUUAGGAAAUAGUGUUUCAUAAGAUGUUAACUAGGGAAUGUCGUACCCUAUGAAGACGAAGAAGAAAAUUAGGAAAUGGUGUUUCCUAAGAUGUCAACUAAGGGAUGUCGUACCCUAUGAAGAUGAAGAAGAAAAUUAGGAAAUAGUGUUUCAUAAGAUGUUAACUAGGGAAUGUCGUACCCUAUGAAGACGAAGAAGAAAAUUAGGAAAUGGUGUUUCCUAAGAUGUCAACUAAGGGAUGUCGUACCCUAUGAAGAUGAAGAAGAAAAUUAGGAAAUAGUGUUUCAUAAGAUGUUAACUAGGGAAUGUCGUACCCUAUGAAGACGAAGAAGAAAAUUAGGAAAUGGUGUUUCCUAAGAUGUCAACUAAGGGAUGUCGUACCCUAUGAAGAUGAAGAAGAAAAUUAGGAAAUAGUGUUUCAUAAGAUGUUAACUAGGGAAUGUCGUACCCUAUGAAGACGAAGAAGAAAAUUAGGAAAUGGUGUUUCCUAAGAUGUCAACUAAGGGAUGUCGUACCCUAUGAAGAUGAAGAAGAAAAUUAGGAAAUAGUGUUUCAUAAGAUGUUAACUAGGGAAUGUCGUACCCUAUGAAGACGAAGAAGAAAAUUAGGAAAUGGUGUUUCCUAAGAUGUCAACUAAGGGAUGUCGUACCCUAUGAAGAUGAAGAAGAAAAUUAGGAAAUAGUGUUUCAUAAGAUGUUAACUAGGGAAUGUCGUACCCUAUGAAGACGAAGAAGAAAAUUAGGAAAUGGUGUUUCCUAAGAUGUCAACUAAGGGAUGUCGUACCCUAUGAAGAUGAAGAAGAAAAUUAGGAAAUAGUGUUUCAUAAGAUGUUAACUAGGGAAUGUCGUACCCUAUGAAGACGAAGAAGAAAAUUAGGAAAUGGUGUUUCCUAAGAUGUCAACUAAGGGAUGUCGUACCCUAUGAAGAUGAAGAAGAAAAUUAGGAAAUAGUGUUUCAUAAGAUGUUAACUAGGGAAUGUCGUACCCUAUGAAGACGAAGAAGAAAAUUAGGAAAUGGUGUUUCCUAAGAUGUCAACUAAGGGAUGUCGUACCCUAUGAAGAUGAAGAAGAAAAUUAGGAAAUAGUGUUUCAUAAGAUGUUAACUAGGGAAUGUCGUACCCUAUGAAGACGAAGAAGAAAAUUAGGAAAUGGUGUUUCCUAAGAUGUCAACUAAGGGAUGUCGUACCCUAUGAAGAUGAAGAAGAAAAUUAGGAAAUAGUGUUUCAUAAGAUGUUAACUAGGGAAUGUCGUACCCUAUGAAGACGAAGAAGAAAAUUAGGAAAUGGUGUUUCCUAAGAUGUCAACUAAGGGAUGUCGUACCCUAUGAAGAUGAAGAAGAAAAUUAGGAAAUAGUGUUUCAUAAGAUGUUAACUAGGGAAUGUCGUACCCUAUGAAGACGAAGAAGAAAAUUAGGAAAUGGUGUUUCCUAAGAUGUCAACUAAGGGAUGUCGUACCCUAUGAAGAUGAAGAAGAAAAUUAGGAAAUAGUGUUUCAUAAGAUGUUAACUAGGGAAUGUCGUACCCUAUGAAGACGAAGAAGAAAAUUAGGAAAUGGUGUUUCCUAAGAUGUCAACUAGGGAAUGCCGUACCCAAUGAAUACGAUGAAGAAAAUUAGGAAAUAGUGUUUCAUAAGAUGUUAACUAGGGAAUGUCGUACCCUAUGAAGACGAAGAAGAAAAUUAGGAAAUGGUAUUUCCUCAGAUGUCAACUAGGGGAUGUCGUACCCUAUUUUAGGAAAUGAUGUUUCCUAAGAUGUCAACUAGGGGAUGUGGUACCCUAUGAAGACAAAGAAGAAAAUUAAAAAAUGGUGUUUCCUUAGAUAUCAACUAGGGGAUGUCGUACCCUAUGAAGACGAAGAAGAAAAUUAGGAAAUGGUGUUUCCUAAGAUGUCAACUAGGAAAUAUCGUACCCAAUGAAGACUUAAAGUAGAAAAUUAGGAAAUGGUGUUUCCUAAGAUGUCAGCUAGGGAAUGUCAUACUCUAUGAAGACGAAGAAGAAAAUUAGGAAAUAGUGUAUCCUAAGAAGUUGACUAGGGGAUGUCGUACCCUAUGAAGACGAAGAAGAAAAAUAGGAAAUGGUGUUUCCUUAGAUGUCAACUUGGGAAUGUUGUACCCUAUGAAGACUUAAAAUAGAAAAUUAGGAAAUGAUGUUUCCUAAGAUGUCAACUAGGGAGUGUCGUAUCAUAUGAAGACGAAGAAGAAAAUUAGAAAAUGGUGUUUCCUAAGAUAUUAACUAGAGAAUGAUGGAUCUUAUGAAGACUUAAAGUAGCAAAUUAGGAAAUGGUGUUUCCUAAGAUGUCAACUAGGGGAUGCCGUACCCUAUGAAGACUUGAAGUAGAAAAUCAAAAAAUGGUGUUUCCUAAAAUGUCAACUAGGGGAUGUCGUACCAUAUGAAGACUUGAAGUAGAAAAUUAGAAAAUAGUGUUUCCUAAGAUGUCAACUAGGGAAUGUCGUACCCUAUGAAAACUUAAAGUAGGAAAUUAGGAAAUGGUGUUUCCUAAGAUGUCAACUAAGGGAUGUCGUACCCUAUGAAGAUGAAGAAGAAAAUUAGGAAAUAGUGUUUCCUAAGAUCUCAACUAGGGAAUAUCGUACCUUAUGAAGACUUAAAGUAGAAAAUUAGAAAAUGGUGUUUCCUAAGAUGUCAACUGGGGAAUGUCAUACCCUAUGAAGAUGAAGAAGAAAAUUGGAAAAUGGUGUUUUCUAAGAUGUCAACUAGGGAAGGUCGUACCCUAUGAAGACUUAAAGUAAAAGAUACAAUUUUUUUUCCUAAGAUGUAGGAAGACGACAAGAAAAUUAGGAAAUGAUGUUUCCUAAGAUGUCAACUAGGGGAUGUGGUACCCUAUGAAGACAAAGAAGAAAAUUAAAAAAUGGUGUUUCCUUAGAUAUCAACUAGGGGAUGUCGUACCCUAUGAAGACGAAGAAGAAAAAUAGGAAAUGGUGUUUCCUAAGAUGUCAACUAGGAAAUAUCGUACCCUAUGAAGACUUAAAGUAGAAAAUUAGGAAAUGGUGUUUCCUAAGAUGUCAGCUAGGGAAUGUCAUACUCUAUGAAGACGAAGAAGAAAAUUAGGAAAUGGUGUAUCCUAAGAAGUUGACUAGGGGAUGUCGUACCCUAUGAAGACGAAGAAGAAAAAUAGGAAAUGGUGUUUCCUAAGAUGUCAACUAGGGAAUGUUGUACCCUAUGAAGACUUAAAAUAGAAAAUUAGGAAAUGAUGUUUCCUAAGAUGUCAACUAGGGAGUGUCGUAUCAUAUGAAGACGAAGAAGAAAAUUAGAAAAUGGUGUUUCCUAAGAUAUUAACUAGAGAAUGUCGGAUCUUAUGAAGACUUAAAGUAGCAAAUUAGGAAAUGGUGUUUCCUAAGAUGUCAACUAGGGGAUGUCGUACCCUAUGAAGACUUAAAGUAGAAAAUUAGGAAAUGGUUUCAUAAAAUGUCAACUAGGGGAUGUCGUACCCUAUGAAGACGAAGAAGAAAAUUAGGAAAUGGUGUUUCCUAAGAUGUCAACUAAGGGAUGUCGUACCCUAUGAAGAUGAAGAAGAAAAUUAGGAAAUAGUGUUUCCUAAGAUCUCAACUAGGGAAUAUCGUACCUUAUGAAGACUUAAAGUAGAAAAUUAGAAAAUGGUGUUUCCUAAGAUGUCAACUGGGGAAUGUCAUACCCUAUGAAGAUGAAGAAGAAAAUUGGAAAAUGGUGUUUUCUAAGAUGUCAACUAGGGAAGGUCGUACCCUAUGAAGACUUAAAGUAAAAGAUACAAUUUUUUUUCCUAAGAUGUUAUCAGGAGAUGUUGUACCUGCUGAGGUAAAUGAGAUAUAUUUUUAUUUUUUUAAAAAAAAAAAUAUGCCCCAGUUUUGGAUACGAGGAACUUUGAAAUUCUUUUUGAUUUUUUUAUAUGAAAAAAUGCCCCAGUAUCAUACCUUUUAGGGAUAUAAAAAAAAUUUUACUCAGCGGGACCGACCCUAUCAUAGGAUUUCCUGCGGAUCUUGCGAAGCAAGAAUCAGGUUUAGCGUAAUUCACCAAAAAAAAUAUUUUUUUGAAAGUAUGUGCUUUGUAAAGAUCAGAAGAAUGAGAAGAAUGAAAAUAACUCAUUUCUUGACUUCAAUUGAUACCAAUAAUUAGCAUUAUGGCCGAAUUAUCUCUAAUUACUUUUGAGGAAAAAUUAAGAUCAACUUAGAAGUGAUUCCUAUAGUUUCAAAUGGUACCUCAAAUAUACUUAAGUUUCGACAAGGUCUGUUUAUCUGGCCUCAAUCAAAGGUUUAAAGUUCUUCUUAUCCUUAUGUUUCACGUUCCCUUACCAUAAAUAAAGUCCUAAUUCACUCAUAAUAAAAUAAUUUAGAUUUUAGGAUGUUCAAGAAACACACGCUCAGAAAGAUGUUCAAUGCAUGCACUGAGAUACCAUAAGCUUGGUCAUCAUGUAAGUAUCCACUAAUGUGAGAACACUUAGAGUAUGAUCUUGUAGGACUGGUUAUCGGCUUGUAAUAUAGGCUUGGGGAUUAUAGAAUGAUAUUUGGGAUGUAAGUGACUAACUCCUCAAUGAGCAUUGCACUGUUUUCGUGCUUUUGAUAUUUGUUGCAGUUUGACUCUCGAUCCUCUUUGUUCUACUUCUUUGCCCCUUGUUUUGUAUUUGCUUUGACUUUGUUUGAAUCUUGUACUGGAGCUUUUCCCUUUUUCUUUUUGAUAAAUGUAUUUUCUUAUUCUUUUUUUUUUUAUAAAGGUUCUCUAUCUUUAUUGGAGUUUUUUUUAAUGGGGUUUUUGCUCCUUCUUCUUUGAAGUCAUCUUUUGUUUUUGUUCUCCUGGGGCUAUAUAUUCUUUGCUUUUUUGACGCCUUUGAUCUUGAAUCUUCAUUCGUAACUUGUACGUAUUUAGUGAGCUCAAGGAGGUGAUCUAAAAGAGGGAUAAUACAUAUAAGUACUCGAAAGGGUAUAGGCUCAUAUAUGAUUAUCCAAGGAAAAUGUUUCAGGCUCAAAGGGAGAAAUGCUAGGGAUUAAUGUCAUUUGGUGGGCUAAGGAAUGCACAAUCGGAUCAAAGAAGGCCUACAAUCCUUUCCCAAACUAAGUGUGUCUCAAAAUUUCGCUUCAACAGGCAUUCAUGUCAAUUUCUAGAUCAACAGAGUGAUGCCAUUGAAUUUUUAAUCUAAAGCUCACCACACAAUACACAUGAAACAGUGAGGUAAGAAUUAUUUUAAACUUGACUUAGAGCAAGGAAAUUUUACAAAUGCAACUUUAGUAUAAUUAGAGAUACUAAAAGAAUCUAUAGUUCACAACUAAGUUGAUCCACUCUAUCAUGUCUUAUAACUUAACACUUUUUCGUGUUUUUAAAUAUGUUGGUACCAAUGAUUAAGUCAAGAUUUUUUACUUUUAAAUUUUUCACUACAAAAAAUGAAUCUAAUUGUGAAGAUUUAUUUGCAGGUUUAUUUUAACCCCUGCAAAAUUAUAUUAAAUGCGAGAAUUAAAAUAGUGCGGCUAAAAAUUAUAUAUUUACGGGAUUUUUUUAACCCCGCUAUCCGUCCUAAAACAUAGCGCCAAAUGAAAGAAUAUUUCUGCUCUUUUUUCCCCAAUAUCCCCUAAAACAUUCUCUCUCUCAUUUUAUACCCAGUAUCCCCAAAACAUUUCUCUCUCAUUUUUCCCCAAUUAGAGUUGAUAGGGUACUCUUGUUGGCCUUUGAUUAGACAGUGGGAGGUACGCCGGCACAGUUGAUAGGAACUCCGGCCAUUGCUACACAAGUUUCCGAUCGUCCAUUGCCUUCCCAGCUCCCAGGUAAUUGUUUUUAAAUGUUAGUGUUUGUUUCACUAGUGGCGCCGCCGUGCAAAUUCGUCGCCGGAAGGAUUUCCCGGUGAAGAUAUCCGACCCACUUGAAGAUUGGGUCAUUCAUUGCCCAAAUGAUUGUAUGUUGUACUGGGAAUAUUUUUGUUGAUUCUUGAACUUGAUAGUUAGUUAAGUUUAUCUACAUUGGGUUUUGCUAUUAAAGUUUCUGUUUUUAGUAUUUUCUUAUUUAGGAAAAUUUAUUUGAAGUGGUCUGAAUUGAAGCAGAAAUGGGGUUGAUUUCUGGGAUGCUUAUGGGGAUUAUCUGUGGGGUCGAUUUAAUGGCUGCUUUGAAACAUAUGAUGAGGUACAGGAGCAACAAGAGAAUUGCUAAGAUAUUGUUUUCAUAUUCCUGACUUUUAUGUCUUUGAAGUUUGCUAAGGUAUUUUUUUUCUUGAGCAAGGGUAUGUUGGAAACAUCCUCCCUAUCUCGGAGGUAGGGGUAAGGUAUGCGUACACUCUACCCAACAUUUUGGCAAACUAUUUGGGGUUGGCUAUUUGAAUACUUAGUUUCCUCUUUGUCUGGAUCAAUUUCAUUCCAAUACUUAAUAGUUUGCCUUGGAUUUGGGUAGAGGGGUAGUUAGGUAGUUGAGGAUUAUGUCGUUAAGUCUUUCAUGCUAGUAGUCUUAGUAUUACUCUUGGAGUUUUUUGUUAUUCCAUUUCUGUUACUAUUUACUGUUUCUAGUACUUCGAUUAUCCUUGUAUUUUGUUGUUGUGCCUGCUCCAUUUUAACCAUGUGUUGUCAUGCUUUCUGUAGCAUUUUGUUUUAGCUUCUUCACUCUUGUUGUUUCUUCUUCGAAACUGCUGUGUAUUAUUUUUACUUGAACCGAGGGUUUAUUGGAACCUCCCAAGCCUCCACUUGUGGGAUUACACUGGCCAUAUUGUUUUUUUACUCGAUAGUAUGCCUUUUAGGUCACAUUUUUAGGGUUCUUGUAACAUUAGCAUCUCUAAAUUUUCUGUCCAUUAAUGGACUUAUGGUAAAUAUCAACUCGAGAGCGAAAAUUUUUUCUUUGAGCUUCUCUUUGGCUAUUUAUAUUUUAUCAUCAAGGUGAAGUUUUUGUUGUCAGGUUAUUUCUAUUUGCACUAUAGUGUACUUCGUUGCGAUUUAUAAGUGAGGUAGUUAGUAUUUGUUACAACCCUUAUUUUUUUUACCAGAAGAGCAUGCAAAAGUUUAUGUUGGAAAGCACACUGAAAAUGGUGAUAAUUUGUGAUUCUGUUAGGCGACUAAGUUGAAGUUUCUAGUCGACUAACUGAUUCUAUCAAAUGUUGUUUCUCUUUUCCCUGUAGUGUACUUCGUUGCGAUUUUUGAAUGAGGUUGUUAGUAUUAGUUUAUGUUUUACUAGAUGAGCAUGCAGAAGUUUAUUUAGGAAAGAACACUGAAAAUGGUGAUAAUUUUGUGAUUCUGUUAGGCGACUAAGUUGAAUUUUCUACUAAUGAUAGGUUUGUUAGUGCAUUAUUCUGGAAGAUAUAUAGCUAUAUGUUUCAUAGUGAAUUGUUUGUUAAUUUAUGUUUUUGAUGUGAUAAGAGUGUUUCGCAGUUGCUGCCUAAGUGAUAGUACUAUUUGGUUACUUGAUGCUCGACUUUGCUCAGGUGAGGUGGUAGCAGAUAUAGCUCACUGUCAUACUUGUUAUAAGUAGCAAAAUAACUUGGCACUGCUGUUGCUUUUUAAUUCUAGUGCCAAAAUUUACAUCAUGCUCAUUAUCGUGCUUGCAAACAACACUCAAACUUCUGAUAUGCAUUCACAUUCUGAAGGACUUGUAUUCAUUUCCUCGUUAUGUUUUACAUCUUUUACAGGCAAUAGAUGUAAAAUUAAUGGGCUGCCUCAUGGGAUGAUCUAAAGAAAGUUUGUGGUAAUAACUUUCCUGAAUGGAUAUCAUUUCCCAUUUAUGAACAAGUUGAAUGGAUUUACUUAUCUCAGUUUUCCCCCUUUAUUGCAUUGAUGACUCGUGUUCUUUUGACACAGUUCAUUUUUUUCCUUUUUACUGCACUGACUUUUGUACUUGUGACACUUAGCUCAUACACUUUGUUAUGUGGUACUCAAGCUGCAUUGUUCACUGAAAUUUGAAUAACUUUUUAACAUCUUCUGAAAAAGAGCUCAAGAUUUAGUGCUGUUAUAUUUUCAGAUCAAAUUUUUUUUCUGUCUUUGAAAGAGAUGCUGAAGUUAAUCAAUGUAUGCAUAUUAUUGAACUGGCUCAAGUAAUUGAGUAAAACUUGACCUGUUGACCCCUUGGCUUCGUUAUGAUAGGAAUAAAGAGUCACAUAAUUCCUUCUUAAAACUUAUAGGCAACUUCUUCACUAUGCUCUAGUUACAACUAAUAUUUUUUUUCCUUGAGAAAUGAAGUCAGUGAAGAUCAGUUUUACUUCUGAAAUAAUUUUUUUUUUUUUUAAUGGAUUUUACUUUCAGAAUUUGUUGAAGUAGAAUCAAGAAUAAACUGAUGGAACACGAGACAAAAUUAAGUAGAUGAGUUGUUUUGUCUCGGGUGUUAAUGACUGGAAAAGUGUGUUGAUAAACAGUAAUAUCCAUCUCUUAUCAAUGUCAGUUGUGAAUCUUAGAGGCUACGCAUUUAUAAUGUUUCCACAAACUUUUUCUCCACGCAAUUUAAAGAAAUAAACCAAUAAUAGUGAUCAUAUCAAUGUUAAUUUGUCUCAGUUUUAUAUGUCAUGGGCGCAGGUCAAAUGGUUGAACGGACAAUUGAGCAAAUUGUGGCCGUUCAUAGCCGAAGUAAGCUUUUUACUCGUCUUUAGCUAUCCUGAGCAAUUUUCGCUUUGUAAACUAGUUCUAAUAUAACUCAGUAUAAUCACACUUUUUUGGCUUUGAUAACUGAUAAAUCCCUGAUGGUUGGUGGCGCACAGUUCGAAACUUAGUCGAAAAUGAAUCCAUAUUUUGCCUACGGCAGGGCUCGAAUCUGUGACGUGCACCUAACCCACAUAUCACUUGUUAGGUUCUUGCCACAAGACCAAAGCCCUCGGGGGAUAUAAUACCUUGCAACUGUGUGUAUUUAAAUUGAAUAUGUCAGUUUACUUAAUUGAUUCUGAAGUUUAAGUAAAAACAAAUUGAAAUAGAGGGAGUGUCUAUUAGUCAAUUUUAAUAUGUUGUAGAAGGUCGCGUGCCUUAUAUUUGAGUUAGUUAUCUUGAUUAUUAUGGACAAGUACUGUAGUUAUCUUUUAGGUGAUCUGUCUUGUUUUACGUCAGUUAAUCCCACUAUAGUUCUCCACCUUAUAUACAAUGAAAAUGUAACGAAUGAAUAUUUACUGGAGUAUUAAUGUGGUUGGCUGGGUGGAAACACUACUGCCCAAAUCUAUCACACCACGCCUUUGGCUGGGUGUGUAUAUUUUGUGUGGCAGAAGCGGAAUAAUAAGAGUGUCAUGCUAAGGAUGAUACAAGGAGAGUAAAACUACUAAAAAGGGAGAUAGGUAAUAUCAGUCUGUUGUCAAACACACAAAGAAAAUUGAGACCACCUGAACUAUUCAUUCCCCCCACUAUACAAACGAGACAUAAUAAAGAGAACUCAUUACAAAAAAAUGAGAAAUGUAAUAAGAGGCACACAGCUAUAGUUAAUAAGAACCAGAAGCUUAUGAAUCAAAUAGAAUGCUAAUAUCAAAGUUAAAAAGAAAAAAAAAAUAAAAGGUGCUAAACUAGUCAUUGUCACGUGCUGCCAGCACUCCGGGGGCACCAUUGGUUGAUUUGAAUUUUGAAAGGCCGUCUAGGUCCCGGAACAAUUUGUCUUGUGUCUUUGAGGGCUUUCCAGAUGGCGCAUACGAAGGAGUGGAAACUGGAUAAGAACCAUUGUCUGUCAUAGAAGCCCAUACAUUACUUGGGUUAGGAACUGAGUAUUUUGUCGUUGAGUGUUACCAUAACCACAGCUGGCCAUUUGGUUGACAUACAUUUGCUGGUUGUUGCACUUUCAUGCUCAUAAGUCAAAUAUUAACUAUUAAAUCUCAAAUGAUGUGAUCCAAAUAAACUGCUAUGAAUUAAUUUUACAUAUGAAUCGAAAAUCGGGUUUAAUAGGAAGAUUUUGAUGAUAUUGUCUGAAGAACAAGUUUUAUAUUUUGGUUAAACCCAAAUAUUGAUGGUGUUUUUAGUUGUACGCAGGUAUGAAUGUUUUAUAACAAGGACUGAAAGUUUAUCUAAUUGAUUUUUAUACUUUUGCAUUUUUUAUGUAGCAAAUUGAUAUGGCUAGUGGACUCCUUUCGCCUAUGAAUGCAAGGAGAUUAUGUGAUAAUAGUGAUCCUAAUGACAGUCGUUGAUUUCAUUGCAAAUUGUCGUGGAUAUUCAAUUAUGAUGAUGUAAUUGUGUGGUUGGAGCAAAUCUUAGAAUAUUGAAGGAUUUGUGUUUAAAUUUGAUUUUGGAGCUUGAAGAUACUAGUUAAUGUUGAAAAUUUGGAGUUUGAAGAUUCUAAUUUUGAAGUUUAAUGUUCAAUGUAUUUUUGAUAUGCUUGUCAAUUAUAAUGUGUAAUUAGUCAUGUUGUGUUAAUGAUAUACGAAUUGAAUAAAUAUUCAAUCGUCGGUUAUGCCUAAAGAAACAAUUAAAUUUAUAAUUUUGUUAUUGGAAAUUAAUGGGCCCCAUUAAAUUUAAAAAAUAAUAAUAGAAAAUAAAAAUUGCGGAGGUUUUAAACCGCUGCAAUAGUUAAAUAAAAAUUGCGGAGGUUUUAAAUCGCCGUAAAAUAACCGCUGCAAAUAAAUUAUGAUGGUUGAAAAAAAAAUUGCUGCAAAUUAUUUGUGAUAGACUCGUAUUGUGGGUAUUUUGGGAACCAUCGGAAUUGCAAUUUGCGGGGGUUUAAAAUCCUCGCAAACUUUUAAAUUAACCCCGCAAUUUGACCUAUUUUUUGUAUUGUUUAGAUGAGACCGAACCCAAAAGAAGAGUUGCCUACGUAUCUUGUUGAAACAAGAAUCAGGUUAGACGUAUUUUAGGGGCUUAAAAUAUGAAGCAAGAACUUUUUUUUCUUUUUGAAUUUUGAAUAGGGAGGAAAACCUUUCUUUCUUUUUUAUUAUUAUUUUUUUUUUGAAAUUUAAUAAGGAUAUUUUCUUGUAAUUUUGUAUAAGGAUUCCUUUUUUGAAGAAGACUAACAUCCUUUAUUUAUUUUAUUUUAUUUUUUUUUAAAAAAAAUUAAUAACUUGUUUUUCAAAUUUAAUGAGGAUCACUGAACCCAAGUAGGGCUGCCUACGUAUCUCAUUGAGAUGAGAAUCAAGUGUGCGUAGUUCGUUUAGAUUGGAAAAAACUUGAUAAUUUAGAAAACUAUGUUUUUUUCUCUUAUUUGUAAAAACAAACCUCACACCUCAUUUUGGUUUCUAUAAAGAGUAGGUUUUAGAAAGCAAUUUUCACUCUUUUCUUACGUUAAUGGAUUCUAAAGCCGACCAAUAUUUGAAAAAACCUAACAGUUAAUGCAACUAGUGGCAUAGAAAAUGAAUAGUCUUAAAAUAGGGUACUUUUAGACAUUCAAACCUUUGUCGAGCCUCCACUAAAUCAAAAUGCAUGUGAUGCAAAUAAAGAGGAUCCUAGUAAGGAUAAUCAUUGUCCGAGGAUUGUUCUGCUAGAUUUAACAUUCUGAUGGAAUAGAUGUCUAGAAUGAUUGUAAAACGAGAGGACAACUCAAUUCGGUCAGAGACAGCUUUACCGGUAGCAGGAUUUUCCAGCCUCACUGUUGGUCCUUCCCGCCCUAAACAUGGGUGACUACAGAAUCCUUCCCAGGAGCGUUGUCGCAUCUCUGGUAUCUCAAUCUCGGGAGCGUAUACCGCAUCUCCGAAUAUAAAGUAUCUCAAAAGACUCAGAUGAGUACGCGAGAGAAGAUAAUUUACAUUGCAAUUCAAAUAAUAUCAAAGCGAUAAACAAUUAGACACAUAGCACAUUUAGGCCAACAAUACAAUAUCAAAAAUUACAUAAAGCCAAACAAGUCAGUAUAAAAGCUCGAAUUCUGGUUAUCCCUAACAGAGUCACCAUCUGUCACACCCCUAUAUUUACCGCCCCAACCCGCUAAGGAGUUGGUAUUAGAGAAAAUGUGUUUUUCCAAUUAAAGUGACGGUUUGAAAAAGGAUUAUUUAUUUUACAGAGUCGCCACUUGGAAUUGAGUUUGGGUGUUCCAAUUCACCUUGUUGAAUUCCUUUUCAAAAGGAAAUAACUCUUUCUUUUUGUUCUGUGAUCUAGAAAUUCGAAUAAAGAGUUCUAUUGACCGAGGGGAAAGUAUGAGACACCCCUCGAAUCCCGUGGUUCUAGCACGGUUGCUUUAAUGACUUAUGUCUAGCUUAAAUUAAUCUCUUAGAUAUAUAAUAUUUGUUUGCCUAAAAGUUAUUUAUCGUCCGCUUUUAAUUUAUUUUAAAUUAUUUAAUUAUAUUAAUGUGUGGCUUGUCGGUAGCAGUACUUUCCGAUCAUGCCACGUGUUUGGAUAUAUUUCUCGCGCCUUUGAGGCUUUUAUGGAUAGUCCCAUUUUUUCAAGUCUAGAUAAGCACCUAACAGGUUUAGAAUCUAUCCAACCCGGUUCAAACGACUUCAAAUGGUAUAUUAAAUUUUAUUAUAACGAAUGGUUGGUAGCAGGGCUUUCCAACUUUAUCGCUAACUUUCUCUUAUAUGUUAACUCUUAAUUUCUUGAGGUUAAGAACCUAAAUCAUUCUUUUGUGAAUUGAAUAUCCUUUUAAUAAUGAAUUUGAAAAUAGUACUCGUCUCAUCUCGUUCGUUUUUUUAUACUAAUAAAUAGUAAUUAAUUAACCAUACAUGUUAAUUCUAAGCUAUGAUAACAUUAACGUAUAUCAACAAUUCAGUCAAAACUAAAAAUUACAGUAUCAAACAAGCAAACACUCAAUCAUAAAAUAUAGAAACGAUUUGACAAAAGUAUGAAAAUUACAAAUAAAAAAUAAGUGAAAGCGAUAUGAACCGAAAUUGGAAUUAUAUAGAUUAUUAUAUGGUGAAAAAAAUAAGAUGACAAACAUGAGUAAAUUUUUAGUCAAAAAAAAAAAAAUGUUCUGCAUGGGAUUUACACAUGAAAGUUUAUGAAUAUUUUUAACUCGUUCAUUGAAGGAAACAACAUCCAUAACUCAACUUUAAAUACAAUUCUAUACCAACUACUUGUCAGCUUGAAGAUAACUUGCUACCAUGCAAAUGAUUUUUGUCAGAAUCAUGCAACAAUUUUAAGCUCAAUAUAUGAACCCAUUUGGGCUCUACUUUAAAUCAAGGUUAAACUAAAAAAUACGUAGCAUAAAUAUUUGAAAAUUAUCUAGGCCAAACUCUUGUAUGCAUAAGGACCUUAAACAACAACUACACAGGUUGCUUGGAUUUGAAUCUAAAUCCAAUCUUACCCUAAUAUAUUAAUAACUCUAUCAGUAAAAAAAAAUUAACAAAUUAAACUAAUUCUACCACUUUUACUUUUAAACAAAACUAAUUGUCGCCAACAAUAACGUUAAAGGGAAAUAAACUUAAUUAUAAUCAUAAUACCAAUAUUCUGGGACUAUCAGCCUAAGUUUAUCAAAGUAAAUAAUUGAAAAAGGAGAAGAAGAAAUAACAAUAACUAAUUGACAACAAGAUUGAACAAGUGGGUUAGAUAGUAAUAUUUAAAUCAUUCAAAUAGAGAAGUGUAUAUUUGAAAUAAUCUAUCCAAAAAUUACUUUAGCCUCAAAGGACAUGAACAUACACAAGUAGCAGAAAAAUGAAAACAAGUAUAUUAUAUUAUAUAGGCAAUAUGUGAGAUUGAACUUCGGACCGAUUAUUCAUGAUAAAAUACAAACAUAAUUGAUCAACUGUAUGGACUAAAUAUGUGAAAUCAUUUAAACAACUUUGUUCAUGCUUUGAUACAAAAUAAAACUACAAAUAAAAGAACCGAAUAGGAACCUGAGGUAGAAUAACAGAUGUAGAAAGAAAAAUGCCUUCACCAAAAACUUGAACGGGGACCCACACUCAAACUCGCCACUUUCUUUCCGUGCUUUUCUAAUGGUUUUUCCUCUUCUGUUUCUAAGUUUUCUCUAACUUUGGUUCCUACUACUCUUUCUCUUCUUUCUAGUUUCUCUCUUUCUUUUGUUUUCAAAGUCUUUUUUCUUUGGUUUUCUCUCAUUUUUUUCUUUGCUUCUUGUUUUCAAUGUUGUCUCCCUUGUUGUCUGUUUUCUCAAGUGUUUUAUUCUCUUUUUGGUCUCUUAAGUUUUCUCCCUUUUUUUUUCUGUCUGUGUGUGGUGUAUUGUGUUAUAUAGCAGUGUCAUGUGUAAUAUAGUGUGUAUGUUUGGGAAGUUGAGGGAGAUAUGGGAGUGAAUGUGGGGAAGUAGUUGAGGAGAAUUAGGGAGUGGUUUAGGUUAGUGGGGAAAGGUUGGUUUUAUGGGGAUAUUGGGUAGUUUUAGGCUAGGAUUUUUUUUAUUUAUUAUUUUUUUUAGAAUCUUGUUUAAGUUAAACAAAAAAAUAAUAAGAAUAUUAUUUUGAACUGAUAAGGCAUACAAGAAAUUAAAUAGCUAGUCCUAAAAAAUAUGAUUGAGAAAAUAUUAAUAUCACUAGAUUAUUUAUUAAAAACUAAAUUAAAAGAAAUUUUUUUUUUUAGAAAAUGUCCUUUUUGAAAACUAAAAUAAAGAUAAAGACUUAUCCUAAAAUGUGAUUUCAUUUUAUUACUUUCCAAAACUUUAAAACAAACUUAGUAAAAAUAAGAUAAACUUAAAAUAUUUAAUUUAGACCCUAAAAAUAAAAUAUUUAAACACUAAAAUGGCGUUAAACCUUUAGUUUGGUAAAAAAAUUAGGUCUUUACAGGUUAUAAGCCUGGUGUUAAAGGUUAUAAGCUUUGGUGUCCAGAAAUUAGAAAGGUAUAAUUAGCAGGAAAGUUGUGUUUGAUGAAACUGCCAUGCUUCGGGCUCCCUCUGAAUCUAGUGCUUCACCUCCAGAUGAGCUUAGUGACAUGAAUCAGCAACAGUCAAGCACCCACUUUGAAUUGCAGAUUGGAGGAAAGUCUACAUAAAUGCCUGCUUUUCAGCCUAGUUCGGAGAUACAGAGUGGUACUACUUCUUCUUCACCACCAGUGAUGCCACAAUAUUCUAUUGCUAAAGACAGGCCUAGAAGAGAUAUUAGACCUCCUCAGAAGUAUGUUGAAGCUGAUUUGGUUGCUUAUUCAUUGAAUGUAGCAGAAGGUAUUGAUUCUGAUAAAGAUCUUUCUUCUUACUUAGAUGCAGUUAGUUGUGAUGAUUCUAACCGAUGGAUAAUUGCUAUGCAGGGGAAGAUGAGAUCGCUUCAUAAGAAUGACACAUGGGAUCUGGUAAGAUUGCCUAAAGAUAAAAAAGUUUUCCAUUGCAAGUUGGUAUUUAAAAAGAAAGAAAGAAUACUGGGAGUUGAAGAUUCUAGGUACAAAGAAAGACUAGUUGCUAAAGGUUAUAGUCAGGUUCCAAGUGUUGACUUCACAGAUGUAUUUUCUCCAGUUGUUAAGCAUAGCUCGAUUCGAGCCUUUCUUGGUAUUGUGGCCAUUCAUAUUCUCGAGCUUGAGCAGUUGGAUGUCAAAACUGUUUUCUUACAUGUAGAACUUGAGGAGGAAAUCCAUAUGCAGCAACCAGAGGGUUUUGUAGUCUCAGGAAAGAAGGACUAUAUAUAUUUGCUGAAAAAGUCUCUUUAUAGCUUAAAACAGUCCCCCUGGCAGUGCUAUAAGAAGUUUGACUCUUUUAUGACUUCUUAUAUAGUUCAGAGGAUUAGUUAUGAUAGCUGUGUCUAUUUCAAGGAGGUAAGUGAUGGUUCAUUUAUGUAUCUUCUCUUGUAUGUUAAUGAUAUAUUGAUUGCAACAAAGAAUAUAAGAGAGAUAAUAAAAUUCAAAGCCAAGCUCAGCAAUGAGUUUGAGAUGAAGGAUCUACGAGCAGCAAAGAAGAUCCUUGACAUGGAAAUUAUGAGGGAUAGAGAAAAGUGUAGGUUAUACUUGAGUAAAAAAAGGUAUAUUGAGACAAGUUCAAUAUGCAAGAUUCCAAACCUGUAAGUACUUCCUUGGUAGCUCACUUCAAACUCCCAGACACUUUAUCUCCAAAGACAGAUGGUGAGCGUGACUAUAUGUCUCGAGUUCCAUACUAUAGUUCUAUCGGGUCUCUUAUGUAUGCGAUGGUGUGUUCCCGACUAGAUUUAUCAUAUGCCAUUAGUGCAGUUAGCAGAUACAUGGAAAAUUCUGGCAAAGAACAUCGGAAAGAAGUUCAGUGGAUUUUCAGAUACUUGUAUGGAUUUGUUGAUGUUUAUUUACAAUUUGGGCGAAAUAGAGAUGGAGUAAUCGGGUAUGUUGAUUUUGAUUUUGUAAGAGACCAUGAUAAAAGGAGAUCCCUUACAGGCUAUGUUUUUACCAUUAGUGGUUAUGCUAUUAGUUGGAAAGCUACCUUACAAACUACGGUUGUUUUGUCAACUACCGAGGCGGAGUACAUGGCUAUUACAAAGGCGUUUAAGGAAGCUAUUUGGUUGAAGGGUCUGUUUGGUGAACUUAGAAAAGACUUACAGAUUACUACGGUCUUUUGUGACAGUCAGAGUGCAAUGUUCCUUACAAAAGAUCAGAUGUUUCACAAAAGGACAAAGCACAUCAAUGUUUGGUAUUAUUUUGUGCGUGAAAUUAUUGCUCGUAGUGAUAUUGCGGUGAGAAAUAUUAGUAAUUAUGAUAAUCCUGUUGAUAUGAUGAUCAAGACACUACCAAGUUCUAAGUUAGAGCAUUGCUUGGACUUGGUUAGUGUUAGCUGUUAAGAUGUGCCGUUAGGGGCUUUUAUGGAAGAGGUGGAGAGUUUGUCUUGAAAUGGAUUUGAGUUCUGAAUUAGAAUUCGUGUCAAGGUAGAGAUUGUUAGAGUGUGACCCAAAUUUUAUGAUCCGCCCCAAAAAGUUUUGCAGUGUGACCCAUGUUCGUGAUUUUCAAUGGGAUUAGUAAUGGUAUUGUAGGGAUUGGGCUGAUAGGCCCGAUCCCGGAGCCCAACACUGAUCCCGAUAGGGGUGCGGGGGCAAAGCCCCCAUGGUAUGGACCUUUAUGAUUUUGGGUCUAGGACUUAUUUGUAUGCAUGCAUUAUAUAAGUGCAAUUAGUGGGUCAUUUUUGAUUAUUUAGAAAUGUAAUACCCCGUACUUCUACCUAGCUUAAAUUCAUCCCGAAGAUGUCAAAGACAUGCUUUAAAGAUAGAUACACUUUUAUAUAUGUGAAAUUUUCAAGAUUUUCACUUUUUUUCAUGUGAAAAUUGAAUAAAAUUUUCGUCGAUACCUAAGUCGCCCAAAUCCAACACCCAGGCAAACAGUUAGAGCCAUUUUAUUAAGACAGUGUACCACCUGGUACUUUAGCAUGUUGCGAAGCCAGCCAAAAUGGCAUUUGUCAAAAAAUAAUGAGCCUCCGUGAUAUUGGAACGUUGCGCCAAGGCUCGAUUUUAGAAUUAUCAAUUUUCAGUGUUUCUCUGCGAUAGUGAUGCGUCGCACUGAAGGCCCAGUUCUUAAUUGUCCUUUUCCAGAGUUCUAACGCGAUACCACCGGGUUGCGGUGAGAUUCCAGGUCGCUUCUAAGGUGGCAACGCAAUUGUACCGCAUUGCGCCACAAUGCAAUUUUCUAGUUGUCACUUUCCAGAGAUACGACGCGAUAGCGCCGGGUAGCGCCAGGGGUCCAGAUCGAGAAAUUUUCACAAAAAUUAAAAGACGCGUCCAGGGUUAAUUAGGUCUUUUCCCAUGAUUUUAUUCCACCCAUAUUGGGAUUUAAGCCCUAAAAAUGUCCUUAGCUUCUUAUUAUUCACUUUCCCUCCAAUAUCAAGAACAUUUUCUCUCAAGAAAACAAAACCAUAGCCCUUGAGAAUCAAGGUCAAUCUCAAGAACUCCAUCCAAGAACCUUCAAGGUUUCCUUUCUCAGGUAUGCAUAGUGUUUAUUCAUGGAUUCCUUUUGCCCAUGAAGCCCAAGAAUCAAGUUUUAGACUAUGAAUUAUGAUAUUCAUGCUAUGUGUUGUUUAUGUUCAUGUGGUUGUUCUUGUUAUAUGAUUCUCAAGUUGGAAUCUUUAUGUGUUUCUAUGAAAACAUGUUAGCAUGUGAGUUGAAAACUAUGAAUUUUAGUUGGUUAUGAUAUGCUAAUUUGAUCAUGCACUCUAAGUGCUUGACAAAAUUCCUAACAGACUAGAAUCAUGUAAUAUGACUCAAUUGUUACUUAAGUGAAGGAUUCAUGUUUUACCCUUAUGUUCAAAUGACUCCCAUGCUAUUGAUGUGCAAUGUAGAUGUUUGUUGGAAUGCUCAUGAUGUUAGAGUAUGAAAUUAGGACAUUGAGUAUAUGCAUUCCUACCAUGUACAAGAUUAUGAUAACCAAUCCAGUAAUCUUAGUACUCAGAAAUCUCAGUAAUCUCAGUCAGUCAUCAUAUCUCAGUAGUAUUCAGUUCAGACCUUAGUAAACGUAAUCAGCUAGCAGAACUCAGUAGCAUUCUGUUAGCUAACAAAAUUCAGUAGUAUUCCAUCGGUCAACGGAAAUCCAGUGAACUCAAUUCAAUCUAGUUAAUCAGUAAAAUCAGUAACAGAUCAGUCCAAUCUAGUAUGAACUAGGAAAUCAGUUCUAUGUUUGUUCAAUUGGUAGUAGGAUUCAACACCGAGUGAACCCAGGGAUGAGGACACACACUGCCUGCCAGUAGAGGGUGUGAUCCUUAGUAGCAAUCCCUGCGUUCCAGAACUAUGUAGUCAGUGUAGGUGGAGAUAUAUCCCUACGAGUCUAGGGACUAUACAUCUCAUUUGAUUUUUCCUUACAAGAGGGGUAGACGGAAGAGCUCCCUAUCAGAGAGGGUUUACUCACAGCUUGUCUUUACCCAUGGCACGAUACUGACACCCUUCCAGCUGGGGUUACAGGUUGGACCCCAUUAGUUCAGAUUUGGGGGCAUGUCGAUUAGAUAAUUACCUCCCACAGUUUCAAUUUUAGAUUCAGUCUUCAUAAUAGAACUCAGUUCAGUUCUAUAGAAAUCAGGACUGUCGGACACAGUCACUCAGCUUAGUAUGAAACUCAGCUAGUUCCAUCAGAAAUCAGGACUGUCAGAUACAGUCAUCCAACUUUGUAUAGCACUUAGAUCAGCUAUUUAUAAUUAGUAUUGUCAGAAAGAGUCUUUUAGUUAUUAGUUACUAGUAAACUCAAAUAUCAAUAAAUCCAUAUGGUCAGUAGAUUCAGUAGUCAUAACUCAGUAUUCAGUCCUAUCACGACCUCAGUUACAGUUACGUAUUCAUGCAUGUAUUCUCACGUUCAUGUAUACAGUCAGUUAGUAUUGUUCAUGCAUAUGAACCCUUUGCAUUCAGUCUACCUCACUUAUAUACCAGUAUAUUCAAUCAUACUGACAUAUUUGCACUAUGGUGUUUUAUACCAUAGGUUUUGAAGCAUGAGCUCCCGAGCAUCCUUAGUAGAUCAGACAUCAGCAACCAGAUUAGCAGUGAGUCCUCAUCAUUCGAGGAUAGCAUAAUUAUUUUAUUACUUUAUUAAUAGUAGUUCAGAGUUAGUUGGGGACAUGUCCCAUCAACUCCAUAGAUUUCAAACAGUUUAAAGGCUUUCAGACUACAACAUGUUUCAAACAGUUUAUUUUAGUUUUGGGUAUUGUUAUACCCCAUUACAGACAUCGUUUUAUAUGCAGUAUUAGUUCAGUUUUGAACCUUAUGGCCUUACAGUUUAUAUUCCGCUUAUUAUAGUAUAUUAUUCAGUACUCAGUUACAAAUAUCAGUCAUGGGUUAGCUUGUGGUCCUUCGGGGUCAUGAGCACCGUGUAAUGUUCUGAGUACCAGAUUUUGGGAGUUACAAGAAAUUACGUCGCUCCACAUUGUACUCCUCUCAUUUCAUAGUGAAACCUCCUCUGCCUCUGCCCAGGGUUUUCCCCACAAGGGUUUUUACAUAAAUCUGUGUGUUCUUGUUUUCUUUCAGAUUAUGGUUUGCUUAAAUUUUUUCUCAAUUUCUAACAAAAACUUCAAAAUUGGGUAUGCUCUAUACUAGUCCUCUUGAUUCAUCAAUUAUACUAGCCAUCUCUUAUCUUUGCCUCUCAUACAUUGCUGAAGCUUCUUCCCCAUUUUCAAGAAACAUUCCAACUUAAUCCUUCUGCACACGCUGGUGGGAUGAGCCACCUUGUAAUUCCAUAAAGCAUCAUUUCGAGCCAUCAAAAUAUUAUAGAUCAACAUAGCUGACACCAUCCAUAAUAAAGCUCUACUCAUUCUGCCUCCAGCUCGUUUGGCAAUGUGAGUCCACCAUCCUUGUAAUUCCUGAUUCCUGAGUUUAAUAUUUAGCCAUAAACAGAGUUCCUCCACACAUUUACUUGGAAAAGCACACUGGCCGAACAUGUGUGCUAUUGUCUCUAGUUUCUCACCACAUAAAAAAACAUUUAUCUUCAUCUUCUAGUCUCAAUCUCUUCAACCUUGUUUUGUUCAGCAGUGUUUUAUGUACAACUAGCCAUCUAAAUUAUUUCUUUGGUAUGUUAGAAUUACACCACACACAUCCCACUCUGGUUAUUGAGGCUUCAUACCUCUUCUCCAAUAGUAACCAUUUUGGACAAUAUAUUUCCCCUGUGGUGUGAGCCAAUCAUCAUGUAUGUAUCCUACACCAAACUUCUGCUUUAAUCCACAUAUUUGUCUCCAAUACCAACAUGAAUCAGAUGGAGCUUCAUAUUUCCACCAACCCUUGUCUUUAACGUAGAUGUGGUUUACCUAUUUAACCUAUAACGUAUCAGCUUUACUUGAUAUAUGCCAUAUAUACUUGGCUACUGCUGCAUCAUAAUAUCUAACAUAAUCCACAACUCCACGACACCCUUCCUUCUUUAUUUGAAACCUCAAAUCCAUGCAAUCAGUUGGGAUUUAUUAGUGUGUACCUUACCUAUCCAAAGAAAGCUCCUACACCGCAGUUAAUUGUUUUAUCAUUUGUCUAGGGAAUAUGAACAUAGAGGUCCAGUAAGAUUGUAUAUGCAUCAGCACAUAAUUUACUAAUUGUUUUCUUCCUACAUAAUAUAGAUAUUUUGACCUUUAUGUUUGAAUCCUUCUUCCCAUUGUUUGAAUCCUUCUUCCCAUACUAUCAAGAAGCAUCUCAAAAUAUGCACUAGCCAAUUUUCUUAAAGAGAUUGGGACUCUCAGGUACUUAAACGACAGUUUCCCUAGUGUAUACCCUGUCACCUCACACAAGUCACUUAGAUCUUGUUGAUCAAUAUUUCUUGAGUAAAUAUUCGACUUUGCAACAUUUGUUGUAAGUUAAGAAGCCAAUGAGAAAGUUUUUACGCCUUUGAGCAUCAACACUACUGUCAGUACCACACCUUUACUAAAGAUUAACAUAUUAUCAGCAAAGCAUAGGUGGUGAGAUUGGGUUACCUUGUCUCACCCCCCUUUUCCAUACUAUAUUGCCAUAUGUUCCACCAUUGAUUAUUAUAGUGUGUAGACUGGUGUGGUCUCAGAAGCCAUGGCCCAUCUUAUAAAAUUCCGUGUAAAAUUUAACCCAUGAAGCAUUUCUUCCGCAAUACCCAUUGAACUAAGUCAUAUGUUGUAACACCCGGGCCUUUUCGAUACUUAUAAAGUGGAUGAAAUGAGCGUGUAAGACCUAAUAUUGAAGAUAAAUUACCUAAUAUUGAGUUUGAAGGGGUUUGGGACAUUUUUAGGCUUAGAAAAGACCUGUACAUUGCGAAAUAGGCACCCAUUGCGAUAGGCUACUGCCUCGGGUUUGCAGUGGGGGUCACCUCACGAAACCUGUGGUUCUCUAUGCGGUCUCCCCAUAAACCUUAGGGUUCACGAUGGGGGUUGCUCCAUGAACCCCCUAUGUUUUCAUCAAUAAUUCUCUAUUUUUGUUAUAUUUUAAGGGCAUUAUGGUCUUUUCACACUCUUAAGUCAUUACCAAUCCCUUAUGUACUAUUUUAGGGUCUUAAAAAUGUAUUUAUACCUCAGUAAUUCCCUAAUCAUCAUUCUAAUAGAAAGAGAGGAGAAAACUACCUAGGGUUUGAGAAUUCUAAGCUCCAAGGGUAAAUUUAUACUACAUUCUCUCCAUUUGAAGAUAUGGAGAACUAUCUUAACUCUAAUGGGCGCAUGUAUAAUGUUUUUAAUGAUCCCUAUAUUGUAUAUGUAUAUGUGAAUGCUUUUAAACUGAUUAGAAAUCAUGAAUAACGAAACCCCUUUUUAUGAUGAACUUAUGUAUUUACUAUGGUGUUUUCCUUAAACUUGAGAUUUCAUUAAUGUGCAUAUGUUAUUGCUUUGAAGAUUUUGAGACAUGAAUGCCCGUUCUAUGAUAAAAAUUAUGUAUUUAUAAAUUGUUGUGGAUUCUCAAAUAAAUGCAAAAUAUGUACAUGUAUUAUGAAUUUUAAAGUGGAUUUGAGAGCAUAAACUGUAGUCCCCAUUUUCGAUCUUAAGAUUCAUUGUGACUGUGUUGGGGAUGUUUUCAUGAAUGAUGAUAAUUCUUGAGUUUUAAAUGCCUUUUUAACUAUUAUGCAUUGUUAUUUUGCAUGUGUUUGAAGGGGUGUUUCUCAUGCUAAAUGCUCUUGUGUCCUAAUGAAGAAAUGCAUGUGAUUAAUGAAAGGUUGGCUACCAUAUGUUAAAGUCUUAAAAAGAAAGUGUUUUACAUGAAUUUCAUAUGCUUUUUGAAAUGAGUACUCUCAUGUGAUAUUUAAAUCUUUUGGUAGGCAUUAAUAUAUUUUUGAAUGAGAAGGGCUAUGGACAUGAUAUGUUAUGAUAUAAUAUGACUUGUAAAUAUAGGUAUGACGAUACCUAUUAUGGAAUUCCCUUAACAAGAAAGAAGUAAACAUCUUAAGCAAGGAACAUAAUUAUUAAAGGACUAAAAUUAGGCUUAAAGAGAGCUAAAUGGUACCUGAACAAAGUAUGAGCGCAAAGGCUCAUUGUUGGAAAUUGUGUUUUGUCAAUGAGGGAUUAAUGAUAUGUUAUCCUACAUGGGAGGAUAAUUAGGACAUCUCACAUGGGGGGUGCCUACGAUAUGCUCAUAUGGGGGGUAUAUCAAAAACUCUAAUUUUUGUGGUAAACUUUGAUUGGAGGCUUGGCUGUCAAGUCAAUGAAGGACCCAUAUAGCCCACGGAUAAUUAGAAUAUUAGGGUGGAUCAUCUAGCUCAGAAUUAAAGUAAAGAGUUGAGUCUAUGUUUUACGAGGUUGGUUGAAGCUUUUAUGUAUGCCCAUGUACUUUGAUUUCUAUUAUGUUAAAUUGUUUUCAUAAUUCUCUUGUCUAUUUUAUACGAAAUAUAUAUUAUUUUUGGAUUGUUCUACACACCAAACAUUCCAGGUAUUGACCAUCCUCAUAGUGGUUGCAUUAUCUCAUAAUGUAGGUUCUGAUACACAGUCGCGCGGUCCAACUCAACAGUAGAUUACUUUCUGAAAUUCACAGGUAAGCCUCCCUUACUUAAGAAGGUGUUUUAUCCAUAUGUUAUUUUCAUUCAGUUUCAUGGUCCAGCCAUGGCCUUGUCCUGGCUUUGACAGACUUGUGUUUCAUUAAAGGCUUUGUAGAUUGGUUUAGACUGGUUGGGUUUAUGUUUAGAUGAUAUGAUGUAUUUAUGUUUGAUUAUGAUACUUUUAGUACUCUCAUGUGAUAUUUAAAUCUUUUGGUAGGCAUUAAUAUAUUUUUGAAUGAGAAGGGCUAUGGACAUGAUAUGUUAUGAUAUAAUAUGACUUGUAAAUAUAGGUAUGACGAUACCUAUUAUGGAAUUCCCUUAACAAGAAAGAAGUAAACAUCUUAAGCAAGGAACAUAAUUAUUAAAGGACUAAAAUUAGGCUUAAAGAGAGCUAAAUGGUACCUGAACAAAGUAUGAGCGCAAAGGCUCAUUGUUGGAAAUUGUGUUUUGUCAAUGAGGGAUUAAUGAUAUGUUAUCCUACAUGGGAGGAUAAUUAGGACAUCUCACAUGGGGGGUGCCUACGAUAUGCUCAUAUGGGGGGUAUAUCAAAAACUCUAAUUUUUGUGGUAAACUUUGAUUGGAGGCUUGGCUGUCAAGUCAAUGAAGGACCCAUAUAGCCCACGGAUAAUUAGAAUAUUAGGGUGGAUCAUCUAGCUCAGAAUUAAAGUAAAGAGUUGAGUCUAUGUUUUACGAGGUUGGUUGAAGCUUUUAUGUAUGCCCAUGUACUUUGAUUUCUAUUAUGUUAAAUUGUUUUCAUAAUUCUCUUGUCUAUUUUAUACGAAAUAUAUAUUAUUUUUGGAUUGUUCUACACACCAAACAUUCCAGGUAUUGACCAUCCUCAUAGUGGUUGCAUUAUCUCAUAAUGUAGGUUCUGAUACACAGUCGCGCGGUCCAACUCAACAGUAGAUUACUUUCUGAAAUUCACAGGUAAGCCUCCCUUACUUAAGAAGGUGUUUUAUCCAUAUGUUAUUUUCAUUCAGUUUCAUGGUCCAGCCAUGGCCUUGUCCUGGCUUUGACAGACUUGUGUUUCAUUAAAGGCUUUGUAGAUUGGUUUAGACUGGUUGGGUUUAUGUUUAGAUGAUAUGAUGUAUUUAUGUUUGAUUAUGAUACUUUUCAUGCUUCUGUUUAUAUUCCGUAAUUCUAUUUCAUAUGAAUAAUACUUAUGAUAAUAUGAUAAGGGGUUUCUCAAGCCUUCAUGUUUUGGAUGCCCAUCACGGCUAGGGCUCCAGCUCGGGCCAUGAUAAACUUAGUAUUAGUGCUUGGUUUAGGUUCUUAGGGUGUCCGCAAAAUUGUGUUGAGUAUUUUUCUUUUUAUGAGUAUGUAGCGCGCCAUACUUACAAGGAAGAAGAUAUGAGGCACUUUGGAAUAUUUCCCUUUUCUUCAUGUUCUAGUUUGUGUUAUGGAGUUUGAAUGUAUCCUAACAAAUGAAUUUUCUCAUCUCAUAUCAUGCCUCCCCAUAGAUCCAACGAUCAAAACCCCUCAGCCGAACACUCUAUUCCUAUUGGGAUAAAUGUUGAGGAGGUCUGCCCUACUCAUGGGAUACAGACCCAGUAUAGAGAUUGUACUCAAGAAUUUACUACUCCUAUAGGGGUUCCACUAGUUCAUACUAGCCCUCCUAGAGCUCCUCCAAUCAGUAUCAACCAUACCCAGUAUCCAAAGAGAGGUCUCUAAUGUUGAGUUCAAUCAGUCCAUCCAUAUGCUUGAUCAUCUUGUGACUUCGCAGUCUUAUUGGUCUGGAAAUGUGAGUUGUGUAUCCAAAGAGAGAGGUAUCGAAUACUGAGUCCAUCAGUCCAUCCAUAUGCUUGCUCAUCUUGUGGCUUCAUAGUCUCAUUGGUCUGGAAAUGUGAGCUAUGUUCCUAGUCCUUCUGAAAUCACUCGGGUUGGUUAGUUCAUAAGGCUGAACCCACCUUUAUGGGUACCAAGGUUGAGAAAGAUCCUCAAAGGUUUGUAGAUGAGAUGAAGAAUAUAUUUAGAGUCAUGAAUGCCAGUGCUACUAAGGGAUAGAUUUUAUGACUUAUCAGCUGAAAAAUGUGGCUUACUAGUGGUACGAUAAGUGAGAAGAAUUGAGAGUUGAGGAUAUGGAACCUGCAGUAUAGGAAGAGUUUUUGAGUGUUUUUCUAGAUUAGUUCUUUCCCCAUGAAAUGAGGAAAGCUAAGGUUGAGGAAUUUAUUAAUCUGAAGCAGGGAAGGAUGAGUGUCAAAGAAUAUGCAUUAAAAUUCACUCAACUAUCCUGUUAUGCUCCAGAGUUGGUGUGCAACAUGAGAGCUCAUAUAAGGAAGUUCACAUUAGAUCUUCCAAAUGAUUUGGUGUUAGAAUGUAAGGGGUUAGUACUAAAUAAUGAUAUAGAUAUCUCUCGGUUAGUAGUUUUUAUGCAAUAGGUGGAAGAGGAGAAGAAAAAGCCGACAGAAAUAAGGAGAGGCAGGCCAAGAAAGCUAGGUCGGUGGAUCACGAGGUUAGUUAGCAACAGGGUAGAAAAUGGGGCAGGCAGUGGUCCAAGAGGAAAUUUUGAGAAAAUAAUCAGUCAUCAGCUAGUGCGCCUACACGUCGAUCUUCUUGUGAGCAGAGGUUCCAUCUUAAUGGCGGGUUAUAAAGUUAGCAAACUCAGUCUCAAGGGAGUGUGACUCAACCCUCUAGAUCCCAUCCUCAUUGUAACAAUUAUGGAAGAAAUUACCCAGUAAGGUACUAUUUUAGUGAGAAAGUGUGCUAUACUUGUGGUCAGCCUAUCCAUAUUUAGAGAUAUAUCCCCUCAGGGAGGGGGAUAUUUGGGGGAAAUAAGGGCUCAACUGCUACAUCUUCUACCCCAUCUAUUAAGGGGAAUGCUCCUGGAGCAGGCAGGAGUUAUAACUGUUUGUUUUCCCUAUCUACUCACUAGGAUUCAGAGGCUUCACUAGAUGUUAUUAAGGGUACGUUACAGAUCUUCUCUCGUGAUGUCAAUGUGUUGAUUAAUACCGAGUUUAAUCUAUCUUGUGUGACUCCUUAUGUGGCAAUGAAUUUUGGUUUUGAACCCAAAAAUAUUUUUGCAUCCUUCUUUGUCUCCACUCCUGUUGGUGACUCUAUUAUUACUAAAAGAGUUUAGAGAAAUUUUAUAGUGUCUGCUUUACAUCAAGAUACUAAGGUAGACUUGGAAGAACUCCAUAUGGUAUAUUUUGAUAUAAUUCUAAGGAUGGAUUGACUCCAUUCAUGUUAUGCUACAUUAGAUUGUAGGACCAGAAAGGUCACCUUCCUUUCCAUAAUGAGCUAGUUAUAGGAUAGGAAGGGCAUUCUCUUGCACCAAGAGGGAAAUUUAUAUCUUAUCUUAGGGCCCAUAAGAUUAUAUCCAAAGGUUGUUAGUACCAUCUUUUUCUGAUCAAAGAUUCUAGCACUGAAAAUGUUUCCCUCCAGUCUUUUUCCAGUAGUUAAUGAAUUCCCAAAACUCUUUCAUGGUGACCUCCCUGGGAUACCUCUAGAAAGGGAGAUAGAUUUUGGUAUUGACUUAUUACCAGACACUCAGCCUAUCUCCAUUCCUUCGUAUAGGAUGGCUCUUGUAUAAUUGAAAGAAUUGAAAGAGCAGUUGAAAGAUAUUCUCGAUAAAGGUCUCAUUCAUCCGAGUGUCUCUCCCUAGGGUGCUCCUAUACUCUUAGUAUGUAAGAAAGAUGGCUUCCUCUGUAUGUGUAUAAAUUACCAUCAGUCGAAUAAAGUCAUAGUUAAGAAUAAGUACCCUCUUCCCAAAAUUGAUAAUCUUUUUGACCAACUUCAGGGUGCUAGAUGUUUCUCUAAGAUUGACCUUCAUUCAAGUUACCAUCGGUUGAAGGUUUGGGAGGCGGACAUUCCUAAAACCAUUUUUCAAACCCGAUAUAGUUAUUAUGAAUUCUUGGUCCUGUCCUUUGGAGUGAAAAAUGCUCCUGCAACACUUUUAGACCUCAUGAAUACGGUGUUCCGGCAGUUUUUAGACCUAUUAGUCAUAGUUUUCAUUGAUGAUAUUUUUAUUUACUCUAAGAGUGAGGAAGAUAAUGUCAAUCACCUCGCAUCAUCCUUCAGGCCCUUAAGGACCAUGAGUUGUAUGCCAAAUUCUCUAAAUGUGAGUUCUGGAUCAGUACAAUAGCUUUUUUGGGGCAUAUUAUUUCUACUGGGGGAAUUAAGGUCAAUCCCUAGAGGUUGAGGCAGUAAGGAAAUGGACCAGAACCACGACUCCAAUCAAUAUUCGGAGCUUCUUGGGUUUGGAAGUAUAUUAUAGGAGGUUUGUAGAGAGUUUUCAUCUAUAGCCGUCCCGAUUACUAGGUUAACUCAGAAGAAGGUAAAAUUUUUAUGGUCUGGCGCUUGUGAGAAUAGUUUUGAGAGAUUGAAAGACAAGCCGAAUACUGCUCUUGUUUUGACCCUUCUAGAGGGUACGGAGGGUUUUGUUGUUUGUUGUGAUGUGUCCCGAGUGGGAAUUGGUGUAUACUUAUGAAACAUGGUAAGGUGGUGGCCUUUGCAUCAAGGUAAUUGAAAGUCCAUGAGAAAAACUAUCCCACCUAUGAUCUAGAAUUGGCGGCUUUGGUUUGUGCACUUAAAAUUUAGCGUCAUUAUCUUUAUGAGGUGCAUGUAUACAUAUUUACUGAUCUUAAGAGUUUAUAGUAAGUGUUCACCCAGAAGGAGUUGAAUCUUAGGCAGAGGCAGUUGCGUGAAUUGUAGAAAAAUUAUGACAUGAGCCUACACUAUCAUCCAUGUAAAGCUAACGUGGUUGUUGAUGCUCUUAGAAGGUUAUCCAUGGGUAGGACUUCUCAUGUUAAGUAAGAGGAAUAGAAUUUGUUUAAGGAAAUUCAUCAACCUACUAAUUUGGGAGUUCAACUCCUAGACUCCGAGGAUGGAGGGUUAUUUUCCAAGAGAUAACCAAAUUAUCCCUUUGUGCCGAAGUUAAGGAAAAGCAAGCCAUACAUCCCAUAUUGAUGCAGAUUAAGGAAGAUGUUGGUCAGAAAAGGUUAUGGCAUUUGAAAUUGGAGGAUAUGAUAUUUUGAGAUACCAAGGUAGGUUGUGUGUAUCGAAUUUUGAUAGGUUACUAUCACGAUCCGAACCCUGGCCUGGCCAUGAUGGGUAUCUCAAGCCCACCAUGAGACGGAGAUACUUCUCAAAACUUACCUCAACAGCACAAUAAUAAUAUUGAACAAUGGAACACAACCAAGAUACAUAUAUAUAAUAAGGAUAGAUAGAUAAACAAUAUGAAAACGAAGAGCCAAAACGGCAUCCAACCCAUACUUGUCCAUAAAAGCCUUUAAACUAGAAUAUCAAACUAAGACGGUACAUGCCCCUGACCAUGACCAAAAGAAUCCAAAAUGUAAUGCUAAACAAUACUUGGAACAAUAAAAAAAACCAGUGAAAUGAUAGGGCCUUUCGAAAGAUAGGGUCUUACCACUUCACAGCAGAUCCACAGUAUUACUAAAUCACCUAAUGCUGUACUGGAGAAACAGAACACCUUAUGGACCCUACAUCAUGAAAUGAUGUAGAGUCUAGGUACAGUCAGUGGUAUAAGCACUGUCAUGUAACUCAAGAAAAGUGAUAAAAUAAUGCCAAUUCCAUAAAAUAUUCAAAAAUAUAUGCAUUAGAAUUAUAUACAUAUAUAGGAUGCUGGGAUAGGGACAGGGGUCAUGAACACGAGAGUUUAAACCAUUAACCUGAACUCUGGCGCUCGCUCUGUCCUAAAGGCCCCCAUGGUCUACAUAGGUUCAGUUCUCCAUGCUAAAAGGGCCCAGUGUGUGUUAGACGCACAAACCAAGGAGUUUGAAGGAAGGGAUAAAUACACCAAGGCUCUAGCCAUUCCAAAAUAAAAUGUGUGAACCAAGCACAUGUCUAUAUGGACCCUCAUGCCGUCAAACGUGGUUUUCGAUAUUGGUCUCCCCGGGACUACAUCUUUAUAGAGAGCUAAAGAAUUUUCUUUAAGCCCAAAUUAAAAUUGUUUACACAUAAUCCUAGUCAUUAAUCGAGGAGUUUUAUAUUAAGUCAUUUAACACUUGGUAUUAGCAACCAUUAUUCUUGCAAGAUUAUGUAAGUAUGCCAAUCCAAUCCAUGUAACCAUUAGACUCCCAAGUUCCACUUAAAAUCCAAAACAAUGGCCACCAAGGGCCUUUCAAAUCCGUUUUAACCAAUUUUCCAUUUAUGCAAUGCAAUGGGUUCAACAAUAGGUUUAACCAUGCAAUUAUACAUAUUUAAAACCAAGUUUACAAUGUGGGUUGAGGUUAAUUCCUUUACCAAAUUAAAAAGUUAUCAAUUUGGGGAAACCCAUGUUCCCCAUUCCAAUUCCCAUGACAAUACAUCCAUUCAGAUGAAAAACUAUAAAUUUAUAGCAUAAAUCAUCAAUUUAAAACAUGAAAAAAGUAAUUCAAGUGAUAGUAAUCCAAAACCCCUCAACCCAAUUUCAAAUUCAUCAAUUUAAACCAUAUGAAUAAUGAGUAAAUAAAUGCCAUAUUGAAAAAUUAAUGUUUGGGAAUGAGAUACAUACUUGAAAUACACAAGUAAUUGAAGAAAAUUUAAAGUUUGGAGCUCGGAUGAUGAAUUAACUAUAAAACCAUUGAAUGUUCUUAGGUUUUGCAUUUGAGAGAGAAAGAGAAUGAUUUGAUCUUUCAAAACUGAAGGGAAUGGGUUAUUUUAUGUUUAAAGGUCAUAUAAGCGUUAAAAAAAAACCAAAAGUCCCUCACCCCAAGUGUAUAAAACAAAAACUAGGAAAAAUUAAAACAUCAACGUGGCACGACAAUACCACGAAGGGUAGCCUCUAUGCCAUGCCAAUAUUGCGGUGGCUAACCUCCAUGGCACGAUAAUAUUAUUGACCCUUACUGCCUCGAGGUCCCAAAAUGACCCCGAACCCCUUUCAAAAAUUCUUGAAACUUUCUCAAAUUAACCUUUUAACAUUUCUAAACAUAAUUCAAGUAAAAAAUUGACAUUACAAAUAUAGGUGGGUCAAAAAUAAAAUAAUCAAAAUUUUACGGGGUCUUACAUUAUUUACCCCUAGGAUAAUUCAUCCCUGAAUGAUCAUCUAAGACAUUUUUAGCAUAAGAAUAGCAAAAAUACACCAAAGUUAAAUGACAAACUCAGAAAGGGAACAAAAUUCAUACCUCAAGCACUUUCAUCUAACACAAGGAAACAAGAACGGGUACUUGGACUUCAUAUCUUCCUCAGUUUCUCAUAUAGCUUCUUUCACCUUUUAAUUUCUCCAAAGAACUUUUGCUAAAGCUACACCCUUAGUCCUUAAUCUACGAACUUGUCUAUCCAAUAUUUCAAUUAUUACUUUCUUAUAAGACAAUGAAUCUGUGAUACCAACAUCCUCAAUAGGCACUAUCAAAGAAGAAUCACCCACACACUUUUUCAGCAUAGACACAGGAAAAACAGGAUGAAUAGAGGCCAAACUCGCAAGUAAAUCUAAUUCAUAAGAGACAUUACCAACUUUUCUUACAAUCUGGUACGGACUAACAUAAUGAAGACUAAGAUUCCCCUUUUUACCAAACCUCAUUACUCCCUUCAUAGGAGAAACCUUCAAGAACACUAAAUCACUAACCUCUAACUCUAACUCUCUUCGCCUUAAAUUUGCUUAAAACUUUUGGCGACUUUAAGUAGUAUUUAAUAUUUCUCUAAUCACUUUCACCUUUUAUAUGACUUGGACCAAGUGAGGACCAAACAGCCUAGUCUCACAUACCUCAAACCACCCAAUAGGAUACCUAUACCUUUAACUAUAAAGAGCCACAAAGGGAGCCAUUUGAAUGCUAGAAUAAUAACUAUUAUUGUAAGAAAACUCAAUGAGAGGAAAAUGAUUAACACAAAUUUCUUUAAAAUCAAUCACACAGGCACUUAGCAUAUCCGCCAAAGUCUAAAUAGUCCAUUCCACUUGUCUAUCUAUUUGAGGAUGGAAAGCGGAGCUAAGGUUCUCUUUAGUACCUAAACCUUUCUGAAAUAGAUGCCAUAAAUAAGAAGAACAAUGUGUAUGUUGGUUUAAAAUAAUGGACACGGGUGCACAAUGCAACUUUAUUAUAUCCUAUAUCUCUAUACAUGCCACCAGGACUCAAAUAUUCAACCUUGACUUGCUAAAAAACCAUACACUUAGUCACAAAGUUUGCCACACCCCUCUUCAUAUUAUUCCACCAAUAGAUUUCCUUCAAGUCAUGAUAUGUUUUAGUUAAAACCGAAUGCACUGUGCACCUAGACUCAUGAGCCUUAGUCAAAAUUCUUUCACGUAGUCCAUAAACAUGUAGAAGACACAACUUCCCUUGAUACUUUAAGAUGCCAUUGUAACACCUCACAUUUUUUAGCUAGAAACCAAACCAUCGUUCCUACGUGUGUAAGCUAUAAUUCUAUGUUUUUUUAUUUAAAUUCAUGUGUCAUGAUCUUUAUCCUAGUAUAUGUAGUGAUUAUGAGGUGAAAAUUAUUCAUAUAAAUAGCCUAAAGCAAAGUUGAGCUAAGAACCAUUUAUUCAUCAAAAAUUGGAUAUUCGAUUCUACAAGGGUCUACUUUGAACUUGUAUAACUUUUUAUAUAUGUGAAAUUUUUGUAUCUCAAGAUCCACCAAAUUGUAGAUAAUUGAAUUAGCUUUCAAAUGACACCAAUUUCACCUAAAUUUGAUAAUCGAGUGAAAAGUUAUGCCAUUUUUGUGUGAGGCAGUAAGGGGUCGCGAUAGCACCACGACGCGAGGGAUACUUGACCCAACUAGGGAUCGCGAUGUGGGGGAUAUUCCCCCUAUAGUUUUAGCUUCUUAAGGGUUAAUGGUCACUUUAGUCCUUUCCCCUCAACCCCAAAGGACAAUUUAUAUCACUCAAAAGGGCAAUAUUUGCCCCUCUUCUUCAAUAUCAACUCACCAAAAAUACUCCCUUUUCCCAAGAACGAGAUCCAAAAUUCUUUUUCCUUAAAGAUCAAGAACUUAUCCCCAAGAUCAAGAAUUCUAAGAAACGAAUCAAGAUCCGGGUUCCAUCUCUCAAGAUAUGGGUUCCAUUUUUCAAAUUAAACAACCUAAGUUAUGUGGGACUACUCUAAAAAACUUGGGCAUAAGUUUAAACAUUUUUUUAUCAAGAUUAAAUAUCCUGAAUUAUCUUUUAUAAUCAAGUAUUCUACAUGAUUUUAGGAAAGUAUGCAUCAUGGGGUUAUUUUGAUGAGAUUAUAUAUUAUCUUGGAUCACUUUACAUGGA